rnacentral:lncRNA from 1 species
AGAAUUAGACUGGAAUACUAUUAAUAGUAAAACGCUCUUUUUGCUAUCAAGUUUUUAACCCUUGGAUGAAAAAUUGUACGGUCAGGAUGAUAUUAGUCGGUUAGAGUUGAGUGGUCCCCCUAGGGUUGAGUGGUCUUCACUGGGUUAUAGUAUUUAAUCCAAUGGUUAGAAAUAAUGAAAAAAGUUGAUCCAAAGGCUAAAAAACUGAUAGCAACAAUGAGAUUUUGCUACUAAUAGUAGCCCAGUCCAACUCUAUAUAUAUAUAUAUAUAUAUAUAUAUAUAUAUAUAUAUAUUAUUUUGCUCAAUCCCUUUUUUUUUUCUUUAAUAAGUACAUAAUUUGGUUUAGACUAGUAAGGGAUUUUUUUUUAUUUUUUUAAGGAGUAAAGUCUAUAGGCAUUUUAUUAAAAAAGUAGAUCUUGAUUAUAAUAGCAUAAUUUAGAAUACUAUAUUAAACAUAUUUUCAUAAACGAAAGAAGGGAUUAACGUAAAUACACUCAAAACUAGAUAAAAGAAAAGCAAAUAAGGGUGAUGGUCCCAUACUUAUGUAAGAAAAGAAAAAGAUAUGUUUAAUAAUUAAUUAAGUUUAUGAAUGUUAAGCUCAUAAUAUAUAUAAAAAAAAAUUAGAGAAUAUGAUAGAUAAAAAUAAUUAUUCAGACUACAUCUUCAGUCCAACUAAUAUUUCUCAAUGCGUAGCAGAACAUUUCGAUCUUCGAAUACGCAAUAUGAAAGAUAGAUUUGAAACCAGUGGCAUAUGACAAAUUAAAAGAGAGAGAAGUUCAAAGUAGCGUGAGACCGGAGUCAGAGGGAGGUGAAAAUUUAGACAAUUGCGGUGUAGAUCAUAAGAACAAAUAUAGAAGGAAACAAUAAAGAAAAUGAUAUAGUCAACAAAAAUCUGUACCUAUCGGUCGAAUUUUGACUAGAUACUCGACCAAAAUUAGGCCAAGAGGUUGGAACAGAGGAAGAGGAAAAGUAAGAAGAAGAGAAAUUUAGUGCAGAGAUUUACAUAGAGAAAAAAAUAAAGACUGAAACAAAAAAAAAAGCAAAUUAAUAAGUUAAAAAAAAUAAUAAUAAAUAAUUAUUUGGUAUUUUAAAAUAUUACAAAUUAGAUAUUACAAAUUUUCUAUAUGCAUAUAUGUUUGGGAGAAAUAAGGUUUUUUAAAUAGAAAUAGCAAGUUUUAGUGCAGUUAUUGUUUUUUUUUUUUUUUUUUGAGAAAGAGGUAGACGGGCUACCUGCGUCAUUCAUUGAUAAAUGAAUUAGGCAAUACAUUAUGGAAGCAGCUAAGGCUUUCGAGGCGAAAGACGAACAGCAAGAAAGAAAACAAAGCUAAAGUAAGAAGGAUCCAAAGAUAAUCAAAAAAAGAUGAAAAAGAUAAAGCAGAACCCAAAAAACCGAAAAGGUAAGCAAAAGACAAUAACUGCAGUUAUUGUUACUAUUCUUCAAUUAGCACUCUCGAGUAUGAAGAAGCAUAUCAUCACUUUGGAGGCCAUUUGAUAAAAAAACUUUAUUAGAGAUGAAUAAUAUCGUUUUUUUAUAGAUAUUAGCAUGAAUAUAACAUGUGUUUUAUAAAUGAAAAUCCAAAAAGGCUCUUGGAUUUGUGAGACAAGCACUAUCUUUAGGCUUAAUUAGCCUCCCUUCCUCCUUCCUUCUUUCUCUUUUCCUCUAAUUUUCUCUGCCUAACAACUUUUUUUUUUUUUUUUCCUUCUCCUGUUCAACUUGUUUGACCUUUCUAUUGUUUUUCCUUCAUUCCUUAGUUUAUUUUAUUUAGGAGCGGUUUGGAUACAUGUAGUUGAAAUUGCAUUACUAUUUCAAGUACAUACAGAUCUAAAUUCAGUAUUUAGUUUGAUAUAUUUGUGUCCAACUGCUGUUGUAAUUAUAUAUAGAUUUAAAUUCGGUAUUUAGUUUCAUAUAUUUGAAUCCAACUUACUGCAAUUGAAACUACAUGAGAAAGGAAGUGUAAAACUGUAGUAGUUAGAAUCACAUUUAAAUUGGUCGCAGUUCCAACCUGCAGUAGUCGGAGAAAAUAAUUUUAAACGAAAGAUGAACUUACCUCUCUAAUUACUUUUUAAACAAAUGCUUUUCUUUUCUAUAUCCAGCGACCAUUUAACCACUAUAUAUAUAAAUUGAUAAAAUUUAAAAAACAGACUUCUUAACUGCAAAAAAUCAAAUAAACUAUUUAUACUUAAUUACAGUAUUUUCUACGACAACCAAUCAAACAAGAUACAUACAGUUGUAAUUACUAUAUUUUUAACUGCGUGUAUAUUCGACUACACUGUAUUUUUUAAAUACUUUUAAUCAAACAGUCCUUUAAUAAAUAAAGUGAGGAGCGCGCUACUUUCUUCAAACAAAUUCUUUCUAAUUUGUCUUCAUAUUUUGACGUUUAGAAUUUCAAAUAAAGCGAGUAUAUAUAUGUACUUCAACCAAUUAAGAGAGAUUACAAAAGUUAUUUUGUGUUUUUUCAUUUAUUGAUUAAUGAAUCUAACGAGAAAAAAAUAACUUAAAAAUCUCCUGCUAUGAUAAAACAUUAGUGACCUAAUUCUGCCCACCUCCUCCAAUUCCAAAAAAUAAGCAAAAAAUUGAAAAAGUCAAAAAAAAAUUCUUUUUUUAAAUAAAAUUAAAGUAAAAGAAGAGAACAAAAAAGAUUUAUGUAUCAUAUGCCAUGACACGUUCGUGAAGGCCAAAAACACUACUCAAAUGCGACAACCAUGCCAAAGAUAAAAAAAGUAAAAAAAAAAAAAAGAAGAAGAAGAAGAAAUAAAGUAUCUUUUUUAUUAUUUUUUUAGUCCAAUUAAAAGGACACAAGGAAUAAUUCCAACUCUAAAAAAGGGGCGUAGAACAAAUAAUUACAAAGAAGUGGGACCCACACGUAAAAGAAUCCCGUGGGCUAUCCCACCGCAUGUCACGGAAUACAACAGGUGAAAAUUUACGAAGAACCCCUCCACUUCGACCAUUUUGGAGUAUAAUCCUCAACUCAUUUUUUUCUGGUAAACUUCAAAUACCACCCUGUAGUUUCGCAUUUUUUAUUUUAGUACUACUCUGUGGCUUAAAGUGUAUCAAUUUAGUACCUUGUGAUUUUUUUUUUCUUUUUGUCGGUCCCUCCCUUAACUUUUUGUUAAAUCAUCAUAUACAAAAAGCUUCAGAUAUCCUAUCUAUAGUUUAUCGAAUAUUCACUCUAGUACUCUUUAGCUUUAACUUUAUUACUGAUUUAACGAAAAAAAUUAGUAGCGAAGAUAACAAAAAGAGAAAAAUAAAAUCACAGGAUACUAAAAUGAGAACGUGCGAAACCACAGGGGUUGUAUUUGAAUUUUUUUUCUUUUUUUUUUGUUGAUUUUUCUAGUUAUUUAGUAAGUUAUAAAGUUUGUUAAAUUCAUAGUUUAUUUAAACCUUUUUUAUAGCAAUGCUUUUUCAUCAAAAAAAAAAAAAAAAAAAAAAAACUACCUAUACAUGUACACCAAAAAAUAUAUAUUUUAAACCUCUCAAUCCUCGAAUUUAAAAAAUUCAUUAGAUCUUUACUAUUUUUUUUAAAACAAAUUAAUAAGAUAAUGACCAAUCCUUAGUACUUCAUAAGAGAGACAUAAGAUGCACAGUUAUUUUUAUUUUAUCUAUCAAAGAAAAAGAAAAUCUAAGCGUGAGGAGUCCCUUUCAAAAUAUUCUAUAACUGAGGGGGUCUCCACGUACAAUUUUACCCCCACUAUAACCAAUUUAAUGCAAAACACACAUUAUUAUCUCAGCAAAGAGGACUCUGUAAAACCCACCAAUUAGGCACUUUCCCACCAAUUCCCUCCCAGAGAGUCGUAAAACAUAGCGUUAAUUUCGUACUGAUCCUGACAAAUAUAAUGAAUGAUAAAUAUAUUUUUAUAAAAUUUUAUUUUUGUAUAUUAAUUUUAUAAAAAUUUUAUUAUUUUCAAAUAUAUUCGUGUCAUCAGAAUUCUUUAAAAAAAAUUAAGUUAUCCAUAGGUUAAAUAUUUAAUCCUAAUUAGUUUUUAAUAUUUUUAUUUUUUUUAUAUUAUACUAUUAUAAUUUUAAAAGGAUUAUAUUUGUGAUGGCAAAAUUAAAAAUAUAAAUAAUUUUUUAACAGUUCUCUAACGAAAACAAAUUAGAAAGAUAUAUUUAAAAAUAUCAUAAUUUUUACAAAUACAGUAUAUAAAAGUCAAAUUUUAUAGAAAUAUAUUUAUUAUUUACUAUGUUUGCAGGAAUAUGUACGAAACUAACCUUAAAACAUAACACGCAAACAAAAAUAGACCAAGUCCAUAAUUUUAGGCAGGAUUAGAUGUGUGUCAAAUUAGUUUGGCCUUUAUCACGCCAACACUCUCAGUCAACCAUUCAAACAAUCAUACAACUCACAUUCAACAAACUCCCACCUCCAAGUCAAUAGAAUUAAAAAAAAAAAAAGAGAGAGGAAUAGAUGCUCUUUGCUUCUUAUCCCCUCUCCAUCUCCUCCUCCGACUCAUCUUCUUCGUAAUAAGAGAAUAUUUAUUUUUGGGUAGUGGUGGUGGUGGUGUCUUGUUUACCGAUUUCAACUUCUUUCUAAAUUUUUUUUGUUCCGAACCGGAAUGAAGACGGGGGAGAAGUCGAAGCUGGUGCGGAGCCUGCGGCUGGAAUCGCAGCGCUUCCGGCUGCUGAUCAUCGUCGUCGGCGGCUUCCUCGUCACGCUGACCUUCAUCGUCGUCUCGAAGCCCGACGCCAUCCUCUCCUCCUCCUCCUCGCCCUCCGCCGCCGCCGCCGCCGAUGACGGUCGGUCCCUCCCACCCUACCGCCUUAGCUGCUUUCGUUCGUUUGUAGUUUUUCAUCUGUUAUUUUGAAUGCUGAUCUUUGCUUUUGUGAGGUGAUUUCAGCGAGAUCGGCCUCGGCUUUUCAGAAAUCUCCGCGGACGGAGUUAUCGGAGACGAAGAUGACGAUGGAUUUCAGAGAAAUUUGUGAGAUUUUUAUUUUUGAAUUUUCAGCUCAAUCUUUGUUUUUUUUUUUUUUUACUUCUUAAAUUGGUUUUUUNUAUUGAGGAUUUUUUUUUUUUUUUUUUUUCAGCUGAAGAUCCUCAACCAGAUACUGUGGCAGAGGAUAACAAACCAAAAUGUACAUCAACCUCUCUUUCUCUCUCUCUCUCUCUCUUUAUUUUUGGUGGUGGUGAUGGAUGAGAUAAAUAUUGGGGUUUUUGACAUUUUGAUUGCUAUAUUUUUUUAAAAAAAAAAUUUAUUUUUUUAAAAAAAAAAAAUUUGCAGGGGACAAAAAUGAGGCAGAGGAGAAAGAAGAAGAAGAGCCAAAACACAAAAUCACCCUCCCAACAGUUUCAAACUACACAAUAGAAGAUUCAGAUCAAACCAACCCAGAUCAAUUAGGUAAACCCACUUUUCCCCAAUCUUUUUUUUUUCAUUUAAAUCUUAAAUUUUGACUCAGAUUUAAUCCUUAAAAAAAAUUUUAAAAAAAAAGAGAGAAAUAGAGCAAAAGUAUACUGUUUUCCUGAAUAGCCCCAAUUUGAGAAAAGAACCACUUUUCAAAAUUCAAUUUUUCUUUGGUUAAAAAAAAAAAAAGAGAAGCACUUUUUAGAAAAGCACAUGAUGAGUUGCUGUAUCUGUGGCAACCACUUUUGAAAUUUUUGAUAUUUUUAGAAGAGCACUUAUUUUAUUUUUUCCUCACUUUUUUUUUCUUUUUUUUUUUCACUUUUUACAGGGGUUGAGAGUGAAAAAUGUGAUGACCCCCAAUCUUGUUCUCACAAGGGGAAGCAUAAACUCACUCUCCCAACCAUCUCCAAUUACACCAUAAAUGACUCAAUCCAAACUGAAUCAAGUGAGCCCACCAAAUCAGGUGCUCUAUUUAACCACCCUUUUAAUCCUUUUUUACUUCAAAUUUGUUGGUAUAUCCCCUUUUUUAGCGAAUUCUCGGUAAAAUUGUUCGCAGAGAGCAGAUUCGACACUGUAAUUACCCUCGAAACGAACCCGCUUCAGAACGACGAUGCAGCCGAUUCGAUUCAACCGAGUACGCUCGCAAAUUACGUGUUUUUCUUCGUUUAAUUCGAUGUAUCAUGUUAGUCGAUGGUGAUUUGGAAUGUUUUUGAUUGUGAAGGUUCAACAACAAGCAUAAAGCUGGAGAGGAAGCCACUCUGUGAUUUCUCGAACUUCAGAGCGAAUGUCUGCGAAAUGGACGGCGGUGAAAUUAGGGUUCACCCGAAAUCGGCCUCGAUCGUGUAUAUGGAGUCCGACGAUUCGAAAGCUGAUGAGAUCUAUAAGAUUAAGCCUUACCCGCGAAAGGGCGACGAGUUUUGCCUCAGCCAUGUUACUGAAUUGACCGUGAAAUCGAGCAAAGAGGCUCCUCAAUGCACGAAGCACCACGAUGUCCCGGCGCUGGUCUUUUCAAUAAGUGGCUACACCGGAAACCUCUUCCACGAUUUCACCGAUGUUUUGGUCCCCCUCUUCACGACCGCGAACCAAUUCAACGGCGAGGUUCAGCUCGUGAUCACCGACAUGCAUCCGUGGUGGGUGAUCAAAUACCAAAAGGUGCUUCAAAAGCUCUCGAACUACCCGUUGAUCGAUUUUAGCAAGGACGACCAAGUGCACUGCUUCAAAAGCGUCAUCGUCGGGCUCCACGCGUACAAGGAGUUCAGAAUUGAUUCAUCUAAAGCUCCUAAGAACUACUCGAUGGCCGAUUUCAACCGAUUCAUGAGGCGCGCGUUCUCGGUGGAGAGGGAGGCGACGACUCCGGUCGGGGAGAACCCUAACAAGAAGCCGAAGCUCCUCAUCAUAUCGAGGAAGAGAACAAGGAUGUUUCUCAACCUCAAUGAGAUCAUCGGGAUGGCCGAGGAGUUGGGCUUCGAAGUGGUGGUCAACGAGGCCGACGUGUCGUCCGACCUCUCUCGAUUCGCUCGAAUUGUGAACUCAUGCGAUGUGAUGAUGGGCGUGCACGGGGCGGGCCUCACGAAUUGUGUGUUCCUCCCGCCGAACGCGACCCUCAUUCAAAUAGUGCCGUGGGGAGGGCUGGAUUGGAUAGCAAGGCUCGAUUUCGGCGAUCCCGCGAACCAAAUGGGGCUAAGGUACUCGCAAUAUGGCAUCACGCCGGAGGAGAGUAGCCUCUUGGAGCAAUACCCGCGUGAUCACGAGAUAUUCAAGAACCCUUUCGCGUUCCACAAGCGCGGCUUCGACUACAUAAGGAGAACAUUCAUGGAUAACCAAAAUGUGAGGCUUGAUGUGAAGAGGUUUAGGAAGGUGCUAGUGGAAGCACUUGAUCAACUCAACCCUUAAAAAAGAACACUAGUUUGAGGCAAUUUUAUUUGAUUUGAAGGAUUUUUGUAUACCUUUUUCAUUUAGAUGUUCCAUGUUUUUAUUUAUUUUCAUCUUCUGCUGGAAUUCAGAAGAAAUUAAUGGUCUUUUGUUUAUGUAAGAUAUUGAAUUGAAGCUAGAAGAUGAACAAAUCAACUUAUAUGAUUCUAUGAUUAAAACCAAAAUAUAUUCUUUCUCAUAUUGGCCUUGGUAUCUCUAUAGUUGCAAUGUUGAAACUUUAAAUGACAUUUUUUAUUUAUUUUGUUUCAGUUCUCUUUGAAUCAUAUUUGUGUUGCAUAAGAUUUGUAUUAAAUUGACUUAAAAAAAAUAAAUUUAUAUCUAUAAACAUAAACAUCUGUGUCAAUCAUGGUUGUUUAGAGGAAGCUUCCUUGUUAGGAAGGCCAAUUCAAGUUGACAUGAGAUAGCUUCAAAAUUUUCCCAACAAUUUGUUUUAAAAGAAAUUAUCAAAAUGAAAAGGGUUAUGGUUAUAUGAAUGAGCAAACAUCAUCAAAGUUUGUCAUUGUCAUAUUUUAUUUGGAGCUACAUCACCAACCAAUCAAUUAAAACCCCAAUUCAACACAAUAUUGAGAUGAUGGAAAUGGACAUUCAAUGAAGCAUUUGAUUACUUUGUUUUAUUUGUUCUACAAAUUCAACAAGUUCACAAUUAAAUUAAGACUUAGUCCAAGUGAUUAAAUCAAUAGUUAAGAUAUUAAUUAUGAUCUGAGUUGGCCAUGCACACACUUUGAGACUAAUAAAUUAUAAAUCUAAUAAAAUACUGGUGGUUAACAUGGCAUUGUAGCCAAGAUGCUAGUAUGAGAUUGAUUGUAUACUCCAUAUUGGGCAUUUCAUUAUUUUAGGUUGGUUGUAAUGUCUCCAUCUAUAAUUUUUUUUUAAUUUUUCUUAAGAAUAUGAUGGAACACUACUUCACCAAGAUGAUACUAGGCAUAGCUAAGAAAUUAUUCUAAAGUACAGUUUAUGAAUCAAAUUAAAUAACACCGCACCUAAGUGUAGUUCAACUUUUUAGUCGACAUGCGAUGCUAAACUUAUAAUUGAUUUUCAUCUAGGUAACUAUCUUCAAUUUGUUGCAAUUGAGUCACUGAUCUAAAUUAUUUCCAAAUUGGGUCUAAAAUUAUUUUUAUACGAAUUGUUUUAAGGCUAAAAUAUACAAUUUUUUUUUUUUGUAAAUAUCUAUUUUUUACUUUUAUCCUGAAACAUAUAUUUUGCUCUUUCAAAAUUUUAAGUUGUUGUACUUAAGUCCUCUUCAUCAUUCAGCUAUUGGCUUAAAACCGAGCGGCUAGGUUGGGCUGAGUCACGUUCGAAAUAGCGUAUAGAUGGGUUGGGCCGAGUCAUAUUCGAAGUGACGUAAGGCUGAUUGGGCCGAAUUACAAUCGAGACCCAAGAGCGCUGUAUUUGUACACUUUAAGUGAAUUAAUUACAUAUUUCUAACAUGUGACACCCAAUAGUCCCAUAUCGGAUGGGAAUGGAGUUGUCAUUGGGUUUAUACGAGACUUAGACACUAGUAAUAAUAAUUGAGCUUAAGCAUUUUGGGCUGUUGGCUGGGCCCAACGAAUUAUUAUUGCUAGUGGGCUGGGUCGUUACAUUUGGUAUCAGAGCCAACAACUAGGUUCAAGUCACUCACCCAAAAAUUCUGAACCUCAAGACAACAGACCGAAACUACUAACCAACAAACCUUUUAGCUAAAUGGGAGCACAAAAUGCUAGCUCAAUUAUUAUUACUAAAUGUUCUAAGUCUGUAUAAACCAAUACAACUCCAUUCCCACCGCAUAUGGGGACUAUUGGGUGUCACGACUCCCCCCGUUAAGCCCUGACGUCCUCGUCAAGUCCAAUCACUAACACAGCCCAAGAUCACCAGGCGAUGUGAGACUCGUUCUGCUAGCCCGUAUCCAGACCCUGCUCAGCCGAGACUCUCACACAUGUCCAGCUUGCUUCACCGUGAACCGGCUCUGAAUACCAAAUAUUAACGGACCCAGCCCACUAGCAACAAUAACUCGUUGGGCCAACCACAGCCCAAAAUGCUUAAGCUCAAUUAUUAUUACUAGUGUCUAAGUCUCUUAUAAACCCAAUGACAACUCCAUUCCUAUCCGAUGUGGGAUUAUUGGGGUGUCACAUAACAACUCGAGCUUUUGGGAUUAAUAUUAUGCCAUCUUUGUUAAUAGUGUAAUCCUCUGCAAAUAUUUUUGAAAUUGUGACGGAGCAAAAUAUAGAUUUUCAAAAGUCAAAAAAAAAUUAAAAAAUGAGUAUUUAAAGAAAAAAUUUCUAUAAUUUAGCCUUUCUCUUAAUCGAGAGAGAUAGUAUAGAAGCUGUUAUAGUUACCACGCCAUUCAAUAACAAUGGUGAGGCAAUUCAUUUGAUGGUAUCAAGAUUGUGCAAUAUGUGAUUCGGCGACCACAUAAUUUAACGAAAAUAACAUGAUAGUUGAAUCACCCAUCAUAUUAUUUUCUUUCUGGAGAAUUCAAGUAAAGUUUCUUAGGCUUCGUUUGGUUCGGGAAUUAGUAGGAACUAGUUAUACCAGAAAUAGAUACAAGUAUGAAUUUUUGUAAGAAAAAGAGUAUUUUUUUGUUUGGAUGAAAAUAUGAAUAUAAGUUGGAACUAAAAAAAUUGUCUUUGGAUGGUUAUUGAAAAUAAGAGAAAUAAUUGAUGGUUAUAAAUAGAAAAUAAUGAUAUUAUCUCUAUAAUUGAAUUUAAAUUUUUAAAUUUUAAACUUAUAAUUUUAUAUUGAAAAUUUUGAACAAGCUUGUUCCCACCCAUACCCGAUAUGGGUACGCGGGUGGGAACAAGCUUGUUUCCACCGACCCAAAUGGUGUUUGGGUACAAGAGAGGGAUAACCCCUUUAUCCCCCUUCUUAUAUCCAAUCCAAACACCUCCUUAGAAUUAAAGAUAUCCGUGGACGAGGUCAGAUCUAGAUAGUUGAUAUACUAUACCCGUACCCUAAAAAAAUAUGGAUACGAAAAAAAAAAACUAUACCCUACCCAUUUGACUUCGGAUCGGAUCCGUGUCUAGGUACUUAAAUUACUAAUAUACCCAUCGGGUCUAUUUGAGCGGAUCUAAAUAGUAACUAUCCGUAUACUAUUCGCUUAAAAUCAAAUACGGCUCGGAUUUAGAUCGAGUACGGAUACCCAUAUACAUAUAUUUUUUUAUUAUACACAAAAUUAUAAACCUAUCACUAUAAAAAAAUUCACGUUCUAAUUAGUUGCACCCAGUCCAAUAAAAUUUAUUUUAAAAAAAGAUUCAGUAAAAAGCCAGAAUUAAAAAAUGAGUAAAAUAAAAAAAAAAGAGUAAACAAAGAGACCGGAUUUUCACUACGAUGAAAAUAUACAGAGAUCCUUAAUUUAUAAGUCCUAUUGAAAUUGAUUCCUCAACUUCAAAUUUUUUUAUUUACUAUCGGGUAUUUCACUGGUUCCAAAUCUGAAUCUGGUUCCGGGUCCGAAUUUGAAAUAUCUUCCGGACCCUACUCAUUAAAAGGUUGGGUUCGGGUCCGAUCAAAGUCGGGUAUGGAUAUAAACUAUCCGGAUCCAUACCCGGAACUUAAAUGAAUAUUUUUUUACCUAUAUACCAUCCAUUUUUUAUCAGGUCCGAUUCGGAUCCGAGUAGGGUCUAAAUAGGAUACAGUAUAUCGAAUAUUUUGGACAGCUUUACUUAGGAUUGAGAUAAAUACACUAGCCAACAAUAUAUAUUUUGCUUUAGACUUUUAAUUGAAAUGCUAAAAUACAAAAUCCUUUUGUAAGUACCUAAUUUUUCACCUUUUUUAUUUUAAAAAAUCGACAAUUUAGUCUCUCAAAAUUUCACACUGAUGCAUUAAACCCCCCUCUGUCCAGUUCUGUUAUUAUUCCGUCUAUUUUUUAUAAUUUAUACCGAAAAUACUCUUAAAAACAAUAUAAAUAUAUUAAAAAAUAUUUUUUCAUUGAAUAAAUGAGGUAAUUUAGUUAUUUAGCCCUCUGCAUUAACACCGUGACCCCCUAAAAUUAUUUCUAAAAUUUUAACAGUAUAAAAUAUAAAUUUUUGAAAGUCAGCGAGUACAGUAAAAAAAAGAUAUUUACAGAAGAAUUUUUCAUAUUUUAACUUGUUUCCAAUGUCAUAUUUUAAAUCUCAUUCAUCAACUAUAUUUGUGUGUUCGAUAUGGCCCACGUGAUUUAUUAAAGGCGAUUUAUAAAGAUACAGUCAAUCUAUUUAAGUCAAUCUAUAAAUAUACUACCGACCGACCCUAGAGCAAGUGGCAAAGGGCUUGGUGGUUGGUACCCGAAACCCAAGUUUGAAUCCUAAUUGAUUCACAUUUCCAGCUAAGUUUAUUUUUAAAUGAAAUAAACGAAGCGGGUAGUGUGCUACCUUUCUCUCUCAAAAAAAAAAAAUCAAUAAAUAUACUGUAGAUCGAAUGGGUAGAAUGUAUCUGAACACGUCCUUGAUGGACGGACAUGAUUUAACAUCCUUACAUUAAGCUAUAUAUAAAUAUAUAAUAUACGGGAGUCCCGAUGUAAUCCUAAGCCUAAUUCCUGUGAUGGCUCUAUUUUCGGGGAUAAGAAAAUUUAGACUUGAAACGUUCCGCUCUUUUACAGUUCGUGAAUAACAACGAACGACAAGUAAAAAUCGUCAUCUACAAUCCGAAUAUUGAAAUUAAAAUUAUAAUAGAAGGUACGAUGCUAAUUUCUAAUAAAAGCUUUAACAUUGUGUUCAAUAGAAAAGGUCUCCAUCCGCAUUUUUCAUGAGCCCUAAUUUCUCAUACGGAAGGUAUGAGCUGUUAAAUAUUGUGCAUGUGGCUAUGAACUAUAUCUUAUUUUUAGUCAAAAUUUGAGGGUUACACCACCGACGAAAUAAAAGGGUAAAAUUUAGGGAUAGUCCUUGUACUCCCAAAAUGUUGCUACUUAGUGUAUAUUCUUUUUAUUUGUCAGAUCGUUGACACUAAUUAUUAAUUCUAAAAUUCGAGUGAUUAGAAAUAUGCAACUAAUUUACUUAAAUCAUAUAUACAUAUAUAGCGCUUAUGGGUCUCGAUUGUAACUCGAUCAACCAGCUUCACGCUACUUCUCAUAUGACUCAGCUCAAUCUGACUUUUCACCAUUACGAACGUGAGUCGGUCCAAUCUAACCUCCGACCACAUCGCAGGAUGCUGGCGUCUUUAAUUUUAGAAAAUUCCAAAAUUUUCAUACAAAAUAACUAAGUUAUUUCAAUCUACAACAAUGACUCAAUAUUACUUUAUAUAAUGAUUAGAAAUUAAAAUAUAAUAAUGUAAAGAGAAACCAAAUUGUGAUAUGGGAAUAGUGCAGGGAUCAUUCAUACAAUUAAAUUUUUUUUAUAAAAAAAUUGCCAACUAAUGCAUGGAGGUUGUUUUAGCUUGCAUCAGUGCUAUCUAUAGCUGUUAGCUAGGCACGGUCACAUUCAACAAAACGUUACGUAACAAACGCUUGGUGGGGACUACCAUGCAAAAUAUAAAAUUUUUUAUUUCAUUUUUCACUUUACUUUAUUAUUUUAUUUAUUUUGCAUUUGGGUCCUUGUCACCCCAUGUGUGUUGUUUCACACCAUCACACCUUUGCUCCCUCAAAGUAAGGAAAAGAUAUUUGUUUAUUUACUGGAAAAGAGAAAGGGCGAGGGAAUCUCGUUUUGCCUCGGAAAGUGUGAACUCUUGUACUAAAAUAAAUUAAAAGAGACUUCACAUUUUGCGAACUUAUCCUCUCACAUAAAUAUGAAAGUUAACGGGUCCAAUUCGGAUCGGGUUUAGAAAAAUCUAAAUUCAAACAGAUCCGGAACUUGAAUCCGAGCUUGAGUCUGAAUCCGACGGACUUUAAAAGCCCAUAUCCAAAACUGAAUCCAAUCAAAAAUUCUAAAUUUGAACCCCAACUCGAAAACUCGAACACGAAGCAAUUAUUUUUCUUUACUAUAUUUCAAAAUAAAUUAAUAAAUUAUAAAUUUUUUUAAAAAAUUAAAAUAUAACAUCAAAUAUUUAUAUAUAGUAUAUAAUAUAAAAUGUAUUUAUCGGAUUCGGGUACUGAAAUAAUUCAUAUUUGAAUUCGAAUUCGCCGGGUUUUCGUUUUUUAUAGUCAUAUUCAACACUAUAUCUGUUUAGUAUCGGGUAAACCCACUCCAUUCGGAUUUGAGUGCGUGUUUAAAUAAAAUUUCAAGUAUCCUUACCCAUUGACAUUCCUACAUAUGAAUAGUAUGUACUUAGAGUCCGUUGGUUGCACGUAUCUGCAACUGCAGUGCAGUUGCAAAUACAUGCAACUUCAAUUCUCAUGUUUGAAUUUAGUGCAGUUGACCGUCAAUUUGAACACUCUAUCAUCUAAAAUGACAUGGAAGCAUCAUGGACUAGAUAUUUCUAAAAAUAUUCUAACUCAGUCCUAGAGGUAGUAUAAUAUUGUAUAAAUCAACAAAAAAAAAAAUUAUUGUUUAAAAUCAACUUAGAUAAAUAUAACUAAUUAUAUUAAGGUUUUUCUUUUAACUUAAAUUUUAUGCAAUUUAAAGGCCUGUCAAAAUAGAUUUCUUUAUUAUUGUGAUCACAGAUAAUCUAGCCAUAUAUCUUCCUAAAAAUAAUAAUAAGAACAAAAAUAUAUAAACUCAAUUUGCCUGAACUAUAGACCAUUUUGAUUCGACUAUUCAAUUUUUCAAAAUUUUAAUAUUAUUACCUAACCUUUCAACUUAUUUGACUUAAGUGAUAUGAUGAUUUUUCAAUUACAAAAUUUAAACUAAUUGCCCACUUUAAUGAAUUUAUAAUUACGUACAUUAAUUGCAUAUAAUAUACUAACUAAAUUCGUAAAGAUAAACAACACAUUCAAAUUUCGAAAUUAAAAGGUCACUAAUUGACUUAAAUCAAAUAAAUAAAAAAGUCAGAUAAUAAAAUCAAAAUUUUCAAAGAUUAGAUAGUCGAAUCCGAAAAGCUGAUAAUUGAUGUAAGUUUUAUACAUUUUUGCCAAUUAAAGAGAAAUAAGCACUUAAAAGCAACCAUCAUUUUUUUUUUUUUGUUUUCUCACAAAAAACAUGGAAUGCAAACAAUUCACCAUCUAUCCAUAUAUUCAAUGAUACUGAAUUUGAGUUCCAAAAAAAAUAUAAUAAUAAAUAUGAUAAAAUGGGGUCUUAAGCAACAAUUAGAUUUACCAUGCUUGAUCCAUCUUUAGAAACUAGAAAAAGUAAUUAACUUGAGAAUUAUUGUGAGGCAAAAUAAAUGCUAAUUUUACAUAUACAGUAGGGUCACAUAUAAAUAAGAAAUUAAUGUUGGCAAAACUCGAUCAACCAAGAUAAGCAGUUUCAGUUAAAUGGGUUGGUGGUUAGUUAAUGGUCCUAAUUAAUUAUUAUCUCCAACUUUUGAGGUUCUUAAUUUGCCAUUUAAUGACUUUUUUAAUUUUUUUCUAAACAAAGAGAAUCAAUCCAUGUGACAAUCUUAACUCUACAGUAGAAAUUUCCUAGUUUAUUAUAUUCUGCUUUUAUUUAUUAAAAAAGAAAAUCUGUGAUCUUGAACCAUUAGGUAGACAUUUAAUUUGAUUUAGCUGAAAAUGUAUAAACAUUUUAUCGCGACAAAAUUAAGAAAAGGAUAUAAUUUUAGUCUUGUGCUUUUGCAGUAGUAGAUAGUUUUGUGACAACUUCAUUACUCUAUUCAAACAAACUCUUUAUGAAUUAAUUAACAUUCUUUUUUUUUUCUUUCUUUUUCUUUUUUUUUGAGAAAUAGGUAGCAAGCCACCUGCUUCAUUCAUUAAGCGAAAUGAACAAUUAACAUUUUUUUCAUAAGCUUCAACUGAGUGAAUAAGUCACAACCAUGUUCAAGCAGUUUUAUUUUCCACUUAAUUUUUUGUUUAUAAUUGGUUUCUACACUCUUCUCAGGUGAUACAACAACAAAAAUUUGGCACAGGGAUUAAGUAGCUAGUAAUAAUAAUUUCCACCUCUCACAUUAUUCACAAUCUAUACAGUAUACACUACAACAAAAUUUCUCACAUUAUUCACAAUCUAUACAGUAUACACUACAACAAAAUUAGGUUAUAGGGACAUAUUUUUGGGGCACUUUUGUGUACAUAUUUCAUUUUUACCAAAAUUUUUUUAAAAAAAUCUAUAAGGUCUAAAUAUAAAACCUAAUCCAACCAAAAAUAAAAAAUUUCUCUACUCAACCAGUCCCACCCAGCCCACUCAACCCAAUUACAAAUAGGAAGAAAAAAAAAAAAUGAUCACCAUCUCCCCUACUCCUCCGCCGCCGCAGCCGACGAGGUAGGGUUCCAGUGGCUGGAGUUCGGUCGCGAGAAUCUCGCAGGGGUUGUAGAGAGUUACGAUCACCACGUAUUCCUCCACCACAGGUCGCUGGAGGAGUGGGUGCCAAACAUCGAGACGAUCCCACAUAUAGCGACUCCACAUAUAGCGGCUUUUUUUAGAAAGUUUCGGUAAUUUAGCCAACAACACUUUUUUUAAUCUGUACCGAUAUUUUAAAAGUGUCGCUAUAUACCGUUUUUGUUGUAGUACUUGUAACAAGUAUUAAUAUUCACUCCGAAAGCUGUGCCAAAAAGAAUAAAAUAUUUAUACAAUACAAAAUAUAAAUGUAGCUUGUUUAGCUGAAAGUAAAAAUGUAUAGAAUAUAUUUGAAUUAUAGACUGUUUUAAUGUGAUGGUUUUUUCGAUACAAAAUUUAACCUAAUUAUUUAUUUGAAUAAAUUUACCAAUAUAUGAAUUGUACAAAAUAUUUUAAUUUAGCCCGUAAAGAUAAGUAACGUACGACCGAUACAGAUUAAAUAAAAAUGAGAGGUUAGAUAGUAAAAUUUAAUUUUUUAAUGGUUAGAUAGUUAGAUCAAAAUUAGUGACCGUUAAAGUAAAGUUUAUAUAUUUUAGUUUUUUUUUGUAAAUAACACCACCUCAAAAUAAAAAUGGAGAAAAAAAAAAUACAGCUCAUUUUUGAUGAAACCAAGGAAAAGAUCCCCCACCUCGUAACUUCCUGUGAAGCCAAAAUCCAGCAAAAGCAGCAUGGUAAAGCUCCUAGAACCUUCUCCAUUGUUCACCUCCCUUGGUUCCAAUAAAAUUAAAUUAAAUUAAAUUAAAAUUUAAAAAAAAAAUCUACCACAUGGAUCCCAAUUUAAUUUUCUGUUCAUUGUGGUCCCUAUGAUUUGAUGAGGUGAUUGCCACCACCACAUAUUAUAUACAUAUAUAUACAGUAAAAAAAAAAAACAAAGAAAAAAGGGAAAGUGACUCGACUCUAUCAAUUAAUUAUAGUAUAAUAAUCCUAUUAUUCUUGUCUCCUUGCUUUAGUGAUGUACACAAAGAGUAAUGUAAUGGUUUCUUUAAAUAGGUUAAUAAUAGAGGCCAUCUAGGGUUAUGACAUUAAUCAUUGCACAUUAUAUCUUUAAUGCCAUGAUUUGCUCUAAAUUAUUUAACAUAUUUAUUAAAAGAUGAGAGCAUAACCAUAACCAGAAGAUAAAACUAUGAGGUAAAUAUAUAAAUAUAUGCUGAGUUUUGAAGUUUUCUUCUAGAGGAUCUGUUUGAACUAGCAAUGCGAAAAUUUUAAAAUUUGGAGUUGCCGUUGCGGUGCGGUUGAAAUGGACUUGCAAAUUAGACUUUUGCAAGAAGUCACGUCAGGAAGAAGACUAGGUCAAAUGAGUCCAGAAAUUUUAGAUGUGCAGCAAAAUAUUUGCAACCAUUCUUAACCAUCAAUCAAGAUUAAGAAAGGAAAAAACAAAUUAUUCUAAACCCUCCACAUCAAAUUUUUUUUUUGUUUUGUCCUUAUUGCCAAAUUCCAUCUAAACCAACCAUAUGGGCAUGAACUUGUGCCUAAACCCUUUUACAUCUCACACCCAAACUCUUUGAUCUUGUUACACUUAAAACAAUUCAAAUUCAAGAAAAAAAAAAAAAGGAAAAAAAAAAAAAACCAUAAUCUAACUCUCCCUAUAUAAUUCCCUUCUUAAUUAUAUAUUAAUUAUCAUUAUUUUUAUUUUUUUAUUUUUUGUUAUUGUUAUUUUCUCGUCAAUGACUAUGACUAUGAGGCAGGAGCCUCAGAGCCUCCAACAGAGUGUUCUUGAGCCUGCCCAAAUGCGGCCUCAAAUUCUGCUUGUCCAAAUACACGGUUUUGAGCGCGUCCCAGCCUUGCUUGUGGACGGAGAAGGGGUCUUUCAGGACCGGGUGGUCGGUGUGAUAUUGCUCACUAAGUGUUGUCUCGUCGAGCCGUAUCUUGUACUCGAUGUAGUGGAUCUCCAUGUCCUUGGCGGGCUCCUGGAAGGUUCCUCUGGCCAGCCACUCCAGCCCGCCGAAGGGCACGAUCUGAAUCAGCACGGCCCCCGCGGGGAGGAACACCAUGUUGGUCAGCCCCGCCCCGUGGGCGCCGACCAUCACGUCGGCAGAAUUCACCAGCCGCGCGAACUUGGCGACGUCGGUGUUGAUGUCGGGCUCGCCCACGCGCACGUCGAAGCCCAGGCUGGUCGCCAUGUCGACCAUCGCCCGCUCGUUCAGGAACGUCCGGGAGUUCUUCCGGGAGAUGAUCAGCAGCCGCGGCCGCCGCCGGAUGUCCCACUGGUCGCCGCUCGGCGCCGCGGCCGCCCGCUCCAGCCCGAAGGCGCGCCGCAGCAGCUUCCGGAAGUCGGCCGCCGAGUAGCCCCCGGCAGUCUUCCCCGCGUCGACGCCGAGCUCCUUGUGGAAGGUCGGGCCGACGACGGCGCGCGGGAAGCAGUGGACCUCGUCGUCGUUGUCGACGUCGAUUAUGUCGUACUUGGAGAGCUGCUGGAAGAUGAGCAGGUACUUGCUGAUCCACCAGGGCUUGAGGCUGCUGACGAGGAACUGCACCUCGGCGUCGUAUCGGAACGAGCUGAUGAACACCGGGACGAGCACGUCGGUGUAGUCGUGGAAGAGGUUGCCGGUGAAGCCGCCGUUGGAGAAGAUCAUGGCGGUGGCGGAGUGGUUGCGGGUGCAGGGCGGGGGAGGCCGGGCGGCGGAGAAGGGUUUGAGGGUCCACUCCUUGACGUGGGAGAGCGCGAAGGCGUCGUGCUUCCGGCAGUAGGGCUUGAUCUUCCACUCCUGGGCCAGCGGCUGAAUGUACACGGUCUGGGUGCGGCCCUGCACGCGCACGUCGCCGGCAGCCUCGCACGUGUCCGACCGCCGGCUCGACUCGUAGCACGUCGGCUUGCUCAGGUCGACCGCCUGCGCCUGCGCCUCCGCCUUCGCCUUCGUCUCCGUUUCUGCUUCGUCGUCUUCGUCCUCUGCGAACCAAAACAAUAAAAAAAGAGAAAAUGUUGAGUUUUGGUCCAUUGUUAACAAAUUUACGCACGAUUUAUGUUAAUUGAUUGAUGCAUUGGUGUAAUUCUUUUUUUGUAGAGAAAGAAAAAGAAAGAGGGAGAGAGAGAUUGAAAAGAAACCAAUUGCAGCAGAGUCAGCUGUUUCUGCUGUUUCCUUUGUUUCUUCUUUUUCUAUCUUCAAGCUCUCCUUCCUCUCUUCCUCAAACACCACUGGCUCAUCUGAUUUCACUGCUUCAAAAAAAAAAAAAAUAAUCCAAAAAAUACUUCAGAGAGAGAUAUAUAUAUAUAUAUAGAGAGAGAGAGAGAGAGAUUAAGAAUCUAUACCAUAAGGAGCAAAGUGGGACUUGAUGAUGGAGAGAACACAAAGAGAGAGGAAUAUGGCAAGUAUGAUGGUCACAUUCCCCACCCUUUUAGCCUCUGUUCUUGAGAAAUUCCUCUGAGACUUCAUCUUCCUUCUUCUUCUUCCUCUUCCUCUUCCUCUUCUUCUUCUUCCACCUUUUCUUAAAGCUCGCUCGCUCUCUCUCUCUCUCUCUCUCUCUCUCUCUCUCUACUCUUCUAUCUGGAGCACUUCAAACCUUUGUUGAAUCAUUAAUAUACCAACUUGGGUCUUCUUCUUUUUAUAUGUAUUUAUAUAUAUAUUAGAAAAAUAAAAAGAAGUGGUUAAUAAAGUUUUGAGCCAUGACAUGUGUACACCCAACAGCAAUUGUAAAUUUUACACUAUUUAUUCAAGAGACCAUUUUAUUAUACUAGUUUUACCACACUUUAAUUUGCUAAUAAUAAAAUUCUAAAAAAAAUUAUACGUAAAUCUUACCGUCUAUUUAUUAUAUUAGUUUUAGCAUGCAUUUAUUUCUCUAAUACUAAAAAUCUAAAAAAAUUAUAUGUAAAUCUUACACUCCGCUUGCUUUCUGAAGAUUUAUUGUAUUAUAUUAGUUUUAUUAUCCUUUUAUUUUUUUAAUUCUAAAAAAAUUAAAAAUUAUAGCAAAUCUUAUACUCUACUAUCCAAGAGUUUAUUUUAUAUAUUUUAUUAGUUUUUUUAUUUUUUUAUUUUUUUAAUACUAAAUAUGUAACCGUUCACACCUGACAUGAUUGGCUGCUAUGUACUUUAUAAUUUGGUAGCUGAAGUUUUCAAAUUCGAAGCUCAAUUGAUUUAGAUUUUUAGCUAAAUUUACUUUUAAAUAAUAAGCGAAAUAAAUAACUUGCUAUAUUUUUCUUAAAAAAUUAAAAAUUAAAAAAAUUAUAUAAUUUAUAUUCUAUUUUUGAAUGCAUAGAGAAUAAUUUUUUUGAAGUUUUAUAAGGGUUGGUGGAUUCGCAUCAUGGGUUGACUAAUAGUGACAAGCACUAGCAAUACAUGGAGAAGGCACAAAUUCAUUACUAUAUUUUUUUGUGUUUUAUAAUAGUAAUUACCAAAUCUCUUUAUUUUAAUCAAAAUGCACUUAAUUACCAACUCUUGUGUUUGAAUAUCAAACCGUUAGAUUUGUAGCUUUUUCUCUUCCAUUUUUAAAUACAUGUUACAAUAAACUUUAAUAUUUGUGGUUUUUAAUUAUUAGGUGCAAUCAAAACUCUAAAACUUAUCUUCUUCUCUUUUUUUUUUUUGGCUCACACUAGGUUUGGAACCCUAGAUUUUUUUUUUUUAAUACAAUCACACCAUAUAUGUAUGCAGUCAAUUAGGCUUUGCUAUGAUUAGUACAAGUGGAUUUGGAUUUUAAUGUUGUGAAAGAGAGAAAACUCAAAACCAAAUGUUGUUUUUGACCUCAUCUAAAUUGUACUUAAAUAGAGUUGACACAGUAUAAGCAUAGUGGCCUAAGAAUGUGACAUAUUUAUGCAAAGCAUAAUGGCCUAAGAAUGUGACAUAUUUAUGCAAACCAUUUUGAUUCGAUUAUCAAAUUUAAUAUUUUAAUUUUAUUUAAUUUGAGUUAGUCGAUGGCAUCUUGAUGUCAAUUUUGAAUGCAUCACUUAUGUUUACAUAUUUAAUUAGAACAUUUCAUACCAUUCUUCCAACUAUAAAUUUAUUAAAAUAAUUAAUUAGGUUAAAAUUUGAAUUCAAAAUAUCGUUGUCUAGCUGAAAUCAAAUAAAUUUAAAGGUCAAGCAGUAAAAUCAAAAUUUUAAAAGACCAAGUUGCUGAUUCAAAAUAGCAUAUAGUUCAGAUAAAUAAUGUAAAUUUUUAUCUUGUUAGAAUUCAUCCAAUUCAAUAUAUAGUUUGAGCAUGUAAAUUUAAACACUUCUAGCAUAUGCUAAUUCAUUGAAUAUUUUAAUUUAUUUAUACAAUAAUGUGUACCACAGUAACCUAUAUGAAAGGACACAUGAGCCUUAUGUACUAGUAUUAAAGCAACCUUAACCUAUUUUUGCAAGCAUCCAUAUUGUUGUUGCUUGGAAAGGGAUAUUUUUUCCUCUUUUUUUUUUUUUUUUUUGACUAUUUCAAAGUCUUCUUAAGAACAUUACAAAAAUCCAUAGAGAUCUCGUGGAAGAAGCAACCCAAAUCUAGGGUCCUCUAACUUUGACUAUUAAUUAGAAUACUAUUUUAAUUUUAUAUUUUCUUUCAAUAAACACAUGUAUUUUUAACCUUCGUUCAUUUCUUUUUAGGUAAAAAAUAAUGUAUGGAGAGACGACCCCAAAUUAAUGUAGGCCAUUUUGACAUAGACCUCUUAGUUUUCAAAUUUUUUUUAUUUAAGUUAUUUUUUUAGCCCAUAGAUCAACCUCACUGAUCAUUUCUUUUCAUUGGAUUAAUAUUAUUAACCAAUAAAGACCACUCAAUCCUAGGGGGACCAUUCAACCCUAAGGAGACCGCUAUCAUUCCAAUCGUAGAAUUUUUAAUCCAAUGACUAAAAAAUCGGAAGUAACAACUAUUUUAUACUUCCAAUAGCAUAGUAGCUCUACACUAUAUAUAUAUAUAUAUAUAUAUAUAUAUACCAUUUGGUUCGAGUAUAAAUAAGAACUAGCUAUUACAGGGAUAGGUACAAAUAUGGGAAUAAGAAAAAUAGCGUUUGGAUGAAAAUUGGGUUAUUUUCGGGGAUAAGAAAAAUAGUGUUUGAAUAGAUAAUAUGAAAUAAGAAAAAUAUUAGAUAGUUUUAUAUAGAAAAUGGAGGUGUUGGUCGGAAUAGUUAUAACCGAUUAUUAUAGGUAAUCGAGAACUACUGUUCUCGAGUAAAAAAUUAGCGUUUUGGUAUAAAGGAGGGUAUAAGGGACUAUCUCUAUCUCUAUCCCCCAACCAAACACUGCGGGAUAGUAUCUAAUAUACCUUCAGAAACUUCAAAAAUAUCUAAAUAUCCCUUGUUGACUAAAAUGUACUUAUUAAUUUUCAAAAUCCUUUCAAAUGUCCUUCAAUACACAUGGGUGUUUUGGUAAUUUAAGAAUAAAUUUGAAAAUUUUGAAUAGUAGUUAGGAAUAAAUAAGCAAAAGUAUUUUUCUUAUUAUAGCUUUCGAGGAAUUUCUUUUUUUUUUCCGCCCACUGUAUUAAAGAAAAUGUCCAACCUCUUCUUGCCAAGGAAUGGGACAUGGUCAUGUGGAUAAUGAGUAAAGAAUACAUGUUGGUGAAUGAUUUUUCUCCAUGUAAUGUAGCAACUGAUCCAUGAUAACAUUUCUUAAGAAGAGUAGGACCAAGUUAAUCAGUGUUAAAAUAAUCAAACUAUGAAUGAGUAAAACUUUGACAACUUCAUAUAUAGCUUCAAAAACAUUGUGCAAGCAAUAUGGGUUAAUUAGCUGGCACACCUAUAUCCACAUGAAAUCCUCUUUAUAUCCUAAGACUAGGUUGUACCAUUCCACUUUAAUACCAAUUUGUCUUGUUAUUCUAUCAAUAUUAUUAGGGGUUUGCUUGAUUAGAGUAACUAUUUUCAACAAGAUUGUUUAGAAAAGAAUUGUUACGUGAAGUUUUUGGUAGCUUCUCGGUUGUUACGGAUGCAAAAGUUUCAAUGAACGAAAAGUAUAUUCUAAUUAGUUUUACAAUACGAUAAAAAAAAAAUUACACUUUUUAGAUAUUUGUACAGAAAAUUCUGUAGUAAUAUGUAUAUAAUUUUGUAUAAGUCAAACGAUCAAUUUUUUUUCUUUAAUCGCUAACAACUUUCUUGAACUUUAAUUUAGAAAAAUAAUUCAAAUCAAAGUAAUGAACACUUGAUUUGAAUAAAGUUUGCAACCUAGCUUAGAAAAGUAACACUUAAUCACAAUGUACAAUAAUAACUUCUCAUGUGCAACACUGAUGAGAAUGCAACCUAGUUAGCCUCAAAUUAGUUUUUUUUAUAAACUUAGAUAUACAUAGGUCACACAAACCAAAGCAUUGCACACAUCCCCAAUUUAAUCUUUUCCCCCAAUUUCAAUCACAACAUUCUACUACCAUUUUUUUUGUUUUUUUCUUUUGACAUUCCACUAUCAUAACAAUUAAGGGUAAACUUCAAAUUGCUAUCCUAUGAUUUAGCUUAUUUUUACUUUAUCAUCAUGUAAUUCAAAAGAUUUCACUUUAUAUUAUACAUAAAAUAGGAUGGCAAAGUAGAAGAUAUUUAAAAACAUUAUAAGGUGUCAAAGUAAAACUUUUUUUAGCCACAGAAUGGCGAAGUGAAAAUGAGCUAAACCAGGCGGGGACAAUUUGAAGUUUACCCAUGAUCAAAAUACUCUAAUAAGGAGAAAAACUCUCUAGAUGCAUGCAUGUAAGCUCUUUUGUAAGAGUUAGAAGGCCACUUAUAAUAGCUUACCAACCCCAUUGAAGUCCCUUUCAAUGAGAUAAGACUUGAUUGUCCUCUACCACUAUGUUCCCUGCAAUAUUUGCUCCUCAUCACCCUUGUAAUUAGGGUUUUGUGGGACCAUCUCAUACAGCUGGGUCUUUAGCUGUAUAUGCACUUGGAAUCAACUACACAGCAAAGCUUUGGUAGUGGUAGCUCAUCCACCUAGCUUCUAUGAAUGGAAACAUUAGGGAAUCUUAUGCCAAAUUAACGUACUUAUACAUGAUGUUAAAGGUAUUCCUUUGUAGUUUUUGUAUCAGCUCAAUCUUUUUAGGUAAGAUCGUAUCAGAUCCUGUUAAAGGUGUCUUGAAAUUUGGCUAUCGACUUUAAUUUUAGACCCCCGAUCUUCGUUGACAGUUUCGCAAUGCAUGCGGCAGAUUUUUUUUGAAAAAAUAAAUUGUGAAGCAAAAAUAAAUAUCUAUGGUGAGUAGCGAAGGGCUCGAAUCUGACCCAUUAAGAAGAAUCCGUGAAGAAAUUUUCUUCUCCUCUUUUGGCCUAAGCGCGAUGAAGCGUACUGUAAUCCUCUAAAAAUUGUAUUUUUUAUUUUUUUUUUACAUAGUGAAGUUCUCUUCUCCUUAAUUUGCCCAUAAUUUUUUUCUGCAAAAUAUUUUUCAUGCAAAUUUGUGUACUCAUUUUAUUUUCUGUUUGUAGUUUGUCUAUUUCACGUUCGUCAUUUUUCAUUUCUGUUUAUGCGCUUGUCGCAACAUGUCCAACAUCAACUUCGGUCAUCAUGUACGGCUAUUGGUAUGAUAUUUACCACUUUCAGUCAAAUUGCAUAUGUAACGAUAAGAUCCAGUUAUUAGUUUUUACUACCAGAGAUCGAGCUUAGUUAUUAGAUAUCCACGCACAAUCUCUUUACUAACAAAUGAAUUUGGGACUAUUGGGACGUCACGUACACAAUCUUUUUAAUAACAUUUGGGAUUAAUGGACCUUUCUAGGAUAAAUUACUUGGCCUAUCUCCAUCACCAUGAGGUUUCUUAACUGCAUAUAUAAAUAAAGGUAAAGUUCUUCCCCUUUCACAACUUGUUACUUGGACCACCAUUGAGAGCUCAAUUCAUGUGAGUUCAAUCAAAAAGUUGCCUCAUGAAUAGUUAAGUAUCCAAUAAUUGAGGGUGGCAUUCUUGGCCCACUCCUGCACCAACAGAGACACCACAUAAUUGAUUUUAAAAUUUGACAAUUACCAAGCAUGGACCAGGUAGGGUUCAUGGUAAAAAUGUUAAAAGUUAAAACCUCUUAGAAUGCACAGCUUCUGAGGUACAUUCUCAACUCCAAAAAGCAGCAACGCGUACAUUUGAUAAACAAAAGGUCUAGAGUUUUUGCUGCAAUGGAAAACUAAAAUGAGUUUUCUCGUAUCAAAACUCGAAGUUUUGGGACAGAAAAAGGUUAAAACUACCCAGCAUGAAAGUUAAAAACUCUUAGGGGCCAUUUGAUUGGAUGUAAUUUUUUUUUUUUUUUUUGAGAGAUAAGUAGCACGUUACCCGCUUCGUUUAUUUCAUUUAGAAAUAAAUUUAGCUGAAAAUAUGAAUCAACUAGGAUUCGAACUUGGGUCUCAAGUACCAACCAUCAAACCCUUUGCCACUUGCUCUAAGGACGGUCAGUUGAAAGUACAUGCAUUUUCGCAAUGCAUUUGAUUGGAUGUAAUUACAAAAACAGUAUAGUUGAAAGUACAUGCAGUUGUAAAUACUGCAGUCAAAAUUAUAUCUAGUCUGUUUGAUUUUAUACAAUUGCAACUGCUGCAGUUAUAUUUCUUUUGUUUGGUAAUCUGCAGUUAAGAUUUGUAUUUGUAAAUUCUGUCAAUUUUUAGAUAGAAAGGUGAGAUUAUCUAUUCUGAGCAUAACAUAAUUAUAUUUUAAUUAUUAAUUAAGACUUUUAUAUUUAUAUAUAAUUUAUAUAUUAUAAAAUUAUGUAUAAAUUUAAUAAAUUUUAAAUAUGAAUAUAUUAUAAAUUUGGUCAAAAUAAAAAUUAAGAUAUUAUUAAACUAGCAUACUGAAAAAUAAGAAGCGUAGAAAAAAAAAAUUAUUGACCCUAACACAUAUUACUAAAUCCUAUCAGAUUUCAUGAAUAUGUAUUUUUGGAAAAAAUAAAAUAAAAAAAAGUGUUUGAAGAAAAAAAUCACACUUUGUUUAUUUUUUUUAAUGGGUGAACCGACUCCGGCUCAACUGCUGCAGUUGGUCCUUCUCGUGCAGAUACAACUGUAGUAGUUGGGUCUAACUAUACCAAACCAAACAAAAAAUUAAUAGAUGCAUGCAUUUUCAAGUACAAUGCAGUUGGAAAUACAUGCAACCAAACACCCCUUAAAACGCUUGCUAGGUACGUCUCGAAUUCUAAAACCGCAAAAUUUUCUAAUCUUAUUCUGUUUUGAUUAUCCUAUUAAGUUAAGUUUAAAUUAUUCCUAAUGUAAUUUAAAUAUUUAUAAUCCUAGUGAAUUUGUAUUUCUAAUCAUAUUAGAAUUUAGCUACUACUAUAAAUAUAUCAUUUAUUCCGUUGAUUUGGUGUGGCAGAUGAGAAGGAGUAUGGGUGUAUUUUUGGGAUUAGAAUUUUGCGAGAGAGACAUAUAUUGUACAACAUUUUGAUUAUAAUGGAAGUCUCGGCUCCGUCUUCGCCCGUAGAUAUAGACCAGUAGCCGAACCACGUAAUAUUGUGUGUGUGUUUUUUUUUUUUUCUUUCUCGAAUCUUUUUUGAUAUUUUUGCACCCAAUGAACUAAAUCUUUUCCGCCUUUGUUCUAAGGGCACUCAACUUCUAAAGUAAGUUCUCAACUCCAAAAAGCAGCAGCAUAUUAAUUAAACAAAUUGAGAAAUUCUGUAUUUUUUUGUUUUGAGAGAUAGGUAGCACGCUACCUGCUUCGUUUAUUUCAUUUAAAAAUAAACUUAGCUGGAAAUGUAAAUCAACUAGGAUUCGACCUUGGGUCUCGGAUACCAACCACCAAAUUUUUUGCCACUUGCUUUAGAAACGGUCAGUGAAAUUUUGUAAGUUUUACUAUAGCCAAAAACUAAAAUGACUUUGCUUGUCGGAAACAAAGAUUGGGACCAAAAAAAAAAAAAAAAAAAAAAAAAAAAACCACUAUUACGGAAACAAGUAUGUGUUUUUUCAAACAGCUGUGUUGUAUGAUUCCAGUGGGACAUUUGAAAACUAAUUUUUUUUAUUCUUUUCUGUGGUUGUAAAAUGAGUCUUCUGAAUCUAAAAGUUCAACAAAUUACUGUUUUUUGAAAUCAAAUACCAACUAGGUACAGUGUUCUAAGAUCAGUGAUCUACUUCAAUUUAAUUACAUUAUUACUUAUUCUGUGAAAAAUGUACUACAAUGCUGUAAUGUAUUUUGCGAAAAUUGCGCUCAAGAGUCUCGUAGACAAAGAUGUACAAAAUUGCUGGAACAAUAAUUUAAAGUCACAUAAUCACUAUUCAACUAUCCUCUUAAUUAAAUACUAAUAAAGAGGAAUUUAAUGUAGGUAUCUUUAAUAACCUGUUAGCAUGUCUUGUCCUUGCGUGUAACAAGGACAAAAAUUUUGAAUGGAGAUGCAGUGAAAGAAAGUGGUCAUAAAUAUUAAAUACAUUUUUGAGUCAGGUCGCGUUACACGCGUGGCAUGAGAGUCAGUUCUAAAUUAUUUAUUUUAUUUUUUUUAUAUAAAAAUAUACAGAAUUUAUCUAAAUUAUAAAUUAUUUUGAAUCAGCUAUUUAAUCUUUCAAAAUUUUAAAUUUUACUAUAUACCCUAUCUUUCAAUUUGCUUGAUUUGAAUCAGUCUACGGCAUUUUCAUUUCAAAAUUUAAGUAUAUCAUUCUCUUUGCAUAUUUAAUUUAUAUAUACUUUGUAUAAUUUUCAUAACUAUGAAUUUAUUGAAGUAAGAAAAUUAGCUUAAAUUUUGAAGUUAAAAUGUGCGUCGUCGUCGACCGACUCAAAUCGAAUAAAUUAAAAAACUGAGUAGCAAAAUUAAUUUUUUGAAAAAAAUUAGAUAGUAGAUCAAAAUGAUUCAUUGUUCAGCUAAGCUGUAUACGUUUUUGCCUUUUUAGGAAUCGUAAAUUCAAAUUCUCAUCAUGCAACUGGAUUAGUUAAAUUCCUGCAUUAAAAUUUAAUAAAUCAAAUAUCAAUAUUUUAUCUCAUUUAUCAAUUUUAUAGAGGUGUUUUUUAAAAACAGAGAUCAAGUAGCAUAUAUAUUAGUAACUUAUAUAAGUUUUACACAAACAUGAAGUCCAAUUUUAUUCCGCUACUAUUGGAUGAAUCUUAAUUUAGACGUAAAAAUAUUAAAAAAAAUUCUCAAAUUUUUAUAUUUACAAAUUUUACGCAACGGCUUAAAUCUUCAUUUUGAAACCUUUAUAAUUAAGUUUUAACUUAUGUUAAAAGAUAUAUAACUUAAUAACAUAUAAAUUAAGUUUUAUUUUAAUGAAUGAGGCUACUGUACUAUCUAUCGGAGCUCCGGUAUUAUAGUCUCGUUUUCGAUCUUAAGGUAUUUGAAUCAACAAUCAACACUAUUAAACAUAAUCUAGGGUAUAUAUGUAAUGUAGUUUUUAGAAAAUAAAAUUUUAAUUUUUUUCGACAUCGUUUACUUAGUAAAUAAAUCAUACUAAAUUAAACGGUAAAAAUUGAAAAAUCUUUAAAAUUUGAUGAUAAAAUUUUCGAAUUUAAGAUCAAAGAUACUGACAUUGAUCUAGAUAUUUUAAAAUAUUUUCUGUCAAAAUUUGAAUAAAUUUAGAUUCUUCUACAUUGUUAAACUAUAAACUGGCCAUAAUAGUCGCUAAAAAUUGACAAUUUUAAAAUAGUUUAAUCAUAAAAUAAAUAAUGUCGAAAAAAAUAUAAAAAUUUAUUUUCAAGAACUUUAAAUAUUCUAUAUCAGUUUUAAUCAAAUUGACCAACCUAAAAUAAAAAAAAGGAGACUAUAGCACCAAAAUGUCGGUACUAUAAAAUGUUUGAAGUGCCUUACAUUUAUUUUAAUAUAGUUUUUGAAAAAAAAGAAAAAUAAAAGGACAUGAAGGAGCGCUCCACACGCCAUUUGAGUUAGGUGGUACGUUAAAUCUCCACAAUUUGGAAAAGUGAUUUCGUUUUAUGUAGAUUUUUUUUUUUUUUUUUUUUUUUUUUUGUUAUGUAUCUAUCUCUUUCAAACUGCUCCAAAUCCACUACCAAAGUUACAUGCAUUACACCAACUUUAUAGAUAUAUUUAGAACUAUCAUAGAAAAUCCGUCUCUUUUUUGGUUCUCUUGUUGCAAAGUCAAUGAGAAGAUAUUUAAUAUUAGUGCAAUAGAGACAUGAAGAGAAAAGAUAAGAAAGUGCUUUUUCCUGCAGCUCCUCAAAAUGCCAACACUGCAAAGCAAAACGACUUUUCACCAACUAGGUGUAGGCAUCAAUAAUUAUUUUUGUUUAUACACAAAUUGUAAAUAAACUUUUGGUAAAUAGAAAAGUUUAGCGCUUCUGGAACGCGGAAAAGAUAAGAGGAACUUUAAGAGACAAAAGCUUUAUGAGAAUUAUUAUAUUCACGAUAAGAUCAUCGUAUUCGCUGUUCAUCACGCGCCUCAUAGUUUGAGGACCAAAAGUGUAAUUUAUUUCUUUUUUUUAAUUCUGUCCAAACAAACAAAAAAUAAUUAUGAGUAUCAUCCUACAGUGACAUCGCCAAAACUUAUUCUUCGUCACAUUCAGCACAUGAAUCCUAAAAUAGUAAUAAACAGUGAAUUUGACAAUCUUGUCGUGUGGAUGGUAGGCAUAAAUUUUUUCCUUCCUUUCAAAUGAACCAAGAAAGAUUAUAAGAAUCAUCUCCACGAUGAGAUCGUCAAAUCUAUCAUUCAUCAUAUUCAAUACUCGAAUCUUAAAAUAGUGAUAAACGAUAAAUUUGACAAUCUAGCUCACGGUAUGAAUAAUCCCUAUAAAUUUCUAAUUACUUUUAAGACUAGCAAAAAUUUUGCAAACACUAUCAUAGAAUUUCUGUUGUUUAAAAGUCAAUAAGAAGAUUUGAAAUAUCAGUGCAAUUGAGAUAUGAAGAAAAAAGGUGGGAAAGCGCUUUUCCUCGCAAGCUCCUAAAAAUGCCAACACUAACAAAGUGAAAAUGACUUUCCACCAACUAGUAUUCCACCUGAGUAACUUUUCUGCUGUAACAAAUUGUAAGCAAACAUGUGGUAAAUAAAAAGUUUGGAGCUUCUCCAGAAAACGAUUGGAAGCGUUGAGAGAACAAAUGGGGUUGUCAAAUUUAUUGUUUAUCAUCAUCAUCAUCAUCAUAUUCAGUAGUCAAAUUUUAUGAGAAUCAUCUCCACAUCAUAAAAUCUAUCGUUCAUCACGUUCAGCGCUCAGAUGUUAAAAUAGUGAUGAAAGAUUAGUUUGACAAUUCCACCGCUUGAAUGAUUCCCACAAAAGUUACCAUCUAUCACUGUCCCAUGAGGACCCUACUAAAACUAAGGAACCAACCCAUUAAAACUAAGGAAGAGUUAAACCCAACCCUAACUAAAUAGCUUUCCGCACAGAAGCUCAAAUUAGCGUGAUCUUUAAGAUAAUCGCGCUGUAAUGAAGACCCAAACACUUGGUUGUACAAUUCUGGCUGCUAUUUGUCAAAAUAGAGAAGUCAUUCUAGAAGCUACUCAGAUUGACAACACGGCACGCUAUUCUGCUGAUGUAGCAAACUGCAUGCACUCAAAAAAACAAGAUUGCACAUCAUUAUGAUCAAGCUUGUACAUCAAUUUGUGGCAGGUUUGAGUAUCUGUAGCUUCUACACAAGUGUUAUUCCAGUACAACUUGUGGCUACUCUCGGAACAAAAGAAAAUCGCACUUCCGUUCUCAUUCAAAAGCGGAAUCGGACUCGUCAGAUCUCCUGAUUCAUCAGUCAUUCCAUUUACUGCACUCGUAAACGAAACAAACAGAAGCGGUCGUUCCCAUUACGAUACCGACCUCUUCAGAAUCAGCCUCAGAUUCUGGUUCCAAUUACGAACCAAACACAGCCAGUUGAAAAGAAAACACAAAAGCCGAGAACGGACCGGAAAAAUAAGGAAAGAAACAACAUCAAGAGAGGUGUACGAUACUAGUGGUAAACUUGUUGGUAAAAGGUAUGGACAGUAUAAAAAUAGGAUGCUCCCCCAUGAGCAAAAUAAGCACAUGAAGAGGAGAGGUCGCGUAUGAUACAAAGGGCCUCCGUCGCCUUUCCGACUACAAACAUACAUGGUACGCUCUUUCGCAAUAGUACCGAUUCUUAGGAGUACAACACAAACAAGUAUUUCCCCAACCGCACCUUUCUUUUACUAUCUUUGGUGUCCCCAACCAAUACAACAACCACAUUUCCUCACCCCGUAAAAUUAUCAGGCGCGACCAAAAAAUGCUUAUCUACGGAGCUGCUUCAUGUAGUUUGUUUCCUAUCUAUUGUCAAUCUAUGCAUUUAAAUCAAAUGGUCUUCCAUUUUUUUUUCCGUUUAUCAAGUCCUCCGGUGAUGCCUCUUCUUGCGAGAUUUGAGCAGCACGGACAUGUGAUCGACAUCUCGCGAGCCGGAUGAAGCGCCGCCCAUGAGCCACUCAAGAGCCUCGGAAGCCGCCUCCUUCUCCGCGAGCUUCUUGUUGCCGCAGGGCUGCCCGACAAACUGCAUCCCAUUGAACUCAACGGUGGCUCGGAACAGGCUGUUCUUGAGCUGUUUGGUUUUGUAGGCCGGGUUGUCGUGCCCGGCCCGGGUUAGCAGGGUCUGAAGCUGGCUUUUAGGAUUAUCACCACCACCACCACUACCACUACCAGAUUUUACCGAGAGAAGUGUUUUUGCUUUCUCGGGUUUAAGUUCCUGGCGACCGAAGAUGAACCGACCGCUGCAUGGGUCCUCAGUGACCAGCAAACGGAUGGCCGAAAGGAGCUCCUCGCUGGUUUGGAUGUCCAUUCUAGGGUUUAGCAGCUGUUGACAAGGAAAAGAAAAAUAAUUCAGGAAUACUUUAUCUUAAUUGGGGGCAAAAUUUGCCCUAAUUGAUAAAAAAUCAACAAGCCAACGGCAAGAAUAGUGGAAUGUCCUUUAGUCUGCUAGUUUGGCAAGUUGGAACUUCUGCAAAAGUGUUAUUUAUAAUAGAACUAUUUGAAGAAGCAUUAACACUUUUUUUGAUAAAAAAUAUCAUGAAAGAUCUCUUCCUAAAUAAGAAGCAUUGAAAUUGAAAGCCAUUUCAGCUUCCUGCUGCAGCAAAAACACCAGACUUUUGUAUUUUGACUCCAGUUUUUGAAAGUAUAUGCUUUCUGAAGUAGAGGUAAUUCCAGAAGCCAGGUCUAAUAGGCACUUACAAUUUAAUGAUUUAUUUUAAUAAAAAAUGCAUUCACUGGAAAUAAGCAGUGAUGUCACAAACUUAGUGGCGUACUUACUUUGCUCUGGAUUAAUUCGUUGAGUUCGCUCUUGAGGUUCAGAUAAGUUGAGGCUAGGUCAGGUUUCAUGAAGAAUUCCAAGUAACCACCCAACAUUUUCAGAUGCCCAUCCUGUAAAGAAAAAAAAAAUAUUAUGAAACCAAAUAAAACAGUCAAAAAUAGGUUUUUCUUUAAAAAAAAAAAAUCUACAUUCGUAGCAAUUGAUAUUCAUUAAUAUUAGUUCAAGAAAAACUUACUAGUCCCCCUCGUGAAAUAUUCCCUCCAAAGAGCAGCAGCACAGAAUCAGAUAUUGCUGUUGAGUCCCGAAGAAAUACUGAAUUUACUUUCACCUUCUCAUUGAACACUAACCAUGGGUACGGAAUCCUAGCUUCCCUACCAUUGACAGAAUUCUGAUACAAAGAGAAGAGAAGACACAAGAUAAUUAUUAACUAAUUACAAUAAAAUGUUAAGUAGAAAUUUAGAAGGCAAAAUGCUCCUUGACCCACUUUAACUUCAGCACAAUUUGAGAUCAUCUGUCAAACGAUGAAAAUGACAUAAAACCCCCUAAACAAUCUGAUUCGUAGAACAUAGCCACGUCUAGAAGUGGGCUUUCUUUUUCUUUUUUUUUUUGGCGACACAAUCAUUUUGCUCAGGUAGUUUUAUGCAAGGUUUUAAGUUCCAAUUGGCAUGGACCGUGCCCAAUGUGCCCGUAUCGUGCCACCAAAAUAUCGGCACAAUACGACCUCCGUGUCAAUGGCACGACUCAACAUCAUCUUUUCUUUGAAAUUAGCUAGUAGCUAUCUUGCUAAAGUGCAAAAAAUUUAAUAUAUAUAUAUAUAUAUAUAUAUAUUGGUACCAAAAAAUAUAUAUAUAGGCAAUUAGAAUAUAUAGUGUGUCCACACACAGGUAAUUUGUGACAUAUUCCACCAUGUUCUCGGCAUGAUCCCGUACCACAAUACCUAAAUCCUUGGUUUAUGUCAUGUUAAAUGUUUGGGCGGCAUCUCAAAAUGCACUAAAGUUCAAGUGGAAGACACCACUGCUGCAGUUAACAGAGGAUUAAGAUGAUCUCAGAAAUAGGAAGUUGACUUACCGAGUAAAGCAUAACUUGCCCAUCCUCCAUUGUUUUCAAAGAUAUCGACUUCUCUUUAUUCUGCAAAGUUCCAAUUCAGCAAAUAUGAGUGUUUCUAGUAUACAAGAAAGUUCAAUGCAGGCAUUCUAGUAUCACUUUGCCAAAAGCAUCAAAGCAGCAAUACCAGCGGAACAAUUACUGACAAUUUUGCCAUAUGCUACAUAGGAAAUGGCAUUUGACUGAAUAGUUAAUAAAGAAUUAAAAGCAGAGAUCAGAAAAGGUCUCCAGACUGAAGAUUUAAACUGAUUUAAUGUGUUUGAGCCUACAAAACUCCAUUUCUCACAUUUGCCUUCCAAAAUUACAAAACUGCCACUCUUCAAAAAGCUUUUUAGGUACAAAACCAAGCUCCUCACAAAUUGAGGUAAGUAUGUAAAUAAAACAUUUUGCAGGGUACAUAAGAGGAUAAAUGACUUUGCAGGCAUGUGCUUACGGGAAAACUCUAUUAUUUUUCUACAACUGUGAAAACGGUGGGUAAAAUUCACACAAAUGUUAGAGAGAGAACUCACCAUAACUGAGCAAACACCAGGAUACAAGCCCGUGCAAAUUACUGCACGGAUGAGAUUCUCAUCAUUACUCCACUUAUUGCUCGCACUAAAACCUUCAUCAACCAAACCAGUAUCCUUAAGCAGAAAGUGAAACUGCUUUCUAAGUGAAUCGAUGGCUUUCAUCGUUUGAGCAGAGAGGAAAUUCUUCCAGCAGUACUCAUAUCCAGAAUGAUCUCUUUCAGCGUCUUUCCAACCAUCGAAUGCUCGAAUCAAAGCGAGAUGGUCGCUGUAGUCUCUGCAAGAGAACUGGGCUUUCGCAGAAUCUGCAAGCUGCAUGGAGCAGGAAGACUAAGAUUAUAUAGUUUAAAUAAAGGUAUUCUCAACAUAAAAGAGAAUCAAAACCAAGUAAGAAGAACAGGUAAAGAAGCAAAUUUGUUGAAAUUGAAAUUACAUACUAAACAUCAUGUAGCCUCUACCUUGAACUUCUUGUUUAGGCUCAGCGUUAUAACAAAUUAAUAUUGACCUUUCUGAGAUCCCUAUCCGUUAGCAUUCCGUUACACUAAGAAAUUCAAGUCUCAAAAUGCAAAAGUUGGUAGGGACUAAAGCAAAACAAGAAUCAAAUGUUAAAAAGCUAGCUCUUCACAAGAAAUUAUCAAUGGUGAGAAUACUCCCCAAAAAGAAUUUAGUUCGAAACUCCCAUUGCCUACCCAAGAAGUCAGUGAAGGAAUCUUAGAACCUUUACUAUUCCGACAUUAUGGCGCGACACUUCAUAUGUUUUUACUUCCACUAUUCUAUGGAGUUUCCUCGCUGCUCAAGGUGUACAAUUCCAUAAUUCCCAAAAUUAGAAUAAGUCAGAAUGUUAGCAAAGAGAUUUCAAAUAUUAAAUAUUUGUUGGGAUCCCGCUAAAUGAGUGUUCACCAGCGAUAUUUGUGCUACUGUAACUGGAUAACAGAUGGAACUAAGCUUUACUAUGAGAGUGAGAAAGAGAGGGAGGGAGAGAGAAAGCAGAUAACACUACUAAAGAUUGGUAAAUAAGCAAUUGAAAAAAUUUGCACUUACAUCCUUCUUGUCAAAUGGAGUCAAAAAUGGAUCCCUCACACUCAGGCCAGCGACAACUGUUAGCACAGGAUCAAGGCAGUUAAAAAUAGCCCCAUGAAUGAGCAUCUUCCCUAACUUAGGUUCCACCGGAAGCAUUGACAAGUGUCGACCUGUUAAGUAUUAGAUGCAUUAAAUUGCUGUUAAUGCACAUUUGAAAAGGUUAAGGCAAAUAUGGGUCAGGUAUUAAUGAGUAAGCACUGGGAAAAGAGAAUUACAGUACCUAGAAGAGUUAACUCCUCAUUCUCAUCCAGUGCACCUAUUAUUUUUAGAUAUUCAAUGGCAUUUUGUACCUGCAAUGAUUAGGCAGACUACAUGUUCAAUUACUUGGACCAUUAAGACGGAUAUAAAGAAGUACAGAAGAAAGGCGCUGAUGAUACCGAUAGUGAUUCUGGCGACUGUAAUGCUCUAGAUAAAAAUUCCGAGAUGCUUCCAAGCCGCAAACUUUUUAUUUGCAAACAGAGGGACUGUAACGGUGUUCUUAAAAGCUCUGGCAGUUGGUAAUCAGCAAAUGCUUCAUAUACACAUCGUGGAUAAAGAUGGUAACACUCUCCAGGCUGAACACGGCCAGCUCUUCCUCUCCUCUGCAUAGUGAACAACCAUAGAUAAUGAAACACAUUGAAUAAACCCAACGAACCACCUUCAACUAUCUAAUUUCAUUAGAAAGUUUCUGCUCUAUGUAUGUAUGGGAGACCUAAGACUCAGAAUGAAAAGAUAGUAGUUAGAUAUAGUUUGUUACUUGUCGAGCUGAAGCCUUGGAGAUCCAUGUAGGAAGCAAACAAGGGGUAUUAUUCAAUGCAUCAUAGGAUGUCUCUUUUGCCUUUCCGCAAUCAACAACAAACACAACAUCAUUAAUCGUGAUACUAGUCUCAGCCAAAUUGGUGGCAAGAACAAUCUUCCGCACACCAUCUUCAGGCUUUACAAAUAUCAGUUUCUGCAUUACAUUAAAAAAUAGAUACAAUCAGGGACAUAAUAUGGAUAAAAGGCAGAAAAGUUUAAUGGUAAAAAGAAUUUAAAAAAUAUAUACAAAAAGAGAGCAUCUUGAAUAAAGAAAGGACAUAUAUGAAACAUGAGAAAGAUCGACAAUGUUUGCAUGAAAAUAGUUCCCGAUUAGCCUGGAAGUUGGCAAUAACUAAUCCAUUAGAAAGAAACAUUAGCAACCAAUUUCAAAGCAGUUGCACCUCCAACAAUGUCAAACAAUAAAAAUUGUUUAGCCAGUCUUCACAAGCAUACCAAGUAUAAUUUUGUAACUCAUGCUUUGCCUUCAAAAUAUCCAACUACACUGCCUUAUAGCAUUAACAAACAGAGUCCAAUCCCAUCUUCUCAAUUGUACGGAUUUACAUUAUGUUCUUCAGGUCAGAUUGGAAAAAUAGACCCAAACUGCUCAAGGUUAUAGUCAAGAUAGUAGCAUGUAAAUUAUAAGCUAUAAGAUUCUAACAAGUGAAAACACUAGUCAGUAUGCAUGAUAGAUGGCUGAAGCACUAAAAUUGAAUCAGCAAACUUCGUACAAUUUCCCGUUGGAAAUAGAGUUGGCCUUGAAUCAAAACAACAUAUAAGUAAACAAAGGAUUGUCGUGCCAAUAGCACAGACCAUGCCGAUGGUGCACGGCACAGCGGCCUGGAACGUGCCAAUGUCUGCAUGCCCCCUGUGCUAGUGGCACGCCACGAGCACUUUGGUACACAUUGGCGUAGAUUUUUUUAUUAAAUUAUCAUGAAAAAUUAGUUUCCUAGAGUGUUCUUAUAUCUCUAAUGAUUGCAAAAAUAUUUUCUAUAUUAUAUCUCGCACUAUUUACUAGAAAUAGAGUCAUAAACAUCAUAAUAACUAAAAAAAUAUAUUUUAUAUUUAUUAUGAAAGUAUAUACAUGAAACCAAAACCAAAAUCAUAACUGAAAAAAAUUUUGUAGGAAAACACUAUCAUGGGUAAAUACACUAGAUCUAAAAUGAUAAAAGAAAUUGGAGAAAAUCUUCUUAUUUGUAUUUUAUUUACCUAAAGUCGGUCUUAUUAUGCAAUGGAGCUUAAUAAUUGCUCCAAAUGUAAGUAGAUUUACAAGAUCUACAUAUUUUACGUAUGGAAAAACUUUUAUAAAACUAUUUACCUAAACAAAACUCAAAAAGAUUUCUAAAAAUCCAAAACAAACCAUUUUGUCGAGACGGUGCCAGCAUGACCACGUGCCACAUACCAGCACAGCCUCGGCACGGUACGGCGCAGGACGGCAUGGGCAAUCCUUGAAGUAAACUGAAAAUGACAAAAAGUUCUUCGCUGGAAACCUCGCAAGAACGAACCUUUUUGUGUAAGGCACAAAGUAUAUAUUUCUCUGAGGUUUUAUGAAUUCAACCACAUAACAAUUCACCCAUAAGUAGACGGUAGGCCAAAUUUGAUCAUUACAUAAAAUUAUGAUCUUACAGCAUAACGAACAUAUCAAACAUUUUAAUACUACAUGAGGAUCUAAAGCCAAGUCCAGAAGCAGAAUCCGAAAAAAUAAUAAUAAUAAUGUUCACACAUGCAUCAAGAGCCACUCUCAGAAUACUAGUGGCACAAACAAGAUGAAAUAAAUAGAUGCACAAAAUCAAUAGCUGUAGAUUCAUGGAGGUAACAGUGUACCUGCUCUGAGCUAGCCAUGGAACCAUGACAUGCAAGUAGCAAAACCUUGGUAGGAUCCCCAAGAAGCGGAUUAGCUUGCAAUUGCUCUUUUAGAGAAUUAAUGUCAUCCCACCCAGUCAUAAACACCAAAAUAGCACCAGGUCUUUCUUUUCUACAUAUAUGACAUAAAACGCUCUCUAUCAAGUUAAACCCUAUUGAAUCUGGGUUCCAGCAUCCUAGUGAUUCACGAGUCCUCGAACUAUAGUCCCUAAAAUCAGCAGCUUCCAGUGCAUCCUGUUAUAACAGAAGUUCGAAACAUAAUCAUUUAUAAGGAACGGUUUUACUAUUUAAGAUUAGUAAGACUUUUCCAUACUUCAACAACAGAUGCAAUCUGGCUCUUCCUCUUCCUCAGAGCUUGUUUUUGCAUUUUCCAACUUUUUUCUUGUCCAUAGUCAUCGAUCUGAUUGUAAGGUGUCAAUCUGUGUCCUGUUAUUUCGAGCACAUUCUCCAAAAAUUGAGUUCGAACAGGGUAGGUAAAACCCUGCAAUACAACCAAGAAAAAAAAAAAGAAAUAUCACAUCUAAAAGAUACAGCUAACGUUUCAUGCAAGAGCAAAGGAAAAGGCAUUUCAGCUAAACAAGGUGGUUUUUAACUAAAUACACUUGGAACAAACAACAUUAUAUAAAUUUAUAAAAGGUGAAAAAUACUUCAUCUGAUCAAAAGAGAAAUCUAUAACAGGACAUUCUAAACGAUCAAAACAUUUUUAUCAGAAAGUUAAGAGCACUGGUUUUCAUCAGAUAAUCCGAGUGUAAGAAGUUAAGAAAAGUUCUGAACAGGAGGCUGCAGACAAGAUCAAUAAACUUAUCUAUACAAUCACAACCAAUUAAAGUAAUAUUUUAAUAAAUUAACUGUUGCUGAUACAUGGGUUACUAUGUAAGGAAGGAGGAGACAUAAAGGAUCUUUUAGACAAAAACAAAACUGCGAUGUAACUUUUCUAUGAAGAUCAAUUUUAAGUUGUAAUAUAGAUAUCUAAUGACGCACAAGAAAAAGGACUUCAUGAUUUCCAAUCAUGUGACAACCAUUACUGCACAUUAUAAAAAUGCUGACAUAAUCAAAAUCAUCUUAUUUAUCAAUAAAUUGCAUAAGAACUUUAACCUAGUGUACACAAAGUAAUGCCAUAGGAGGAAGGCAAGCAUCAAACUGUUCUGUGGUACAUUCUUAACCAAAAGGCAAAGAAUAUAAGAUAAUAAAGCAGUUUUCUAUAGGAAGCUCUAUAAAAGCACAGUUCAUCUUAAGAUGCCGAAGCAGAAAUGAGCAGCAACAGAUGGCCAACAUAAGAAAAAUAUUAGCGAAACUCCAGGACAUAUCAUCUUUUAUUCCAGGAAAAGUAUCAUUUGCCAAGAGAAGAGUUAACAAACUUUCACAUACCUCUUCCUACACAUGGCUUCAAUGAUGACAAAGCUUUAAACAUUCAUUUAAACAUGGUAAAAAUACUAGGAAAAUAUCUAAUGUCAUUAUACAGUUGUUGAUCAAAAUUUUUCUUAAUCAACUUGCAAAUUUCCAUGUACUUUUGAAUAUCUAGAUAUCUCUCUUGGAGGUUUCAGCCAAUUCAAAGGCCAGGUAAAUUGGGACUGUUGAAAUUGCAUUUAGAAAACCAUUUCAUAAAGUGAUUUAGUUAAAUCCCAAGAUUCCGUCUCUUUUCUUACCACUUACUUUCCACUCUUCGGCUUGAAGACUUUUCCUCCUGCUCUACAACUACUGUCUACUUCUUUCUCUCUCUUCUGCCGUCGUUUUUUCUUCUACUUUAUUCUCUUAUUCCCUCUACUGGUCCUUUCCAUCUCUAUCAAGGAAUUCAUCAUGCUGAAGAUUCCAGUUUUCCUAGAUUACUGCACUCUGGGAACACACUAAAUUUUCUAUUUGAAAUGACAAGACUGUCACAGUGCAACUCAGGUUGGGAGGGUUGUAUGGGGAUUAUGGCUUCUUCCUAAUAAGGACAGAAAGAAUCUCAUUUCCAUCAGAUAGAGGAAUGACAAAACCCCUACCCCACGAUACUGUAAGAUGCUUACGGGUCAGGCAUCAAGAACACUGUCAUCACUUCCCUUUAAGUUCCUUAUGCCCAAGUUACACCGUGACUAUCCUGCCAUUUUGUACAGAUUAUGUAGAGCACCCGUGGAAUGUUAGGAUUCAUGAAAUGAAUGACCCCUUGCAGCCUUCCGAUCUGACAUUUCACUAAAUAACGCUUACCAACUAAGAAUCGAUUGUGAGAAUAGAAUCAGUUUAUGUUAUCCAUUAUGCAUAAGGUCAAAGAGAAAACAAACCAUUCCCAAAAAAGAUGCCUGAGUAAGAGAUGUCAAUACACUCAAUACCGAAAAAUCAUGCGGAAGUUCAGAAGAAAACGAUAUUGGAAAUAUGAACCCCGAAAGUACAUAAUUAGGAAUGCAAGAAAAGGAUGAAUAACUACGCAAAAGUUACGGAGUUAACUAUGCAAACACUAGGCUCAUGUACUCACAGGUAUGUGUAUCAUUGGAGCCCCACCAAAGUAGGAAGAAAAUAGCUCAGCAUUGAGAGUUGCACUCAUUAGUAUGAGUCGAAGUUCAGGCCGACGCGGAAGGAGGUCUUUCAGAACAAUAAGAAGGAAAUCUGGCAACAAGUCAAUGAAAAAAUAAGCUGACCAAUCUUUUCAAAUUCACCAAAAAAAAAAAUGGAAUAACUUUUGUUUUAGAGCAGAGCAGGAGAACCUUCAUUCAUGCCACGUUCAUGAAUUUCAUCUACAACAACAUGGGUUACGCCUUUCAAAUUUCUGUCCACAAGCAAUCUCCUUAAGAGGAUUCCUGUGGUGCAGAACAACAGGCGAGUAUCCCUCCCUUUCAUACCUUCUAAUCGAACUUUAUAGCCAACCUACAAUAAUUAGAUACACGAAAGGCAUUUAUAAAAAGUGGCAUGUAAGUCAUAAAACUACAACAACAUAACGAAAUAUCGCUUUCAGGAGAAAAAAAAACAUUACUUAGCACUGGGGAAAAAGUAGCAACAACACAGUUGCAAAUUGGGAUCUAAAGAGCAGUCACUUCAUGCAAGUGCUUAAGAGACUUUUUACAUACAUAUAUACCAACAAAAUCAUAUACACUCCUUGAAAGUGCAGCUUCUUUCAAAAAUAGCCUUAUCAUAAGAUGGAAAACCGUCCAUCGGUCCAUGUCAGGGAGGGAAAUUGGUUAUGCACUAGAAUAUUUUUUAAACUGGAGCAUUUUUCUCAUUAUGCAGGUAUAAAUGUAAAAAAAAAUAAAAAUAAAGGUUUUAAAGGAUAUAUAAGAAAUUCAGAUUUUGAAAGGAUAUAGAUAUGCAGGCGGAUAAAUUUUAAAGGCAUGUAUAUGUAACUAUAUUAAAGUCUAAAUUAGGGCAACCUCCAAAUACUUGCUCCCAAAAUCCCUACUUCAGAGGAAGUAUAACAGGGUAAUGAUCCUUUCAGAGUACUAAGGGUGAAAGAAAACUCACAGAUUCACCCAACUUUUCUCCUCUUUCAGCAGCAACUCUUUCAGAAACAGCCAUCGCAGAUAUUCGUCUCGGCUGAGUACAGAUGAUACUGCAGGUAGCUCCACGAGCAGCAUCAAUCUCGGAUUCUAAGAUGUACUGAGGUAGUUGGGUUGUCUUCCCACAUCCUGUUUCACCUGAAACAACAAUCACCUGCGGAACCAAAGGGAUAUUGACAUUAUUAUUGUUUCAUAGAAAGGCCAAAGGUGCUUUAAAACUAUCAGAAUCACAAAAAAAGAAACUUUGCUGAAAAUUAGUAUAUAGUUCAGGGAAAAAAAAAAAAAAAAAGGAUAAACAUUGAAAGAAAUCCUUAGACAAAAAAGAGAAAAGGCUGUUGUUAUAUAAAUAAUCAGGAAAAGAAUCGCAAAUGAGUAGACAUGUCUAAUAAUGAGUAUUCGUCUUGAUUAAGAUUACAUCACAAAAGCCAUUGUACAUUACCAAGAGUUGGUUACCGACUUAUUGUAAUAGGUUAAAGUAUAAGAAGAGACAACAGAAAUUCAAACAUGAAGCAGACCGAAAACGCACCUUAAACCUCAUAAACUGCACGUAAGCAGAAAUUUGCACAAUACACAAUAAUUAAUCCAUGAAAAGUGAGAGAAAAAGAACUCGAAGAAGAUUUGCAUGCAAUUUACCAUGUCUAUUAAAAUAAUGACAUUGAAAAAGCCUAAUGAUAAAUGCUAAAUGCAGCCAUAUAGAGAAAUAUAUAAAGAAAUUGCACCAAAAAGAAAGAUAGCUAGACAUUGAGUUCAGAAAAAAAUAAUAAUAAUUAUCAUAAGAACAAGACCUGAUUCUGAGAUACAGCUUCUAACAAUGCUUCUCUUUCUUUAAAAGCAGGAAGACUUCGUCGAAAUUCUAGCAUCUUUUGACCUUCUGAUGAUUCCUACAGAAGAACAAAACUUGUCAAGAAUCACUCGCGCUCUCAUUUUAUGGUCAUAAUAAAAGACCAAAAUUACUUGAGCACAAUUAUUCCAGGAAAUAAAAUUGGUGCGGAAACAAAGACAUAUUUAGACAAUUUUAGCACACAAUAGAUCAGUAAAUGAUUACGUAAUCAACCUCAUAGGAUAGAGUAUAGACCAAGGCAAAGAAACAUCUGGAUGUGGCAAAAAUAACUUGCCAAAUGUAAAAUUCUACCAGGCAGAUAUAAAACUAAGGCAGGCAUCUCAGCUUAGAAAGGAAGAACUAAUCAGUGGCAGCCGGAAGAAAACUAAGUCAAUUAUAUAAACUGCUUCACAAUGCUGGAACAGCAGGGAAGUUAGAAGUCUAAAUGACUUUUAUCUACAUAAUAGGUUUCAUGCUAAGUAUCUUUAAAUCUAUCAUUAUGACUAUAUAACUAGGUAGAUAAAAAUAGACAGCAGUAAGCCUAUCGAAGAUAAUAUUGCCUAAAACCAGACAAACCUGCCAAGCCUGUUGCUGAUUACGCAGUUGCAAACUUCUUCUUCGUAGAAUUUUUUCCAUAACAACACUAGUGGAAGUCUGAGGGUCAGGGCGGUCGAAAAGGCCUUCAUCAGUGGCGAAACUGUCGGAGCUGCUUGACCUUGAAAAGGGAACACUAGACAAGCACCCACGGUUUGCGUGCUUUCGGACAAGGUAUUCUCUCAGCAAACUAUCAACUUCUCUGUGCAACCCACCAGGAAUAGACACCUACAAAGUUUAGAUGCCACAUAAGAAGAGCUUCUUAAGAACAAUUACGCAAAUUAUAUUCCACCGUCCCCCAAAUUCCUCAACUUGCACUCUAGAGGUUAUCAGGUAGUACAUUUGGCCAAGGACCUUUUUGCCUAGCUGGAGCUUUUGCACACAAAUGUCGUUUGAGUAGAACUAUUGGACAAACCAUUGACAACAUUCCCAUUAUUUAUCCUGCCACAUCUUAUUCUUGCACAGAAGUAAAAGCUUUAGAUUGAAGCUUCUCCUAGAUAUUCUUACCAAAGUGGAGAAAUCAUUCCACAAGCCAAACAAACAGGCACUAAAGAAAUAUGGUAGAAAAUAGCAUUAAAAAGUAAAUCGUCAGUUGGGCUUACCUCUCUUUGUGGUCUUUUCUCAUCAAGAUCCGAUCUGUAGUUAGGAAGAGGCAACUUACUAAAAACCACCACUUUCGCAUACUGGCGGCUGAAAGCAAUAGUAAACAUACAAUUAUCAAAAUGAGGAACAAUAAAUUACUGGAAAUUAUGCUUACAUGUUAGAUUUUAGACAAAAGAAAGGAAACACAAGGGUACCUGUACAAGCCCAUCCUAUCAGCUAAUGCUGCAAGUUGUUCAUAGUCACGUCUGUCCUUUCUCUCCCUUGAUACCACUUCUUGCUCACUUUCAUUUCGCAAAAGCAUGCUUAGUUUCCACUUCCAUUCAUCAACAUUGUCAAGAGUAGAAGAACCCUAAUAGGAUCAUCAAAAGAACAAAAACAAUCACAAAACAAACUCAAAAGAGUAAAAACAUAUCAAAAUUGGUGAAAACAUUAAUCUAUAUAAAGUGAGGAGAUCGAUCGUGAUGGGGGCAAAAAGAAGCAAAAGCAUUUCCCAUCACAAGCUAAUAUCCACCAGAGCCUCACGACAUGUUCUCAUAAGUUCUACAGAUCUGAAUAUCUUCUUAGUUGCACACAUAAUGCACAAUUCAAGACAGAGAUAAAACUUCCUACAUUCCUGACUAAGUUACAUAGGAAAAACCCACCAAUAAGAACCACUUCCAAUCCGAAUGUAUUGAAACUGGAUUAACUUAAUAGCCAAUACAAGAGUUAGCAAAUGUCAUUGCUCCAAAAGUACCAAAAUGCUAUACAUUUUGUUCUUAAGGGUUUCGAAAAGUAAAAAAACAUCAUAGAUUGCAUAGAGUUUCUAGUCGGAUGCCUCAUUAGACAAUCUUAACAGAAAUGUUUCACAUCUUGUUCAUUUUGCGACGAACGUUCCAUAGAUAAAAGGCAUCUAAUCACAAAAUAUUUUUUUUAUAUAUAGUUUGAUAAUACUAAUCAAAAUCAACGGUAUGAAUCACCAAUUUAGGUGAUCUAUAAAUGAAUUUUACUAGAGUUCAGCAAAUAGUGUUUUAGUAAAAACUGACAUUCUUAUGUAUGAAAUUCAAACCUAUUGGAACAGAGUACAAGAGAGCCAUUAACCAAUUGGAACUAACAUGCAGACUCUUUCGAAUGUGAAAUUACUACGAAAAUUUGCCAUGCUUUUUCCCACCGACUUAAAGUAUACCACCAUCAAGUCCCAAAUCCCCGGAUUGGAAAGUUGUACAAAUUCAAGAUUUUUGUGUCAAUCCAUCUUACAAUGAAUCCAAAAUUCCCAUUCCUAGGCGACUUCCUUAAACACUACGAAACGAAACGGACACGGAGGAGAUGAAACCGACCUUGUUGGCACCCGCGGAGCACUCCCAAUCCCGAUCGGAGUCGUCGUCCGAGCAGUCGUCGUACGCGGACCGCGCGUAAUGCGCGCUCUGCUGCCGGAAGUACGGGAACCCGUCGCCGGCGCCGCCCGGCGAGCUGCGGCGCACGGCGCUCCGGCCGCCGCCGCCGUCGCGCCAGUCGGAGUCGGCGGCGGAGGCGGAUCGUGGCGGCUCGGCGAGGGAGCCGUUGGCGGAGGCGAUGACGGAGCGGAGGCGGGGGAUGGGCGGGACGUAGACCCCGCCCUUCAUGGCUCCGAGGUUGCUAGGGUUUGCGUAGGGGCUAGGGUUUCGGAGGGGGAGGAGGGUAUUAGGGUUAGGACUACGGUUAGGGCUUCGGAGGAGUGGGGAGCGGAGAGGGAGUAGAGGAGACGGAGUUGUUGGGGAGAGUCGGGGGCGCAUGCGGACGCGGCCCCUUAAGACGGCGGCGAAGAGCAUGAUAACGGCUCACAUCUCGCGUGCUCCCGCCGCUUUAUAUAUCGUGACCCGAGAUAAGUUGUGUAAGGAGUGGUGUAAUUUUUGUUGUUGUUUUUUUUUCUAGUUUGGAAAUGUGAAUUAACUAGAAUUCGAACUUGAGACCUCGGAUACCAAUCAUUAAAUUCUUUGCCACUUGCACUAGGAAUGGUCGGUAGCAUGGAAAGUUGUAUUACACCGAGUAGUGAGUGGACCUAAUUGAGCCGAGCCUAAUAGGGCGCAAUUUCAAUAUAUAGGCCCGGGUCCAGUCCGACCCGGCAUGGCACGUCCGGUGCAAUCUGAUGGGCCUAAAAAAAGCCCAAGCCUGCCCGGUCAUGGACCUCAAGGCUUAGGGCCUCCUUCUUAUAUAAUAUAUAUAAAUUUUAAAAUUGUAAUAUAAUAAGACAAUAGGUAUCGUUUGGUUCGAGAAUAAAUUUUUUUGGUUAUUUCUGGAAUAGGUACAACUUCCAAGAUAAGCAGGAAUAAGGUCAAUUUUACGUUUGGUUGAAAAGUGGGUUAUUUUCCAGAAUAAGAAAAAUAGUGUUUGGAUAGUUAGAUAGGAAUAAUAGGAAUAAAAGUGAUUAUAGUAGUUAAAUAAUAAUAUUUUAUAUAAUUAAUUAAUAUCAAAAUAUUAAGUAAAUGAUAUUUAAUAAAUUAAGUAACUAAUUUAUCAUGAAUAUUGUAAGAUAAUCAUAAAUGCUAAUUAAUAAAUUAAUUACGAGAUUAAUUAAUGAUUAAUCAAUUAAUCAUGAGUACUAAUAAAUUAUCUAACUAUAAAUAAUUUGAUAAGUUAACAAAUUAGGCUAAUAAAUUAAUAUAUUAGUAAAUUAAUUAAUUAAUUAAUUAUUUAAUUAGUUAUAUUGGUCAAAAUAUUAAUUUAUUAAUCAAUAAAGAUAUUAGUUAUUGUAUAAACACACUAAUAAAUAAUUAUUAAUUUAUCUAAUAUUUUAUUAUUAAAUUAGUUAAUUAUUAAUUUAGCUAAUUUGUAAAUAAAAUGAUAUAUAAUAUAUUAAUUACUAAAAUUUUAUUAUUAAAUUAGUAGAGGUAUAAAGAGAAGAAAUUAUUAUUCCACCAAAAGGGUGGAACAACAAUUCCCCCUCUUUUAACGGGUUAUUCUAGAAUAACCCGUUAAGAGAGGGAUUAAAUAAACCCAUUCUCUCUUCUAGUGUUUGGAUGAAUUAGAGGGAUAAAGUGGUCUAUUCCCACUUUAUCCCUCAACCAAAGACAAUAAGGUAUCGUUUGGUUCGAGGAUAAGCAAAAAGUGGCUAUUCCAGAAAUAGGUAUAAAUUGAGGUAUAAGCGGGGAUUAGAUUAAUUUUGCAUUUGGAUGAAAAUUGGGUUAUUCCUGGGAAUAAAAAAAAUAGCGUUUGGUUAGGUAAGAUGGAAUAAGAAAGAUAGUGGGUUUUACAAAUAAAAAAUAAUCAUAUUAUCCUCUAUUAUAUUUGAAUUUAAAUUUUUAAAUUUAAAAUUUUAACUUUGAAAUUUCAAAAUUUGAAAUUUAAAAUCUCAAAUUUUAAAUUCAAAAUUUUAAAUUUUAAAUUUCAAACUUUAAAUUUAAUAUCAAAUUUGAAUUUGAAAAAUAUAAAAUAUCAAAAUUUAAAUUUCAAAUUUAAAAUAUUAAAAUUUAAAUUUAAAAUUUAAAAUUUAAAACUUUAAUUUUGAGAUUAUAAAUUAUAAAUUUUAAAAAAUUUAAAUUUUAAAUUUUUAAAAUAAGAAUAGGGAUGGGAACAAUUAAUAAAAAUAAUUUAUUAUAAUAAAUUUAUAAAUUUUUUUAAAAUUCUACGUAAACUUAAAUUUAAUAAAAAGAAUUUAUUAUAAUAUUUAAAUAUAAAUAAUACGUAUUAAUAUAGUACAAUUAAUAAUUUUAUAAUAAAAAUUAUGUAUUAUAAUAUAUAACAUAUUAUAUUUAUAUAAUUUAGUUUUAAUUCAAUUUAUAAUUUUAAUUAAGUUUGAAAUUAAGUAUUGGAAUAGUACUAUUUCACCAAAAUGAUGGAAUAGUAAAUUCCUUGCUAUUCCGGGAUAACCGUGAAUAGCAACAUUUGAUCGGGAUAAAAUAUCCCGGUAAAAUAUCAUCCCGUUUGGCGGAAUAACGGGGAUAACUUUCGUUAUCCCCGCUUAUUUUCCGAAUCAAAUGGCGCCUAACGGCCUAAGGAUCUAAUCAUCCCAGAUGGUAUAGAAGUGAUUUUUGCGAAGAGCUAUUCCAAAAGACGCUUAUAGUCUUUUCGCUAAAAUCAUCCUCUUACAGCUUCCAACCAAAGGCCAAAGCAGAAACUCUGAACUAGAGCUUCUGUUUUUGGGGUCCAAAACCUCAUUAUGGCUUCCCACCACUGCACAAUCAUAUUCUUACGGCAUCUCAAGGUUAAUUUUGUUGUUCCGGAAGCCUCAGCAAACAGGUGUUAAAAAUUUAAACAAGGAAUGGCCAACUGUAGUACCUGAAGCAAGUUAACAACCCAAUACCAUGUGGAGCAUGUUGGUGUGUAGUUCUGCAUGUAUUAUAUAACCCAUGUGAAUAUCCUCUAACAUAAUCUAAGUAGUCGAAGAAAUUAUUUAAAAAUCACCACAAAAGUAACUUACCUUUGCAACCUGCAAUACAAGGAAUGCCAUCCACACAAAGACAAGAAGACCAAGCUCCUUCCAGCAUACAUUCUCUAGUAUUGGGACCUGUGAGACUUAAAAUAUUAGCCUUCUAAUCUUUGAGUCAUGACAAUUUAAUUUAACGAAUGUUUGGCACAGCUAGACUUUUGCAGAAGUUUUGAUUGAGUUGAGCUUUUCGAAAAUGCACCAGCAUCUUCAUUAAAAUCCACUUAGGGACCGUUUGGUUAGAUGUAAUUAUAAAUGUAGUGUAGUUAAAAAUGCAUGCAGUUGAAAAUGUAGCAGUUACAACUACAUGUAUCUUGUUUGGUUGGAUGUAGUAGAAAACGCUGUAAGUAUAAAUAAUUUAUUUGGCUGCAUGCAGUUGAUAAAUAAUUUUUAAAAUUUUAUAAUUUUUAUAUAUAAUGGUGAGAUUACCUACAAUGUGAAAAAAAAAUAAGUUUUGUUUAAAAAAUAAUUGAGCAAGUAAGCAUGUCUUUUAUUUAAAGUUACUCUCUCCAACUGCUGCAGUUGGAACUACGGCCAAUUUGGGCGUAGUUCGAACUGCUGCAGUUGGGCCUCCUCCUGCAAUUUCUACUGCAGCAAUUAAAUUUAAAUACAUCAAACCAAACACCGAAUUUGCAUUUGCAUGCAGUUACAACUGCAGUGCAGUUGCAACUACAUGCAACCAAACGGCCUCAAAGAAACUUCAAAUUGAAGCUUCUAUCUCUAGGACCUAGAAUCUCCUCACUUCAGCCUCUUGCUGCAGCAGAAGCACCGAGUUUUUGGUUUGGCAAACAUCUGGCAGGUGCUUUUUGAGAGUAGAGAAGCUGUUUCAGCAGUCCAGUAAAAUGCAUAGAUAUUCUCUCAUGUUACCUCUCGGUCGCCAUUCAUCUUAGUCACAUUUCGCUCACCAUUGCCUGGACCAGAAGGACCAGAAGGAAGUGGUUGGUAUUCCACUUCACUCGCCCGACCUGCAAAAUAAGUAUCACAAAAAUGAUCAAAUGUUUCUGUUACUGAGAGGAAAUGACAGUCGGAAUAAUUUGAUUAUGUUUUGCAUGCUUACCACUCGAUUCUAAGCGUUUGGCGGUCUCCUGAGAUGAGCAACCAACAUGAAGUAAAAUUAACAUCAAAUUAGAGCUAAGGAGUCGGACGAUAAUGAGAUGAUGAUUAGAGCGAGAAGAACAUUACCUUCUUGAUAAUUGUCUCUUUCUUCCAACUCUCCACACCCUUCAUAAAUGCCUUAAUUGAUGUGCCUACGAUGUGUUACUAAAUUAAGUACAGAGAGUUUAUUUAAUCGUAACAAGAUCAGAAACAUCACAUUUUCAAACGACCGAAAAUACCUAAGAAGAGGAUGAUCAGAAGCACGGUGACCAUCCAGUCGGGAAAUAUUACAUUAAAUAUGACACCGAGGCUGAUUCCGAGCAUAAGCAUGGGUUGGACAAGUAAUGCCAAGUCGUAAUCGAUAAUUGGCAUAUCCAAAGUUGGAUGCCUCAGCUUGAGAUUGUAGUAAACGGUCGAUGCGGCUGCACCCAUGAUCAUACCUGGCCAAAGAGUGCAAGAUCAGGAUUUGAUCUCAGCUAUUAAAUUGUACGCAUUUUCUUCUGUUUAAACGUUUGAAUCAACACAACCAACAUGAAAAAGGAAAUAAAGAACAUAACUAACAAUACAUGAUGAUCGCAAGAAAUAAGAAAAAUGUUAAAAGUUACCUUGCAGUUUACUUUGCUUUCAGAAAUUUGCAGGUAGUAUUAACUAUUAACAGAGCUUAACAUUUUCGUUGAACAGAAAAAAAACAUAUGGAAUAUUCCUUUCAGAUAAUUGAAUUUUUCAUUCGAUUAUGGCAUGUUUUGUUGAAAUAAGUUUUAAAAAAUACUGUCAAGUUGUUCAUAAGUAAAUGAAAACAACAGUACAGUUAAAUAGUAGAAUCAAAAUUGUAAACUUCAAAAAUCAAUUUCAAAAUAUGCAGUAGUUACCGACCGUCCCUAGAGCAAGUGGCAAAGGGCUUGGUGGUCGGUACCCGAGACCCAAGUUCGAAUUCUAGUUGAUUCACAUUUCUAGCUAAGUUUAUUUCUAAAUGGAAUAAACGAAGCGGGUAGCGUGCUACCUAUCUCUCAAAAAAAAAAAAAAAAAAAAAAAAAUGCAGUAGUUUAAGUAAUAUCUACACAUAACCCAAAACCCAGUGUUUGAUUUAUUCUAAAUCUAAGCAUAUCCCCUCUAUUCCUUAACAAACUUUAAUCCCAUACAACUCAGGAAAUUGCAACAAUUAAUAAAUGCAGGAAAUUAAGAGAUUAAGACAGGGCAAAAGAAUACAAAAAGUGGGUCAUAGUUCAUAGUUGCAAUAAAAGCAUUGAUUGUACUAAAGAGGUGCUUCAGUUGAAAACAUGACACUUUACCAAGGUAAUUGUUGAGAUUGAUAUAUUUCUCAAAAAUUACGGUUGCUUCAGCUUAACUAAAUAUUACAUCAAACAUAUAUAUUUUAUUAAUAAUUAUCCCACUACUAUAUGUAAUUGUACACUUACUAACAAAAUCAAAGAUUCCAAGAUAGUAGGAAUAUAAUCAUUAAAUUAAAAAUGCCAUGGCAAAUAAAGUGACCCUUCUCAAACUAGUGGUAAACUUCAAUUUAUUAUUCUGUGGUUUAGCAUGUUUCCACUUUACCAUUUUAUAAUUUAAAAAAUUAUAGUUAACUACCAUUUGGCUUUAUUUUUGUUUCGAUAUUAGUCCAGCUAUAAUUUAUAAAAUAAAAUAGAAUAAUAAAAUAAUAUCAUUUGCAAAAAGUAUCGCUUUGCUAUCAUAUUUAAUAGACAGGGCAAUUGCUUAUAUACUCCUAAAAAGUUUUCGACUUUCUGAUUUACUUUUUUUAGAAGGUUAAUAUUAAAAAUACCUUUUUAACGUUUCAAGUUAUUUCAAAUAUACUGCUAGAAUUAAAUUCUAUUAGUGAACUGUUAGCAACAGCCGUUAUCUCUAUGAAAUUACUAUUUUGCCCUUUCAAAUAUAUCCUUCUACUACUAUUACCUACCUUUCUUAUCCCUAUAGGGACAAAAAAAAGUAUUUUAAUUUUUUGUCUUUUCAAAUAUACCUUUCUAUCUUCACCGGUUUUUCUUAUUUAUCCUUAAAAGAAGUAUUUUAAAUUUUUUUAACUUAGAUAAAAAUUUAACCCGGAUUUAAUCAAAGAUAAUUAAACGGAUACUAACAGCAAGAAUAUUUUUGAAUAACGGAAAACUAUACAAAGGGUAUAUUUGAAAUAAAAAAGAAAGUAUUGAUAAAUGGGAUAUUCAAAAGUUUUCAGAGGCAUAAUAAAGAAUAAAACUAUAAAAUAAUUAAGAGAUUUUACCCCAAAAACUAAAAUGGUGAGCAUAAUAAGAAAUUUAAAUAAGAGCUUACAUUUUGAUAAUGCGGUAGAGGAUUUGGGAUCGAAUCCGAUAAUCAGAGUAAGCAUGGGAACGAAAAUCCCUCCACCACCGACUCCUCCCACGCUCCCAAACGCCGCUCCCAUGAAUCCGAUCACGGAUCCCAACACGAUCCUCCACCCAAAUUCCAUAGGCUAUUUUCGAAUUCAAAUAAAAAAAACGCAAACAAAUUCAUCUCAAAUCAAAUUCAAAUCCAAUUUUCAUCGACCAAAAAAAAAAAAAAAUCUGAUUAAAUUUACCGGCCAAACGUGUUGGUACGAGGAUCCAUCGGAUCGCCACAGAAAAUCGGCGAGCCGGAGGAAGUAAUCGGGGACGAUCGAGCCGCUUCUAGAAGCUUCUCCCGAGGCUUCGACUUCGGAUCGGCGAUCCGCGGACGCGAUCGCCGAGGCGAAGAGGAGGCUCAUCCCCACCGCCGCCGCCGCCGCCGCCGCCGCCGCCGCCGAGGAAUCCGAUCUCCGACACCAUUUCCUCGCCAUGCGCCGCGAAAAAGAAAAAAUCGGGAAAUGAUCGCGCGAUCCCGAGCCCGAGCGCGUAGGGCAAAGAGACGAGGAGGAAGAGGGAGCGAAGCGCCGAUCAAAUCGGGGCCAAAUUUAGGAUCGGGGGAGACGACGACGAAGAAAUAGAGGAAGGGGGAAACCGUAUCGGCGAUAUAUCGGCCGAUAUUCGGCGAUUUAUCGGGGGAUAAUAACGUUUCGGAAUCGGCGCGUCGGAACGCGAAACCCGCUACNAUAAAGGUCGUAUUGAGAGAGAGAGAAAAAAAAAAAAAAAAAAAAAAAAAAAAAAAAAAUAAUUUCUAGUGGUGAUGUAAGGAGAAAGAAAUACAUGGAAAAUUCUUUCCACAAAUCUUCUAUACAUCCACUCUACAUUCCACUAAAAAUUAUCUGUUCUAAGUAGUAAAUAUUAAUGCCAAUAUUUUAAGAGUCAUUUGGUUAGAUAAACUUCAAAGCACAAUAUAGGUAUAAAUAUAUAUAUAAAUAUAAAUAUAUAGUCGAAAAUGCAGCGGUUAUAGUUAUAUAUGUAUACUUGGCAAUGAAAUUACAUCCAAAGAAGAGAUACCAUUUUUUGUUUGUUUAAGAUGCCGAUGGGUAUAUAAGAUAGCCCUUUGAGUAGUGUAAUGCUCACCAAUUGCUGCAUUUCCACUUGCGUCUAAAUAACCGAUCAUCCCUAAAGCAAGUGGCAAAAGAUUUGAUGGUUAGUACCCGAGGUCCCAAGUUCGAAUCCUAGUUGAUUCACUUUUCAAGCUAAGUUUAUUUCUAAAUGAAAUAAACGAAGCGAGUAACGUGCUACCUAUCUCUCAAAAAAUAAAAACACAUAAAUAAAAAAUGCAAUAGUUGGACCUCAUUUAUAGUGUAGUUGGGUGUACUUACAUUAUACUACGCUGUAUUUUACAGUUUUUUGUACUUUCUAUAUUGUAUUAUUUUUUCAAAAAACUUUAUAUAUUUUUUGUAUUUAUUUUGAGUCUGAUUAUUUAGUUAUUUCUGAUCGGUUUAGAUUUAGAGAUAUAUUAGAAUUUAUUAUCUUCAAUUAUAGUAAGAUUCCGGUACAAACCCUACACAUAUAAAUAUGCAUUUGACUAAUAUAAUUAGUUUUUACAGUUAACUAAUAAUAUUUUUAUUUUUGUCAAAGAAUUGUGUUUUUUUGUGUAUCUGUCGUGCAGUUCUUAUACUAUUUCCUUCUCAACACGGUUUAGAUCUGCACCAAAAUAUAUUUUUAUUGACUUGGACUUCUAUUUCAAUUGACCCUAAAAAUGAAAGUUGAAAUUCGGCAAACUACUGGCAUUUUUCUUUUUUUUUUUUCUUUGAGAAAAAACGAUGAUAGCUAGAAUGCGUGCAGUGGGUGACGUCCUCGCUAGAGGGGGAGGUGUGAAGCUCGUCGAGCAGCGAAAUAAAAAGAAAUUUGCUAGCGACACAGCCCACCAACAAGUGAUCAACAGUCUCCAGGUCAGCACCACACAUGACACACCCAAUAUUACCCAACCAUCCCCUUUUUAGGAGGUUGUCCAUAGUAGGCAGUCUCUUUUUUAGGACAAGCCAGAAAAAAAAACUUUGACUUUAGUCGGAAUCUUCAAUCUCCAAUGGCAGGCGUUGUGGCAUAUUUGACACCCCCGAUCCUCAUGAGCGAAUACAUGGAUUUGAUAGUAAACUUGUUUCCUGCGCUCCAUCUACAAUAGAUAGCAUCAGGGUGGUUUUCGACUCGAAAGUUUGUGAGGGUGUUCUUCAGCUCCAUAAUACUCUGCAUGUUACAUUGUGUGUUUCUUCUCGCUCCUCUCAGCAUCUUUCUACACUGCCAUCCUAAGGCAGAGAAGUAUUCACUGAUGCGAACCUCUUUGUUGUUUACAAGAGAAAAAAUAUCUGGAAAGUACGACCUUAGGGAUGCAUCACCACACCAUCUACCUGCCCAAAAAUCAAUGAGUAGUCCGCCUCCCAAUUCGUAGCUCAGUCCACUUUUGAAGACUUCCUUCAGCUCUACCACGUUCUUCUACCAUUGUGAGGCCGGUCGAAAAGAGCUUCCCUCUAGCAGUGGUCUUCUUCUAUUGCAGUAUAGACUUCUUAUAAGCUUAGUCCAUUGUAAUCCCCGUUUAGUGAGAAAGCGCCACCACCAUUUAGCAAGUAAAGCAUCAUUCAUGGUGGCCAAGUCCUUAACAUCUAAGCCAUACAGACACCCCCGGUAUAACUCGUCUAGCUCAUACACUUGUUUUUCCAAGCAACCAUAGAGACACCCCCGGUAUAGCUCGUCCGUCCUUUCCAAAAGAAGUCCCUUCGCAACGCCUUCAUCCGCUUUAAAACCCAUUUCGGUGCUUUGAAGAUAGAGAGAAAAUGCAUCGGCAGAUUAGAAAGAACUGAAUUGACCAGUGUUAAUCGACCACCUCUAGAAAGGAGCUUAGUCUGCUAUCCAUCAAUCCUCCUUUGGAAACUAUAAAUGACUCCGACCAAAUCUUAUCUCCAUAGUUUUGGUUUUGAGUUUUUUUCUUUCUUCUCUUCAAUUCUCUCCUAUUCCCACCCACAUCAAUGCAUAAUUGUUUGCAAACUUCUUGAGCUAGACACAAAAGAGGUAUAUAUAUAUAUUGCUAGGCUCUUGCUUUUUCGAAAGCACGGAAGCCUCCAUACUUGUAAGUUGUUUUCGAUGAUAGAAUAUUUGAUUCGAUGAUCGGCUCUAUUAGACAUAAUCUACGUUAUUAAAACUAUUUGGAAACCAAAUUUUAUUAUUUUUUGACUUCAUUUGCCUAGUAAAUAAGUAGUCUAAAAAUGAGCGGUUGAAAAUAAAAAUCUCAUAAAAUAUAUUGCUAAAAGGCUCAAAUCUCAAAUCGAAAGUAUUAUUCUUCCUCUUGAUGUUAAGUAUAAUUUUUUGUUAACGUUUCAUAUAAUUUGGAUUCUUCCACACCGUUGAACUUACAAACGUGCCACAUCGGUCAUUUAAAUAGUCAUUUUUGAGACAUUUUGAUUACUUGGUAAUGAUGUCGAAAAAUUAUGAAAUUUGAUUUCUAAAUAGUUCUAAUAGUGUAUAAUCUAUUCCAAAAUUGCCCUUAGUUCUAUCAGUUCUAAAUAGUUCUAAUAUAGAAAAAUUUAUAAAUUUCAUAUUUAUAUUUUCAAUUAAAAUAUUAAAUUUUAUGUUUUUGUUCAGAUUUAAAAUUUAAAAUUAAAAAUUAAAAAAUAUAUAAUUCAAAUUCAUAUUUUAAAUUAUUUAAAAUAAAAUUUAAUACAAAAAUUAAUUUGUAAAUAGUAAAUUUUUUUUUACUAAAUACGACUAAGGGUAAUUUUGGAAUAGAUUACAUUUUGUUGUUAGGAUUACUGAAUUUUAUAAAUUGAACCAAAUAUAGUAAUACUAUAUACACUGUAAUUCAGGAUUAUAUUAUUGCAUUAAACCAAACGCGUUAAUGCAGCAUCAAUAGUAAUCUCGUUCAGAAAUCCAAGAUACCUGCAUAUGUCGAAAUAACAUGUAAUAUUACAUAACGCGAACCAAACGCGCCCUUAGAGUAUUUUUGUGUAUCCUUUGAACUAUAUAUUUAACAGUUAAAAUGAUCAGAAAUUGGUCUUUUGUAAUAUGAGAAGUGGCUAUUCUAAACAGCAAAAUAAAAUAAAAAUAAAAUAGAAGGCAAAUCAACAUCUUACUGUUCUUAAUUUCCUGCUACGUAAUACUUCAUCCUACAUUAGAAGAAAUUGUGAAGAUGAUUAGGCGAAAACCAUUACCACAACCAAAGGAUUCAACACGCAAUAUAUAUGUCUCCUUCGGUUCUUUUCAUCUUGAUUACGAUAUCGUCUAUUUCGGUGGCCGUUUAGUCUAGCUUUUGUAAAGGUAUCCGUAAAUCGGGUCAGAUCUAAAUAGUUGAUAUAUACACUAUAUAUAUAUAUAUCUGUACGUUAAAAAAAAUGGAUAGAAAAAAAAAUAUAUACUCUGCCCAUAUAACUUCCGGAUCCGGAUUUGAAAACUCUUCCGGAUCCUACCCAUUAAAAGGUCGGGUUCGGAUCGGGUCCAAGUCAGAUAUGGAUAUAAAGUAUCUAGAUCCAUACCUGAAAUUUUAAAGGAUAACUUUUUUUACGCGCAUACAAUCCAUUUUUUAUCGGGUCCAGAUCUGGAUCAGAUACGAUAUAUGGGGUAUUUUGGACAGCUUUAGAUUUGUGGAAAGGAGAGUCUAAGUCAACUAAGAUCAGAACAAUCAAUUGGCCGUGACAAACUUUUCCUUUGCAUAAAAGUCAAGAACCCAAAUUGAAUUUUCUACCCAAAAUCGUCGAUCGUCUCCAUCUCACUCGCAUUAGACUUUGAAAGUGAGAGGAGCCCAAACUAUUCCUUCUCAUAAGAAGGUCCUAUCCUCUCUCCUAUGUCCUCUAUUUUGAUGUAGCAAACAUGGCUGAGAGGUCUACAUUGCAUGUAUUUUUAGGAUUACACUACAUAAUAUUGUGUGUAAUUCUCCUCCCAUCUACUGUUGGAUUGGCCUCAACAGGCCUCGGGGCCGCGGGCUGUUCUCCCUCCUCCUGCGGACAGCUCCGCGACAUUCACUACCCUUUCCGUCUGAGCACCGAUCCGCCUCGAUGCGGAUAUCCUCAUGGUGUUCUUCUUUGCGAGGAUAACCGAGCUAUUCUUGAUCUCGGCUCGGAGAAGUUUUUCGUCACCAGCAUUCAAUACGAUAUGCACGCAAUCACGGUGAUGCGCCUGGGCUCCGUGAACGGAAGUUGCACUCCUCCUUUCACAUCUCUUACGUUCGGAUCGCCUGACGUCGACAACGACAUAACCUACGGACGUUAUUACGGGAACUCGGCAUGUUUCAUGAACUGCACGAGGCCGGCGCACUACGACUUGUACUGGCCGGUCCCGUGCAUGACCCGGAACAACUCGUUCGUCUAUGUAGUAAUCAGUGAAUAUUCCGAUUGCGACCUCGUGAUGAGUGUUGAGCCGUCUUGCGGAUUUCUAGCUGAGGCGCCUCUUGCCCCCGGAGUUACUAUGAAUUCGACUGCAGAUAUUUUCGAGCUCUUGCAGGCGUUCUGGCUUUCAUGGGAGAUCCCAGAGUUGCAUGAUCAACAUUCCUUUCAUAUAACCCCUACAUGCUUGAAUGAAUCUUUAAGGUGAGAAUCUAUCAUCAAACUAUUAUUGGUCCUUUGCAGCCAUUCAAUUUUUGUGAGACAAUUUCUCUUUAACAGAAUCAUGAAGGGGAGAGAGAGUGAUGUGGCCGACUUGGCAUUAGAGUUUUUGGAAAAACGCAGCUCAACGAAGUUGUGUUUUGUAAUCGGUGGAAGAAAUCUUUAAACGGGCAUAACUUUUCGCUCGAGUAUCUAAUUUUAGCACGCAACCCCAAUUCGGAAAAUAUUUUUUGAGAUCUAUGCAUUAAUUCCCAAGGCAUUAUGGCCGAGUCUGAAACCUAAAUUCAAUUGUUUCGGCCUCUGUUUUAACACUUCUAGGUUAUUUUCAAAAAUGUAUGUAUUUUUUUUUUUUUCCUUUUUUUAGUCUAAUUAUUUAAUUAUUUUUCAUUUAAUUAGGUUUAGAGAUAUAUUAGAAUUUAUUAUCUUUGUCCAGUAGGAUCCUGGUAUCGCCUAUAUACAUAGGCGUAGCGUUCAGUCAUUGUAAUCAAAGACUUUGAGAAUUAAUUAAUAAUUAAUAAGAUUUUCGUCUUUAUUGAAAAAUUAGUUCUUACUGUACCAUCUCUUUUCGUUCUUGUGCUUCUUACUGUUCAACGCGGUUUAGGCCUGCUUUAGAGAGAGUCAACAUGAAGUUAUACCCUUGCUAGGAGAUUUGUAUGAUAUCAGAGUGUUCAAUAUGAAUGACCCGGCCCUGUUCUCCCUUACUGCAGCAUAAUUUCUAGUCGGAUCAAAAGCAAUGGCAUUCUCUCUGCAAUACCCUCGCUCGUCGAAAGCGAGAUGCAUUUCUUGGCCUGCUUUAAAUAUUAUUCCAAUCGAGGUGGCUCCCGUAAAGCUGAGCUCGUCAUCGCCUUAAUACAAAUUGCGCAGUCGUUAAUCGGUAAAUCGCCUAUUGCUAGUUUAGUUUGCUGAAAAGUACUCGUUCAGUCAUUCUUUCCUGUUAUCUAACUAAUAAGUUUGGUUUCAGCUAUGGCCAUAUUAUGCAGGUUCCUGUUUGCACCAUUGUCCAUUUUACUUUUCCUUGCUUACAAACUAUGGAGCAGUCGCGCAUCCCUCGACAUCAUAGAGAAGUUUCUCAGAAACCAGCAAAAGCUCUCUCCGUCAAGAUAUUCCUACACCGAUAUCAUUGCGAUCACAGGCCACUUCAGAGAGAAGCUAGGACAAGGAGGUUUUGGAUCCGUCUUCAAAGGUACAUUUCUAAGUGGCCAACAUGUUGCCAUCAAGAUGCUCGGGAACCCCAAGUUCAAUGGAGAAGAAUUCAUCAAUGAGGUCGCGACUAUUGGUCGGAUUCACCAUGUGAAUAUAGUGCGGCUUGUUGGGUUCUGCUCGGAUGGGUCGAAGAGAGCUCUCGUCUACGAGUACAUGCCUAAUGGAUCACUCGACAAGUAUAUCUUCUCGGAAAGAGGAACUAGUAAUAGGCCCUUUUCGUGGGAGAAGCUCAAUGAAAUAGCAUUGGGCGUGGCUCGAGGGAUCGAUUACCUACACCGCGGAUGUGAUAUGCAAAUACUACACUUUGACAUCAAGCCCCACAACAUCCUCCUAGACCGUAACUUUGAUCCAAAGAUUUCAGAUUUUGGGCUCGCAAAGUUGUAUCCUAAGGACUAUAGUUUAGUUUCUCUUAGUGUCACAAGAGGAACCAUUGGAUAUAUUGCUCCGGAAUUGGUAUCGCGAAAUUUUGGGAUUGUAUCUGACAAAUCUGAUGUCUAUAGUUUUGGAAUGCUAUUAUUGGAAAUGGCGGGAGGUAGAAGGAAUGUGGACCGAAUGAUGGAAAAUACAAGCCAAGUAUACUACCCUUCUUGGAUCUACGACCGGCUUUUGCAAGGCGAGGAGCUUGAAAUAUGCAACUGUAGUGAGAUUCAUGAAGUAGAACGGAAACUUUGUAAAGUAGGAUUGUGGUGCAUUCAGAUGAAAUCAUCGAAUCGUCCGUCCAUGGACAAAGUUGUAGAGAUGUUGGAAGGGGACGUAGAUAGCCUACAAAUGCCUCUAAGGCCCUUCUUUUCCUCUUCACCGCCGAAUUCGGUUAUGCUCCCUUCUAUGAACUCCACUUUCUUUCAAUCACCAACUAUCACUGAGCAGGAAGAACUUUCAAGCCUGGAUGAAUAAAUUUAUGGAUGAGUAGCUUAUUAGUGCAGUGAUUCAAUGCUAAGCUUGUCACAUUUCUUCUUAGCAAAUUCAAUUGCAUGUUUCCACGCAAGAACCAAACUGUGUUCAAUAUUAUUUUUCAAAGGAUAUGAUAGCUAAUAAUUAGUAUAAUUGAUAUAAUUGAUUUGUGUGUAUGACAAUCUUUAACAGUAUUCUUGUACUUUUAAACAUGAUUUCUAAUAAGAAAGAGAGAAGUGAGUGUUCAACCAUUAGGCGCCCCAGGAGUUUACAUCUCCCUCUCUCUAUAUAUAUACUGGUGUAUGUUAUAAUUUGGUUUAGAUGUAUAGUUAUCUAACUUGAAGGUAAAUUAUAGUCUAAUUAGGAUAAGAUAUAAUUUAAAUUUAAUUUGACCUAUAUGGAUUAAUUAUAAGUAGGAAUAUGAGUUAGAAUUAGACUUAUGGUUGAGAGUUAUGCAUUAUAUAUACAUACCACGGCCAAGUUAAUGAUGCUGGCGACUCUAAUUAAGCCAUACACAUUAGAGGGAGUUGACCAAGACCCAAUUACUGUUGCCGAGCCUCAUUAUCUUUCUGGGUGUUCCGUACGGUAAUGAGAAGUUGUAGUAUUAAUUAAGCCGAGCCACUUUGGAGUCGCUGGUAUGGAUGUGGAUUUUGGUGUUUCAGAUCUAAUUAAAAUUUUGGUUUUUUGAGAGACUUUUUUGUACUCCGUCUUUGAAUAUUAAUAAAGUCUCUGCUCCGUCUUCACCUGUGGAUGUAGGCCAUUCGCCAAACCACGUUAAUUUCGGUAUGUUCUUUCCUUCUUUUAUUUUCCUGUAUUAAGUAUUUUUUUGGAUCUAUUUUUUGUCGUUCCGAUUUUAGCAGUGUAUUAACCGCAUGUUGCAGUGGACAGAUACAAUUAAAAUAAAUUUGAUGUCUUGCUACUGUAUCAAAUGAAUUCGAUUCUAGCAAAAAUUUAAGUAUACCAAUCUACUAAACAUGAUUAGUAACAAAAUGCUUAUAGCAAAAGAAUAAGUAUGUCCAUCUACUCAGCCGAAUAGUAUUUGAAAGGAAAAGAAAGUUCAGAUAAAAAAAUCUAAUUGAAAAUAACAUUCUGCAAAUCAAAGUAAUCAAAAGCUUAAAUUUUCUUAUAUAAGCUAUAUAGUAACCCUGAAGAAAAUGAAGAUAUUUUUAGAUCAUUAUAUAAAUUUAAUUUUGUCAAAAUUCUUAUAUCAAAUAAUAAAAAUAGUCAUAAAAAAAAGCAUAUGAAAAGUUCUCGCCAGCUCGCCAGACGCGCUGCCAUCCCCUCCUGAUCGUCCUUAAUGUUACCAUAUAUAUUACAUACCAUAUAUAUAUAUUAUAUAUGUUACUAUAUAUAAUAUAUAUACACUACCAUUUAUAUUAUAUAUUACUAUGUACAUUACUUUCUUAUUAGGAUAGUAUUUUUUUCUUUUGAUUAUUUCUUUGUAUAACAGGAUACAAUCAUGUACUUCUAUGUAAAGCUUUUUCCUCUUUCUAUAUAAGAAAAUGGAUUUAGAUGAAUAAUAUAUAGAAAAUUUCUCAAUUCUCGUGUUUCAUGGUAUCAGAGCCCUUCUAGGGUUUUAUUCUCUUUCGACGACAUUUUUGCUCAUCUCCUCAGAAAGCGAAUUGGCCGUCCAGAUCAGCACCACGUCACACCAUGCCCGAGGACGACACGAUCCGGUUCGAGUGGUUAACUGGGGCUGCGAUCGUCAUCAUCACGUCCGUGUGGCUGCGCAUCGUACCUCGACAUACGUCUGACUAAGUCACUUCUUCAGAUUUGUCCAUUAUAUCUCUUUUCUUUAUUUAUUUAAGUUAUGACAUCUUCUACCAAUCAAUUUCCACAACUAGAUGUCAAAUUAUCUGGUUCUAAUUACCGGGAGUGGUCGGUGUCUGUAAAACUUUUACUUGAUGCCCUAGAUUUAACAGAUCAUAUUAAUGACACUAGCCCUCCUGCUGAUGAGAAGAAACUCAAAGAAUGGAAUAAUGCUGAUAGACGUACUCGUGGAAUUAUAUCCACGUCUGUGGAAAUUGACAUCAGAAUGCAGUUGGUGAGUUUCACUACAGCUCAGCAAAUGUAGGAUCAUCUAAACUAUAUGAGCAAUCUAGCCAUGCUCAAUCAUAUGCUGAAUUCCAAAAGACCACAUCGGCCCAUCAAGGUGAACGCUCUAUUCAGGAGUUUUAUAGCUUUAUGCAGGCACGGUGGCGCCAACUAUCCAUCAUUGAUGAACAUUAUACCAGACUUGUUUGGCUUGCACUUGUGCUACCAAAUAAACGCAAAUUCGUGAUCAGCAGUGCCUUUUUCAAUUUAUUAUGCGUCUACGGCCAGAGUUCGAGGCCUUACGAGGCCAACUUUUUCAUCGAUCUCCGCUACCCACCAUUGAUACUGCACUUGUAGAGCUUAUUGCAGAGGAAACUCGUCUUCGAGAGUAUUGCAUUCCUCCAGUUCUUCAACACCAACUGUACUUGCUGCUCCAAAUCAAGUUCCUCCUGUUCCAGUUGUUUCGUCAUCUGAGCCUUUGAGUUCUACUAAUUCGUUUGUUCCUCGAAAGAACAAACACAAUAUCCAAUACAAAUAUUGCAAACUCUGGGGGCAUUCUAUUCAAGAUUGUAGGAAAAAGAAGUGGGUUGAUCAACAUCGACAUUCUCCACGUGGUUUUCCUGCUACUGCUUCUUCUUUGCAGAUCGAGCAUCAUUCUUCCAACAACGCAGGACAUCACACUGCUUCUACUCAACUUAGUUGGCCUCAACUAAUGCAGCUACUCCAACAAGGCAAUCUGAAUAACUCAACUCCAAAAGAGCCAGAAUCUAGUCCUCGGACAUCAUCAGCAUCACCAGGUUUUGAUUCCCUUUCAACACCUAGCUUUGGAGGUAAUUCUAAGAAUUCCUGGAUUCUAGACUCAGGUGCUUCUUUUCAUAUGACUCCACAUGAUUUAUUACUUUCUUCACCUUCCCUAUUGUCUUCUCCGCUCAAUAUUUUUACUGCUGAUGGUACACCACUUCCUGUUACUCAUUAUAGUACAUUAUCACCUACCAUUAGUAAUUUUGCCAAAUUUUGCGUGCCCUCUGUUUUACACAUACCAAAACUUUCUUUAAAUCUUUUGUCUGUUAGCCAAAUUACUGAUCAUAAUUGUACAAUUACAUUUGACUCCUCUUCCUGUCGUGUUCAGGAUCGUCGAACAGGGACUUUGAUUGGACAGGGCCAUAGGCGUGAUGGCUUGUACUAUAUGGAUCAUCUGCAUCUACCAUCCAACCAUAACUCUGUUAACGCCACUACUGCUUCAACCAUCUCUAGUACUUUUUUAUGGCAUCGUCGCUUAGGUCACCUUUCUUUUGAACAUCUUAAUGUUUUAGUUCAUCGUGGUGUUUUAGGCAAAUUUUCUGUUUCCAAUAAUCUUAGUUGUAUGGGUUGCAAACUUGCUAAACAUACUACUCGACCUUUUCCUGCUAGUAAUUUUGUCUCUCAUGCUGCUUUUGAUUUAAUUCAUUCUGAUGUUUGGGGUCCUGCUCCUAUUUCUACACGUAUUGGUAAUCGAUACUAUGUGAUCUUUGUGGAUGACUAUUCUCGUUUUACCUGGAUAUAUUUCAUGAACAAUCGGUCUGAACUAUUGCAAAUAUAUAAAAAUUUGCAGUUAUGAUUCAAAACCAAUUUGGUACAAAUAUUAAACAGUUAUGAUUCAAAACCAAUUUGGUACAAAUAUUAAAAUAUUUCGUUCAGACUCUGGUAGUGUGAUGCCCCGACUUCCCAGGGGGUCACCCAUCCUAGGACUACUCCCGUCCUAGCACGCUUAACUCUCUUAACCUCUUGGGCCUUGCCACCACCCAAAAUGCUUAAGCCGGGUUAAGAGUUUAGCCCUAUUAUAUCUCAUAUAUAGGACUAUCUGGGGUCUCACAAUCUUCCCUCUUUUAAGCCCUGACGUCCUCGUCAGGCUCAGACUCACAAGUACCAGGCGAUGUGAGACUCAUCUUGCUAGCCCGUCAUCCAAACCCUGGCUCAGCCGAGACUCAUCUCACACUUUCGGCUGGUAAUUGGCUCUGAUACCAUCUGUGACGCCCUGACUUCCCAGGGGGUCAACCAUCCUAGGACUACUCCCGUCCUAGCACGCUUAACUCUCUUAACCUCUUGGGCCUUGCCACCACCCAAAAUGCCUAAGCCGGGUUAAGAGUUUAGCCCUAUUAUAUCUCAUAUAUAGGACUAUCUGGGGUCUCACAGGUGGUGAAUAUAUCUCUUCUGAAUUCAGAAAAAUUCUUUCAAGUCAAGGCAUCUUACCUCAGCUUUCUUGCCCAUAUGCUCAUUAACAAAAUGAGGUUGCUGAAAGAAAGCAUCAUCAUAUCAUGAUGCUGCUCGGUCUCUUCUUUUUGAUUGUUCUGUUUCUACAUAAUUUUGGGCUGAUGUUGUCAAUACAGCUGUUUACUUAAUCAACAUUAUGCCUUCUAGUGUCCUUUCAGGUGUCUCCCCUAGUGAGCAGUUGUUUGCCAAGCCUUCUUCAUAUGAUCACCUGCGAGUCUUCGAUUGCACUUGUUUUGUCUUGCUACCUCAUCACGAACGAAAUUAAUUGUCUCCUAAAUCUGCUAUUUGUAUCUUUCUAGGGUAUAGUCUUUAGUAUAAAGGGUAUCGUUGCUAUGAUCCUAACACGAGACAUCUUCGGAUUUCUCGUGAUGUGAUUUUCUUUGAGCAUCUUCUCUAUUAUGCCCAACCCACACCAGCCACUGCAUCUUCUUCAUCUGCCCCUAUCGAUCUUUCCUUUUUGCAUGAUUCUUUUCCAGGGCAUUCCUCUUCCCCUGAGGACUCUAUCUCUCCUCAUACCUCUCCUGCAGAUGAAAGUGAAGUUCAUGCCUCUCAUGAUAGUCCUUUCGUCGAAGCUCCAACCGACGAUCCUCCGACAUUCGUGUGUCGCUAUCCCCUUCGAGAGCGCCAGCCCAAAAGGUUCUUUGGUUGUGUUUCCUCACAUUCUCUUUCUCUCCAUUCCGUACCUUUCUUGCUACCAUCCAUACUUACCAGGAACCACGAACAUGCCUCUAAGCUGUGGCCAUUCCUGAGUGGCAAGAUGCUAUGUCUAACGAACUUAAGGCUCUUCACCACACCGGUACCUGGACGCUUGUUUCUCUUCCUCCAGGAAAGGUUCCAAUCAGUUGCAAAUGGAUCUACAAAAUUAAGACAAAGUCUAAUAGUUCUAUUGAUCGAUAUAAGGCUCGCUUGGUUGCUCGCGGCUUUACUCAAGAGUAUAGCAUCGAUUACGAGGAGACAUUUGCUCCGGUUGCUAAAAUGACCUCUGUUCGCGUUCUUAUUGCUGUUGCUGCCUCUCGUGGUUGGCCGUUUUAUCAACUUGAUGUUAAGAAUGCUUUUUUACAUGGUGAUCUUCACGAAAAAGUUUACAUGCAGCCACCUCCUGGCCUUAAUCAUCCGCCUGGUCAUGUCUGCUUACUUCGCAAGGCGUUGUAUGGUCUUAAACAAGCUCCUCGUGCUUGGUUUAAGAAGUUCUCGACUGCCGUUAUCUCUGCUGGUUUUCGUCAGAGUGAAAAUGACCAUGCAUUAUUCAUUCACUCUUCUGCUCGUGGUAUUACUGUUUUACUUCUCUAUGUUGAUGAUAUGAUUAUCACUGGUGAUGAUCCCGAUUUUAUACAUUUUAUCAAAUCUUUCUUUCAACGUCAAUUUGAAAUGAAGGAUCUCGGGCUUCUCCGUUAUUUUCUAGGUAUUGAAGUAGUCUACGGUUCUAAAAGUUAUUUGCUAUCUCAACGGAAGUACAUAGCGGAUCUCAUCUCUCGUGCUGGUCUUACUGACAAUGACACAGUCAAUACUCCUAUGCAACUUCAUCAAAAACUAACUCCUAUCAUGGGUGAGCCACUUUCAAAUCCCACGCGCUAUCGGGAGUUAGUUGGAGCUCGUAUUUAUCUCACUAUCUCUCGUCCAGAUAUUGCUUAUGCUGUCCACAUAGUAAGCCAAUUUGUUCAGGAACCAACUUCUGUUCACUAUGCUGCUGUUCUUCGCAUUCUCCGCUAUCUUCGUGGCACUAUUAAUCAGAGUCUUUUCUUUUCUUCUACCUCGGAACUUGCACUCCAAGCUUAUUCUGAUGCUGAUUGGGCUGGGGACCAUACUGAUCGUCGAUCUACCACAGGUUAUUGCAUCUUUUUUGGUGAUUCGCUUAUUUCCUGGCGAGCUAAGAAAUAGAAUAUUGUCUCCAAAUCUAGUGCCGAAGCUGAGUAUCGUGCUAUGUCUGCUACAACAUUUAAGAUUGUUUGGCUUUGUCGUCUUCUUGGUGAUAUUGGCAUUACUUGCUCUACUCCGACACCUCUGUAUUGUGACAAUCAAAGUGCCAUCAAGAUUGCUAAUAAUCCGGUAUUUCAUGAACGCACUAAACAUAUUGAAAUUGAUUGUCACUUCAUUCGACAUCAUUUUCUUAAUGGCACAUUGGCCUUACCUUUUAUCUUAUCGUCUUCAGCUUGCCGACUUCUUCACAAAGUCUCAUACCACACAACGUCAUCAAUUUCUUUUAUCCAAACUCUCGGUGUUUAACCCAUCUUGAGUUUGCGGAGGGGUGUUACCAUAUAUAUUACAUACCAUAUAUAUAUUAUAUAUAUUACCAUAUAUAAUAUAUAUACACUACCAUUUAUAUUAUAUAUUAUUAUGUACAUUACUUUCUUAUUAGGAUAGUAUUAUUUUCUUUUGAUUAUUUCUUUGUAUAACAAGAAACAAUCUUGUACUUCCAUGUAAAGCUUUUUUCUCUCUCUAUAUAAGAGAAUGGAUUUAGAUGAAUAAUAUAUAGAAAAUUUCUUAAUUCUCGUGUUUCACUUAAAUCCUUCGAUACUCUUGUUGUGGUGGCCAUCCACGGCCAUACACUCCAUAGCAAGCCCACUUCCGUGAUUUAUGUCACAUUUGUUAAGAAAAAUAUUAGUAACAGUCCACAAGUGAUGUGUCGAACCUUGUGGUAUCAUCACUUGUGGAAGCAAAAAGAAAAAGACUAUCUAUCUAUCACAAAUAACACAAAAAAGCUAAGUGGUUUUCAGAAAAUUCUCGAUUUGAGUCAUAAAAAGAGACAAGAGUAAGGAAGCGCACAACACAAUCACUGGCUCAACGAUGUGCCCCUUGGAGAAGCGCGAGCGAGUUUUCGUCCUCACCUUUAUCGCCGACAGCGAGCACUGCUUCCGCCAUGACCUCAUCGCCUCUAUCAGCUCCGACCUCACGUGCCCGCUCCGAGUCCUCCUUUGGUGCCGGCACCGAUGCCGGUGUUGACAGAGGCGGAGGAAGCGGAGGCAGCGCCACCCUUGUUACCAUCGUCGAGGACUGUGAAGGCUAUGAAGGAGGCAAUGGAGAUCGGAGAGGAAAAAAAAAAACGAGAGAAAAAAAAAAGAAGAGAGAAAAAACCUAAUUUGGUCAGUAUACUGAAAAUUUGAAUUGAAUAUAACAAAAUUUAAGAUAGUGAUCUAUUUUUAUAAAAAUGCAAAACUGGUAAAUUUUUUAUGUAAAAAGGCCAAAUAAUUAUUAUAGCAUUUUUGUGGACCCAGGACAUGGAGGAGUCAAGAAAAAAAAAAGGGUCAAAUUCAUGCCUUUCAAAAAUUAAAAAAAACGAAAAAAGAAGAAGAAAAAAGACAUCAAGUCCAAGAUAAAAACAUAAACUGACUCAUUCAACUGUGAGUCUCACAAAUUACAUAUUGACUUGCCCAAUUGGAAAUUGCAGGUAAAUUGAGACCUUCAGCAGGGAGGUCCAGGACAAUGCUUGUUAGCUUUGGAGAAAAAGUAUUCAAUUAUAUGGAGGAUAAGUUUUAAUCGUAUAAAAUAAUAUAGUCAUGAUUGAAUUUCAAUUGGCUCUCAUUGCAGUGGAGGAGAACUCCGUUUAUAGACUUCAAUGGGGGUUUUAUAUCCAUAUUUUCAUAACUUACAAUUAAUAACUUUAAGAGUUUCUUAUUCAAUUUAUAAUUCUAAAAAAUGCUAAAUCCACAUGAGAAUUUCCCUCUUGAGAAAGUGCAUUAAUUUUCAACAAUGCUAUUACACUUCAUUUGGAGCUGUGAUAACUACAUCUUGACCUGUGAGGACACAAAUGGUGUCGGUGGCAUUGGCAAGCUCUGCGAAUCGCCGAUCAGCAUCUGCACAACUCUCGUCAUCGACGGCCGAUCCCUCGGAUCCCAUUGUAUGCACCACAACGCCACAACGACGAGUCUUUUCGCAAUCUCCGUUUCGCUUGUAUUUGCUAUCUCUAUCGCCGACCCAAUGUCUUGCCCGUUCGCUAGUUGAUCAUAAAUCCACUCCGGAAAAUAGAACUCACUUUGGUUCUCAAUUUGCGGAUCGACGGUCCUCCUCCCGCCGACCAUUUCCAUCACCAGCAUUCCGAAACUGUAGACGUCUGCUUUGUAAGACACCGCUCCGAAGUUUCUCGAAUACAUCUCCGGCGCGAUGUAGCCCAUCGUGCCCCUCGCUGCGGUCAUCGUAACAAUGCUUUGAUCUCUCGAGCACAGUUUCGCGAGACCAAAGUCGGAUAUCUUUGGGUUGAAAUUGCGAUCCAAUAAGAUGUUGUGAGGCUUGAUGUCAAAGUGCAGAAUCCGUUGAUUGCACCCCUGAUGCAGAUACUCGAUCCCGCGAGCAAUUCCUAUUGCGAUCUCUAGCAAUUUCUCCAUCCCUAGUGGCUCACGAAGGGUAUUCCUACUUUUCGAGAAGAUGUACUUCUCUAGUGAUUCAUUUGGCAUGAACUCGUAUAUAAGCGCAUGUGUGGUUCCUUCCGAGCAAAAUCCCAGCAAGCGAACGACAUUGAAAUGGUGAAUUCGUCCGAUUGUCGCGACUUCGUUGGUGAACUCUCGACCGUCCCACUUCGAUCUCGCGAGCAUCUUUACCGCGACAGGAAUUCCAUUUGCUAACUCGCCCUUGUAGACGCUCCCGAAGCCACCUUGGCCCAGCUUAUUCUUGAACCUUUUAGUAAUCUUCUUAAGCUCCGAGAAGGUGUAGCGAGUCGGUUUUAUGGCGUUGUACGACGCGAGGAAUUUCUCCACCUUCAAACGUAUCUCCUUUUCCCUUUUGGAUCGUGUAUAGAAGUAGACUAAGAUUACAACCAGCAACAAAAGCACAACAAAUGCGGCGGAAGAUGUUGCUGUAGAGAGAAUUCACAAAUCACAAUCAAUUAAUUAAUCAUGCGUAAAUUUAUGUGAAUUACAAAAAAAAAAAACUUAGUCUGUAACUAUACGAUCGAGCAGCUCUUGAGAUAAAAUGGAAGAUCUUUCGCCGAAACAAAAAUUUCAAUAAGGUACGCACCUGCGAUGAGCUUGACAUUUCGACCUGCGAAAUGAAGAAGAAUAUAUAUAAGGAGUCAGAUGACAGAAAAUUGGAUGCAAAAUAAGGCAACGGCAAAUCUGAAUGUUAUAUACCUUGUCGGCAGAAUGGUUGGUUGGUCGCCGAGCUAAAUCCGCAGUACUUUUUCGCCUUCUCGCAGAGCAUGCAUUUGCCGGUUAUUUGAGGAACAUACCAGCCUACAGUCACCUCGCCGCGCGCUAUGAGAUCGGCCACCCUUUCCUUGAAAGUGGGCAAAUAAUCAGAACCGAAUUCGGUCAUGUGCCGGAAGGAAAUGCUAAGAUCGUCUGCGGUCACCCGACAAUCCGAAGGGAGACUGACGGCAUAACCAUAAGCAGACAGCACAUAAACAAACUGCGAUGCAGUGCUGAGGCAAGAGAUCGGGCCGGCGGCAUCGUAGUCGUCGUCUGGCGUCCAUUUUGUUGGGCAGCCUAGCAAGCUGAUGUCAGAACCAUCCAACAGUGGUUGAUAGAUUGACGUAGUUAGAUUGAGGGAUUCGACGGAUAUCAGGUUUCUCGUCAAGCAAGUUAAGCACGAGCAACCCAGCUUCACCGUGAUUUCAGCGUUCAGGUAGUCGAUCGUGGUCACGUUGAAAGAUCCUGCAUGCGGGAGCGCUACGACGGUGUCGUUGCCCGAGCACGUGAGCUCCAUUCCGGGAGCGCCGCAGAACGAAGGGCUCGAGUCGAGACGGUACGGAUAUCUGAUCUCCGGGCCGCCUUCUGCGCACCGCGAAGCCGGGCAUUUCUUGAAGAAAUCGCCAUCUGCAUCAUCUCCUCCUGAGACAAUUGUGCUUCUUCCUGCAGCGAGGAGAAAGAGAGCUAAGAGAAUGGAAACAAGCCUAUGCAUUGCAAAUCUGUGAUGCAGAGGGCGUCAGAGGGAAAAAAAAAAUCUUUAAUAAAUGAUGCUUGUUCCAACUAAAUUAGUCAAUGGUUGGCUACUUUAUUAGGAAAUAAACUACUGUUACUAUUAAUAGCACCAAGUCAUUUAUUCUAUUAGAUAUUCAGCUCUUUGACGAAAGAAUGUGCAGUUAGAAUGAUGGUAAUCGUCUAAGGUUUAGUAAAGUAAUUAGUUGAAUAGUAUGAUUUAAGAGACGAAAAUAAUCAAAAGAUAAAUUUACUAGCCGAAAACUUGAUAAUACCAAUUGUUUGCUGUUAUUGAUAAUACAAUAGCUGAAACACAACACAAUUCAGAUACGGUAACUUGGCAUCUUUGAAAAAAUGGCUAGAAUAUGAACACGGCAAGAGCAAAUAUUAAAUAAUAUUUUUUUAAUAUAAUAUCUUAUAAUAUAAUGUGUAUUAUAUAUUAUAAUAUUAUCAAUAAAUUUUAAUUAUAUGCCCUACAAGAUUGGUGGGUGUAUGAAUUAAAAAUUCAUUAUCCGCUUUAUAAGUUGAUUUCAUUGGCUACACACAUCACAACAAAAUUUUAAGCCUAACUUAUUAGACAUAUCAAAUGAUAUCGAAAUAUUUACAUUCAAAAAAUUAUAAAAUUUUGGAUAAUGAAUUUUUAGAAAUUAAACAAUUAAUUGUCAUUUUAAUCCUGCAGAUUCUUGAAAUUACUUAACAUGUACGUAAGGAUUUUCCAAACUAAGUAUAUGUAUACAUAUAUAUCUUUAAAUAUUACCGGUCCUAUAUGUUAUAACUUAGAUUUUUAAUUUUAAAAUGGUAAUUAUAUAUUGAUUGUGGUGUAUAAUAGCCAUAGUUAGUUAAUUCGAAUUCGGCAAAAAUUCGGUACAGGUAUAAUUCGGAUAAAAUUCGUCUUCUAAUUAUUAAAUUCGUUGAAAAAUACGGCUAAAAAACGGAUUCGGUUAUUAUUCGGAUACAUGAUUUAUACGGGUAUUAUACGUUUAUCAAUUAAAAAUUCGNAAAAUAAAAUUCCUGUACUUUGUUAUAAUAAAAUAGCCACUUAUGGAGAAAUAGAAUUUCAAAUAUAUAUAUAUAUAUAUAUAUAUAUAUAUAUAUAUAUAUAUAUAUAUAUAAAAUGAGAGGACCUCCCUCUCAUCCGGUCCAUGAGGCUGAUGUGGCCUCGUGGACCGCGAUAUUUUUUUCCCUGCAAAGUUGCGCGCAACGCCGCGAUUUUUACUUUUGAUAUUUUUUAUUUUCCACGGACAGUACGCGGCGUAGCAGGCGGCGUCGAGCGAGAUGGGACUAUGGGAACUGUAGCCGCGGCCCUCUUUCUCCCGGCGCCAGCCAGGCAGCGGCGGAGGAGGAGGACGACGAGCGUUGCCGACUCACGGGCCUUUUUUUUGGGCGAAAACGGACGGCGUCAGGCGAGGUGGAAACCGUAGCCGCGCCCUCUUGCUCCCGGCGCCGGCUAGGGCGGCGGCGGAGGACGACGACGACGCUCGUCGUCGCCGCCUCGCGAGCCGAUUUUUUGGGCGAAUCGCGAAUAAUUCGCGGAUAAUUUUUUUUGGAGAAAAGAACGCAUUUUUUUCGUACUUUUGGGAAAAAUACGUUUCAUGCCGUUUAAUUCGGCUAAUCAAAAAUUCGCAAAUAAUUCGCGUAUUAUACGCGAAUUUACUAACACAGAUAAUAGCUAAGGAUAUACUAGGUGCAGGCAAAAAUAUUUUUCAUUACUAGCUUAAUUAUGUUACACUAUACUCUCUACUGAUUGUUUUACUUUCUAUACUAUACUAUUUUCUUUUCUUUUUUUUUCCGAAGGCACCAUUCAGCUAUUUUAUUGAUAGCUACGAAAAGAGACUAGUAUAAUAUAGAAAAUUAUAAAUAAAUUUAAAAUACAGUAUAAAAAGUAAUAAAAUAUAAUAAUAUAAUAAUAAUUUUUUUACAAAAAUUGAAUAGUACAUACGUACGAUAUAGCAGAAUAUACAAAUAGCAAAUAAAAAUAAUUUUAAAAUAUAGUAUAGUAAAGUGUAAUUUAACCUCUAUAAUUUAAUAAACAUGUAACUCUAGUUCCUAUGUCCCAUCCUCUCCGCGUGGAGGAAUUCUACACUGUCACACUUGUACCACGUCAUUAAUAACAAGCCAAUCACAUUCCUUCUUUUCAAACAAAAGUAUAAUAAAAAUAUUUUUUUAUAAUUAUGAUGGAACAUAUAUUCUUAAAAGAAUUAAUUUGAUUAAUUUGUUACGCCUCGUCACUAAGAAUUUUUCCUCCGUGUGCGCUUUUUUUUUUUAAAAAAAAAUAUCCGGAUAAGCAGGACACGCGUAGUUUGAUUUGGUCAAAUAUGGUUGCAUUGACUUUGCAAGUUGAUUUGGUCAAACAUGGCUGCUGUUGACAAUAUUAUUGCUGUUUUUGGAAAGAUAACUUUGUGGAAUGGUAGGUCUAGAAAACUGAGGCCUACUUUGAAGUCUCCUCAAUAUUCUUAUUAAUCUAUUCCCAAAACAAGUAUGCAUAUAAUUAUUGCUAAUAUUCUCACCGUUUCAACAAUUUGUGUUCUAGAAUAUGUUUGAAAGUAGUUAGGCAUAAAAAUAAUAGACUAAUUGGAUAGCAAUUGAGUUGCUGACUGCGAGCACUACAAUAGAAUUAGGUUAUAGCGACACAUAUUUGUGACAUUUUUGUAUAAGUGUUUCAUUUAUACUAAAAUUUUUAAAAAAAUCUAUUAAUGCCUAAAUAAAAAGUCCAAUCCAACAAAAAAUAAAAGGUUACUCUACUCAACCCAUCCCACCUAGCCCAUUCGGCCCGAUUACAAACAGAAAAAAAAAGAAAAAAGAAAAAUCGAUUACCAUCUCCCCUUCUUCCCUUCUUUCCUUACUCAAUUUACUGAAAUCCUAAACGAAAAGCCCUUCCUUCUCCUCAUCCUCCGCCACCGCAGCCAACGAGGUAAAGUUCCGGCGGUUGUUAAAUACUUAAAUAAGUGUUAGUAAAUUAGCAGCACUUUUUUUGGCUUAUACCGAUACUCUUUAACAAUCACUAUAUACCUAGCGACUCCACAUAUAGCAACACUUUUUAAAAGUGUAGGUAAUUUAGCCAGCAGCACCUUUUUUUGACCUGUACCGAUAUUUAAAAGUGUCGUUAUAGACCGUUUUUGUUGUAGUGGAGCUCUACUUUUGGCCAGAAAAAGAAAACAAAUACCAAAUGGUCGUACAUGUUGCACCAUAUAUCUAGAAUAGAUUUAUAUUAAUUACACAUUAAGACACAAUUUGAUCUAAUCAAGUGAGAGUUUAUAAGGGUUUUUUUUUUCCUGCCUAUGACAUUAUACUGUCUACAAUCAAUAUAAUUAUUUAGAAGAAAAAGAUACAAUACCUAUGAUUACUCUUUAAUGCACCUUUGAAUAUUGCACAUAACUCAAUUUACCGACUUCCACUAUAAGGCGCAUCACUCACUAUCUUAUAGCCUUAGGCCCUGUUUGGUAAUGGAAUUGUGUGGAAAGGGAUUAAAAAAUUUAUUCUCCAAAUCCUUAUGUAUUCUAGGAUAUUAAGGAAUGAAAUAGUAUUUUUGUUUGGUAUGAAAUGUAAUCAUUACAAAGAAUAAGCAAUUUUAUGUUUGGUAAAUUUCCUGAUGAUAAAGGAGAAUAGUGGAACAAAUACAUUGAUACUUUGCAAAAUACCAAUAUUACCCUUGUUAAUAUAUGCUUCAGUUGAACACAUCAAUAUUAUGCUCAUGUGUUAUAAUAAAUUUAACAAUGCCAUUUCUAUAUUAUGGUGCAUUCUUCUACAAUUUUUAGUUGCCAAAGCACAUUUAUUUUUCAGGAUCACAUUUGUAAAUGCAUUGAGAUGGUCUUAGAUUCAUAUAAACGGCUAUAAUUUAAACUGUAAAUUUGACAAUAACUUUUUCCUAAUUAUGCAACAAUUUUAGCAAAGUGAUUGUUGCACUUUUUUAAAUUUAUAGUUUGUAAUCUGUUCAUAAAUACGCUAUGAUGCUCUUUCUUCGAGAAUAAUAAAGCAUCAUAAACUGCACAAAGUUAAUUUGGAUGCACAAAGUUCAUGAAUAUGCUAUCAUAAAAUACAUUCACAAGUUAAUUUGGAUGCAUAUUUGCACAAAGUAAUAAAGCAUCAUAAACUGCCGUACCCACCCGUAUUUAAACGGAAAUAAUAAAUUCUUGAAAAAUAUCAUUAUUACCAAUUAUACUUAAAUCUUUCAAGAUUACAGACAAGGCAACAUUUGAACUUUGUAAAUCACAAGAUUACAAAGCUUUCAUAAUUAACAUAUCCAUAGAAAUGUUUACAUAAUCAGUUAGACGAAAUACAAGUACGCUUAACAUUCGACAUAUCAAACGGAAAGAAAAAAAGAAGCAGUUUGAGUUGCAAGAAAGUAGCAGCAGAUGUGCUGAAAAUACAAGAUUAAAGAAGUCAUCCAAUUGAAAACAUCAUUGCAACAAAGUGCAGGCCAUAGUAUAAAACGAAGGAGACAUGCUAUCUAUUAUUCCAUAAUUGCUCCGUUAUCAUACCGCGGAGCGCCUCACCCCUCCGUGAGUCAUCAAUCCCAACCAAGGGUAUUGGUUCCUCUUGUUGUUCAUCUUGAGAAAAAGGAUCCAUUGCCAUGUUGAAAUACAUAUCGUUUCCUUGGUGCCUUUUGAUGAAGUUAUGGAUGAUACAACAUGCUAAGGCGAUGCGACAUUGCACUUUGUAAGGAAAAGGAGUUGCUUGCCGAAGAACCUUGAAACGCCUUUUCAAAAUGCCAAAGGCUUUCUCAACAACAUUUCUUAACUGGGCAUGCCUAUGAUUGUACAGAUCCCGUGGUCCGCGAUGCCUACGUGCCCGAGCAUUGCCAUCAAAUUGGCUCAAGUGGUAUCGCUCUCCUCUAUAAGGCGCGAGAAAACGAUCAGUGUUUGCAUAUCCAGAAUCGACUAAAUAAAAUUUCCCUACACAUAUAUAAAAAAAUCCAUCAGGAUAACAGUAAUAAUCAAGAACCUUGAAUAUUUAAAUACUUUCAAAUGAUUUAAAUAUAAACAUACCUUCAGGUACCGUGAAACCGCCACUCUCACAACACCACCGCAGGACCCUCAUAUCUGCUGCAGAACCCUCCCAUCCAGUACAAACAAAUAGGAACUGGUGGUCGAACGAGCAUGCGGCCAUCAUAUUUUGUGAAGUAAAGCCUUUGCGACACCGAUAACGCGGUUGCUUACUCUUUCUUACAACCACCGGUAUGUGCGUUCCAUCAAUAGCACCAAUUGCAUUCUAUAAAUAUAAUCAACAUGAAAGAAAUUAGUAAGUCUAAUAAAAGGGUAAUCAAGAACAUUGAAUAUUGGUACUAUCACCUUGAAAGGGUGGAACAAAGGGUUGUCCCUUAUUUUUUGAUGCAUUCCAACAUUACUUGUUGGCAUUUGGAUGUACUCAUGCCUCAGUUCCACUACACCUCGCAAGACAGUAUUAAAAUAUCGACUAAUUGUCUCCCCCGAGUGUUGAAAUGUCUCGGCUAAUACUCUGUUUGUGACUCCAUGGCCUAUAGCGAAUAGAAAAAUUCCAAGUUGCUCAUCAACAGUUAGAUGUCGACUACCCUGUAUCAAACCUUUCUCAACUAAUUCAUCUCGAAGUCGUACGAAUGUAGUGUUGGACAUGCGAAAAUGUUGGUACCCUCUAUCUGGAUGACCUCGUAAAAUAUCCAUAAUUAUUUGAUGACCGGUGAAAGGUCUUGUGCGACAUGGUCGCUUGUACAAAGUGUUGUGAAAUGUAGUAGCACCUUCAUUGAUCAUAAUACCAAGCACUUCAUCCCAAUAUUCAUCUUCCUCAUCUAAGAACGUCAUAAGAUCGGCAAUAGUUGGAGAUGAAAAAAAACGACGAUUGAGUAUAGCACCCAUCUCUGCAAUAUAUAAAAAAAUUACGAUUAGUUAACUGUCAAACAACAUCAACCUAUAAGAUUUUCUUAUAUAAGUUAUUGGCUCAAGUUAAAAGGAUUGAGUAGAAAAUGAUGGCUGCAAUGGGUCUUAUCACUGCCACCCUAUCAUGAUCAUCUACAACCCUAUUAAGCAUCAUCGCCGCAUUCGCAAUUCCAUAAAACUGCUCUGUUUGUUGAAUGAUCAUAAUCGGCUCAGGUUAAAAGGAUUGAGGAAAAAAUGAUGGCUGCAGUGGGUCUUAACACUGCCACCCUAUCAUGAUCACCAUUAAUCCUAUUAAUCAUCAUCGCCACAUUCGCAAUUCCAUAAAACUGCUCUGUUUGUUGAAUGAUCAUAAUCGGCUCAGGUUAAAAGGAUUGAGGAAAAAAUGAUGGCUGCAGUGGGUCUUAACACUGCCACCCUACCAUGAUCACCAUUAAUCCUAUUAAGCAUCAUCGCCACAUUCGCAAUUCCACCGGAAGCCGCAAUAUACCUUUGUCGAUACCCUCCUGCCUAUUUCUUUGUUAAUAAAACUUCAUUAUCCAUGCAAUCAAGCAGUGUAUUGGUGUACAAAAAAUUAUUAAGCAUAUAAAAAGAACCAAUGAGAGAUAUAUGAAAUACAGGGUCACCUGUAAGCAAUAGAAAAGGCAAUAGAAUAGUAAUAAAAGCAGGAAAUAUAGCAGUAAAGUAGCAUUCUGUUUUAUAGCAGGAAAUAUAGGGCAUUUUGUUUGAUAAUUGACACUAGCAGCAUAGAAUAGAAGCAUGAUGGAAUUGAAGCAUGAUGAAAUAAUUCAGUACAGAAACAAAAUAAGUGACAGUAGCAGCAUAGAAUUGAACUAUGAUGUAAAAAUAAAAUGAAACCAUCUGAGAACACAACAUAGCAAAAUUUAAUCAACACAAGAAUGGACCAGCUAGGGAUAGGAAGCACUCAGGUUAGAAGCAGAGUAAGGAAAAAAUUCUGCAGCAUUCUAAAUAAAAUAAUUUAAUAACAAUGAGAAUGAAGCAGUUUUAGAGACAGGAUAGUAUGAAGUAUAGUAUGAAACAUGAGCAACCAACAUGUAAGCAACAAGUUCGAAAAAAUCCCAGACACAUAGUUAAGAAGGAUCAACAAAACAAGUGGAACUAGCAGGAUCGAAGUAUAGUAUGAAGCAAAAUUUCAAGAUACCAGCUGAAAAUUGAGCAACCAAAAUGAAAUGAAAAUGAAAAUGAGAUUAAGGCAGUUGAAGACAGGAAGUAAUCAGCUAAAAGCUGGGCUCGGGGUUUUUAAACCUGUGAUGGAAUACAAUGGUGGCUGCCAGGCUUACCUUACACCCUGCCUCCCUACCAUUCCCUUCUAUCACGCAUCAUUGCCAAAAAAUAAACAUAUCAAAGAUAUUGCACAACCCACGAGACUAGCCGUAUACAAAAUAAUAGAGCUAAGAGAGAUACACCAAUUAGAAAGAGGAAUAUUAAAACUGCAUUACAUAUCUUCAUACAGGGCCACCUAUAAUUCUCAAUUUCAUAUUAAAGGAAAAGAGUAAGCCAAUUGAGAAAGAAACUAGCAGAAAUGUACAACUGAUCAUCUAAUUGCAUAGAAAGAGGUAAAACCCAUUUUAAAAAUAUCCAACUUGAGAUGAUUUAUAAGCCGAAACAACAUAGAGGCGAGAGAAAAUAAAUUAACUAGACAAGCAAUAUGAAAACCAUGUUUCCAAACAAACCCAAUGUAACUCAUUUCUUAGGAACUACAGGAUAGUAGUAUCAAAGUAUAGUGUGAAGAAACAAUAUAGAAGAAUCCAGCAGAACUUGAGCAACCAACAUGUAAUGAAAAUGAGAAUGAAGCAGUUGAAGAUAGGAAGUAAUCAGCUAAAAGCUGGGCUCAGGGUUUUUAAACCUGUGAUGGAAUACAAUGGUGGCUGCAAGGCUUACCUUACACCCUGCCUCCCUACCAUUCCCUCCUAUCACGCAUCAUUGCCAAAAAAUAAACAUAUCGAAGAUAUUGCACAACCCACGAGAAUAGCCAUAUACAAACAAUAGAGCUAAGAGGGACACACCAAUUAGAAAGAGGAAACAUAAAAUCAGCAGUUGAAUAGUACAUUUCAGUAGCAGUAUUGUAGCAAUAAGGAUGCAUAACAGUAAACAAAUAACGGAAAAAGCUGCAUGAAAAGCCAACAUGAAAUUGUAGAAAUACGAACUGCAUAACAGUAUACAAAUAAAAUGAAAAGCUACAUAAAUAGCCAUCAGGAAAUAUAGUCCAAAAUAGCACGAUAGUAAACCAUUACUACAUUUUCAUACGACAUAGCUGACAGCAGUAGCAUUAAAGCAAAUAAAGUUCAGAUACAUAAAAACCAUGAACAUAAACGCAAACACCCAUAAGCCUUGCUAACCAUAGUCAAAACCCCAAAAUAUGAUAGUUUGUAAGCAAGACCACAAAAACCAAAAGGCUAAGGUGCGAAAAAGUUAUCUAGAUAGGAGGAAAGGAAGGUCCGUCCGGCUUUUGUCCACCGGCCGUACGUUGCAUACUUACCUGACGCUCAAUCCACAUAUAUAGAAUAUCCCCGCUUAAAGACAUGAAGAUGGAUCGGUUGCGCUCAUCUUUGAGCGCUUCACAUGUAGAAAUGAUGGCUUCAAGAGAGAGUCUGGGCACAUCAUUUAAUCGCGCCAUACAAUUCUCGAUAGAGUGCACCUUCGGACGGGCAUCAAGCUCCCGUUGCAACAUUAGCUCGGCUAUGUUCAGUCGCUUCUUACCAAGUUCGACAAGCUCCUGGAUACCAUCAGGGGUCGCAGCAGGUCGUCCCCUUUGGCUUGAUGUUGGUGUUGUCUUGCGUGAAGAAGGGGACGAGCGGCGCCUUUUGCCAGAAGAUGUAUGACCAGAGAUUGUGCUAACAUUUGGAUUUCCCCUCUUGACAGGAGUGGGUGUAGGGGAGCACGAAUGGGUGUCGUUCACAUCAUUGUUCCGUGGGGACUGUGGUAUAGGGACUGGUCGACCAGUUGAAGCUUGACCAGGACCAGAAGCAUUCAAAAGUGAAUUUUGGAUUUGUUCUAACAGUGCUGUUGUUCCCGGAGAGGACGAGGAUGUGCUGCGAACGUCCUCAUUUUGCAUCCCAGUUGUAAAUCCAUGCCUUCCCGUGGCAGUUGCUUUUCCAGAUUAAAAACUCAAUGUCGUGAUAUGCAGGGAAUGGUUUAUCCCUACAUUUUGCAUAAGCUGGAUUUUCCUACACAAUAUAAGUGUGAUGAACAAUUAAAAUACUUGUUAUUUCAUAAUCAGAAAUUGAAAAUAAGAAAAGUUUAGUAACCUACAGCUAUCACCGUAUCCCAAUCACUCGGGUCACCAGCCGUCGGAAUGUGGCGCUCAUAGUCCCAACCCCACCCACUUUUGUUUGCGAGUGUUUGGUACAUAACAAAUUGGCGUUUCAAAACUUUCAACCGAUUUUGUAAAUGAUUUUUCAUGAAACAGAGCUUUGUUCGGUUAUUAAAAUCAUGGAGUAUUCUACUCCAAGCCAAUGUCGUAAAGCUUCCAUUAAUAAAAUUACCCAAAACAUGUUCUUCAGUCAUCAAGUUCAACAUAGCAGAAUCCAUGACCUCAGUCCAAUUUCCAGAGCGUACUCUACCCUUCGAGGAUUCCCCCCCUGGGCUUUCAAUGCUUUGGGUGUCGUUCGAGGCAACGUCAAUGAAGUUAGGAUAUUUUCUUAUAGGACGUUGUGGCGCCUUAUUUUGAGAGGCCAUCUGGAGUAAACAAAAUUGUAAACCUGAUGAAAUCCAUUCGAGAAGUUAGGAGGAAAGAGAGGAUCAAGAGAAAAUAGUGGCUUAGGGGAAGAAGUACAUGAUGCUUCCAUAGUGGCUGCAAAAAUGUGAAAUUGCCACCCAACCAUAGAAAUGUAUCUACUUCCCCGUACAUCAUCACUCAGUAUAGCCCAUUGUACGAAGGCUACCCGCAAUUUUACAUCUCAAUCAACAACAUUUCAGUUCGCAACAAUAAUUUUUGCAAAAGAGAUCAUUACGACAAGAGAAAAUGUGAAAUAUCAAAUUGAAAACAUAACAUGCAUGUUGAGUAAGCAAUACUUGGAAGCUAUUAUGAAAGCUACUAGUUUUCAGGUGGAUAGUAAUAAAUAUUAUGUUUUUUUUAAUUGAUAAUUGUAUUAUAAAACAGAGAGUAAAAAGUAGUAGAUUCGAUAUAAAUGUUUUUUAAUAAAAAAGAUACUACAAACUAGAGUAAGAAACAAACCAGUUUAGUAAGAAGAAGUAGGUUAUUAUCUAGCAGAGUAGGACUUGAAGCAUCAAAAGAAUAAUAAAGUUCAAGACUAAGUCAUCGAUAUUCAUUUAAAAAUAACAAACUUUGCAAAUUAUAUACAUUUUCAUAAUCACUAUAAAAAGUGACCUUNAUUUAAAAAUAACAAACUUUGCAAAUUAUAUACAUUUUCAUAAUCACUAUAAAAAGUGACCUUUGUUUACAAUGAAUACAUACAUAAAAUUGGUAUUUAAACAUAUAUACAAUCAUAUCACAAGUAUGGUGUCUAAUAUUAACAAAAGGGAAGAAGGUAGAUGAUUAUAUAGACAUUCGAAGCAUCCUUGAUGGAUUUCCAACCUUUUCAACUUUUAUGCAGUUUAUGGCGAAAUGACCGCACAAAGUGUGCAUAAAUGGCAUUAGCCAAAGGGCUCAGCAUGAAUGGAUCGUCAUGUGUAUAAAUAUGGCGGCUGCAUAGAAAUAAAUCUAUGCCUCCAAGCCAUUAGUACAUCCGAUUUCCACCAUGCAUCACUGCUAAUAAACCCAAGGUAGAAAACAGCAAGAAGGUAGAACUGAAACCUUACCUCAGCAAGACCGAAAAUAGAAAGUGCUAUGCUUGAAUACGGGUCGAGUACAAAGGCAACAACAUUUGUCAAGUGCGAUUUUUGCCUCAAGGGGUGGCAAUAACCCUUAUUGGAUCCUUAUUUAAAGGAUACCAAUGUUGCCUUACCUGGCCGAUAGAAGGAGGGAAUACUCGAUGUUAAUGGCGCCGACUAGUCAAAUCGAGGCGACAAGAGAAGAGUAUAAUCGAUUGCCAAAGUGGUGAAUAAUUUUGGUGCUCUCUGGCCGAGGAAGAUCACCUGGAGUAAAUAUUUAUCUGCAACGCUAACUGCUCUCCGGCAAGUGUAGGUGAGAGUGAGAUGUAGGAGAUCUCGAAAUAGCACACCUCAAUUAAUGGAAGCUUUCAUGCAGGGAGGGAAAUCGACAAACUGUAGUAGGUGAGAUAUGGUUUAAAGAGAGAAAAUGAUGAAGAAGCUUCAUGGGGAAGACACUUUGACGAAGCAGAGAGCCGGCGUAAAGAGGAUAGCAUAAAGAGGGAUGACCAGAGGUGGGUGGUGAGAUGGAGUAAAGGCGCGGGGGAGAGAGAGAGCUAGGGUUCGGUGGUGAGCAGCAGUAAAGAGGAAGGAGAGAGAUGACACGGGUAAAGAGGAGUGGGAGGCAGAGGCGUUUCAGAGAGGCGAUAAACACAAGGGCAGGCGAGCUCGUCCCACGAGGCGCGAUUUUCCAGUGUGUGCCCUUGGAAUUAAAUUUGGAUUUCGCACAAUUCCAAGGGUGGUGCGGAACUGCUGUUAACGGGUAAUUCUGGAAUAUGCUAGAAUUACCCGCUUUGACUGGAAUUUCCUAUUCUGGUAUUUUUUCCAUCUUGUUUGGCAGAUUUUUGGGUAUAAACUUAGCUAUUCUAGACUUAUCCUGUUACCAAACAGGGCCUUAAGGUUUGUCAAAGCUUAGGAUUUAUUAAGUCUACAUUAGCCCACCGACUUAAUUAAGUUAGUUGAACCAACCUUAUGCGCCUGAGGUCCCCAUACCAUGGUAAUGUGGGUUUGUGUAACAGGUUUUUGGGAGUGUGUGAGUAUAAAUGUGCAAGUCCGCCGCAAGGUGAGUGUAAUGUGUGAGAGGAUUACCGACCGUCCCUAGAGCAAGUGACAAAGGGCUUGGUGGUUGAUACUCGAGGUCCAAAGUUCGAAUCCUAGUUGAUGAUUUAUAUUUCCAGCUAAGUUUCUUUAUAAAAAAUAAACGAAGCGGAUAACGUGUUAUCUAUCUCUCAAAAAAGAAAAAAAAAAAAGUGUGAGAGGCUUGUACAAGGUGAGUGUUAUAUGUGAGAGGCUUGUAAAAGUAUAUAUUUUUGUAUCAAUAAAAUUUUUGUGGUUAUCUUGGUAUGUCGAUUAAUUCUCUACAUUAGCCACCAAGCAAAAGAAAAAAAAAGUUUUCUAUGAUUUUCCAAUUAGUUUUCUAUAUAUUUUUUUCUUUUUGUUUUUUUAAAACUUCUACUCGAGGUCCUCGCAAUAUAAAUUAAUUAAGUUAAAAAUAUAAAAUUACAAAUAAUGACAUCUCUAACAAUUUGUGUAUUAAUUUAUCUUUAUUCAUUUUUUUCUUUCUGCUUAAAUAAGUAUGCUCUAUUAACAGCAGCUAAAAAAAUUGGUGUCUUAUCAAAGCGUAACUCUAAUUCGUGCAUGUGGUACAUCAGCAAACUUAGCUUUGAGUAACUGAACUAACAAAUUUUACAUCCCUAAUAUUAUUUGUCUGAAGAUGAAUAAUCGUUCUGUUCGGAAAUGAUCGAUAAUUCUAUUGAAGUGGAUUGAAUAGAAGAUUGAAUGGAAGAUUGCCUUGCAGAGAUUGGCUGCGAGGAUGAAAAAAAGGGCCUUGGCGGCAUUUGCAAGUUAUCCGUAUCCCCUUCCAACAUCUCUAUAACUUUAUCCAUAGAAGGGCGAUUUGACGAUUUCAUCUGAAUGCACCAUAACCCCACUUUACAUAGCUUGCUUUCUACUUCAUGAAUCUCAAUAUUGUUAUUUAUUUCAAUGAUCCCAUCGUUCUGUGUAAGUUGGUCGUAGAUCCAAGAAGGAUAGUAAACUUGGCUUGUAUUUUCUAUCGAUCGGUCCACAUUCCUUCGACCUCCCGCCAUCUCUAGUAAUAGCAUUCCAAAACUAAAGACGUCAGAUUUGUCAGAUACAAUUCCAAAGUUCCUCGAUACCAAUUCCGGAGCAAUAUAUCCAAUGGUUCCUCUUGCUGCACUAAGAGAAACAAGACUAUAAUCCUUUGGAAACAACCUUGCGAGUCCGAAAUCUGAAACUUUUGGGUUGAAAUGGCGGUCGAGAAGAAUAUUAUGCGGUUUGAUGUCGAAAUGUAAAAUUUGCAUGUCGCAUCCUCGAUGCAAGUAGUCGAUACCCCGAGCCACCCCAAGUGCUAUUUCAUUGAGCUUAUCCCAGGAAAAGGGUCUACUACUAGUUCCUUUUGCCGAGAAGAUAUACUUGUCUAAUGAUCCAUUAGGCAUGUACUCGUAAACAAGAGCCCUCUUUGAUCCUUCUGAGCAAAAACCAGCAAGCCGCACUAUAUUUACAUGGUGAAUCCUACCAAUUGUUGAGACCUCAUUGAUGAAGUCUUCUCCGUUGAAUUGAGAAUUUCCAAGCAUCUUGAUGGCAACAUGUUGCCCACUUAAGAGUGUACCUCUAAAGACCGACCCAAAUCCUCCUUGUCCCAACUUCUCUCUAAAGUGGCCCGUAAUCGCAAUGAUAUCAGUGUAGGAAUAUCUCGUAGGUGAGAGCAUUUGUUGGUCUUGGAGAAACUUUUCUAUAAUAUCGAUGGACACAUGACUGCUCCAUAACUUAUAAGCCAUUAGAAUUAGAAGCGAAAUUGGUGCAAAAACGAACCUCCCUAAUAUCCAGAAUGCUGAAAAAAAAAAACAUCAAAUUCACAUAAGUUAGUUGAUUAGAGUGGAGAAAAAAAAAAGGAAAAAGAAGAAAAAGAACAGUUUGUCACUUGUCGCUAAAUCAUUUGGUAGGUUUACCUAGUAAAAGCUGCACAAACUCUAUUACAACAACCACGACGACUGCAUAGCGAAAGUAGUGAUUGCUGAAGAAGAUAUCGUGCAUACAGUGUAAGAAAUAGUCCUCACUUUUAAAUAAGGAGUAUGGAAUGGAGAGACGCCCUUUGUUGUUGACAAAAUUGUCAAAAUUGCUGCAAAUAACACAAUUAUGAUGUAUGUUGGAUCAUGCGGAAGGAUAAUUUAAUCUUGUUUUACUUUUUAUUCUUAACGUGACAUACUUAAAAUUUGAAAUAGUUCUAUAUAUAAUAUAUAAUAGGAUUAAACCUCUUAACUCGAUUAUUGUAUUUUGCGUGUUGGCUAAGCACAAGAGAUUAAUAGGGAUGAGUUUGUUGGAUUAGAGUAGUUUUAGUAUGGAUGAUCCCCACGAAAAGUGGUGCGUCACACUUAAAGACAAAAUUUGAACCGUAAAAGAAAACAAAACUAUGUUUUGUUAAGAAGUUCUUGCUGUUACAUAAAAACAAGCUAUCAACUAACAAAGAAGAGACAAAAUAUGAUGACUUGAAACUUAAAAGUGUACGAAAUUGGAAAAAAAUUCAAAAGUUGUGGGAUGAAUGAAAAGGAAAAAACGUGAUGUUCUUUAAAAAAAUAAAAAAUAAAAAUAAAAAAUAAAAAGCCAAAAUGUAGUAGUUGAAUUCAUUGUUUAAAGUUUGAAGCUUGAAACUUAUGUUAAAUAUAAAAAGAUUGAAAAUACUAUUUUCUGAUAAUUUAAGUUUUUGAAGAACAAAAUAUUUAUUUUAUAUAAUUUAAUUUGGUAUCAGGAAUUCUAAGUUUGAAUCCCACUUUGCUCUAAAUAUGGCUAUCAAAAAAUUUCAAGCCCAAAUGUGAGAAAAAGUGUUGAACAAAAAAUUUAUUAGGCUUAACUAUACUAUACUACAUUCUUAUACUUUAUAGGUUUUUUUUUUUCACUUUUUAUAUUGUACUUCUUUUUUUUUAAACACACCACUCAAAUGCCCUUUAUUUUCAAAUACACACCACUCAAUUAUCCUUUUUAUUUUCAAAUCCUACACUAUAAGCAAUAAAUUUAUAAUUUUAAGUAAAAGCAAUUAAAACAUAUUGAUUGAAAUUAAAGUGGUAAAGCAUUUACUAAGAUCAUUUUAACACACAAAAUAACAAAAUACAUAAAACCACAAAAAAGUUAAACAUAAUUUAAUAAAAAUUUUCAAUGAGUCUAUCAUGGAUAUUCAUUUAAUCAAUGCUUCUUAAUAAAGCUGCAAGAUUUUAUCUAAAUAAUGGUAAUGUAGAUUUAAUAAUGGUAACGUAAAGAAUAGCGCGGGAAAAUAGUUUAGUGAUAUUUAAGAGAAAAAAUAAUGCAAGAAGAUGGAAAAAAAAAAUAAAAUACAAUAUAAAAAUUAAUAAAAUAUAAUAAAGCAAUGGUGUAUUGAAAAAAUUAUUAGUAUAGCAUAGAAAAUGAAAAAAAUUAUAAAGUACAGCAUGGUAGAGAGUAAUUAAGCCAAAAUAUUAAUUCAGCGUAUCUUUGGAGAACAGUAAUUGUUUUAUACAAUUUAAUAGCUCUAUACUAAUUAAAUCUUUGGCUGAUAUAUAUGGCAAAUGAGUUUAGCUCUGUCAUAGCAUUUGGUAUUGAUACACUAUCUUAUAACUAAGAAAUUUUCUUUUUAAAAUCAAAAGUAAAUUUAAAAUUGCGUGUAAGCAUGGUCGCAAUUAAUAUUUAGUGAACACUGGUGGACUCUAAUUUAGAUACGGUAGCAUAAUUCAGUAUAGAGCUACUAUACUUUCGAAAGUAUAAAGAAGUUAGUAUUUCUGACUUUUUGACCCUUUGAUCAAAAACCGUAUGAUUGAGAUGAAAAUAAUUCCUUCUAGAGUUGAGUGAUUUUUCGUCAAAGAAGUGGAUCAAAGAAUUAAAAAAUUGAAAGUACCAAUUCCUUUAUGCUUUCAGAAGCAGCAUAGUCAAACUCGUGUGCGUAAUUCGUACCUUUUCGCUUCUUUCAAGCAUCCAUGAAACGUUGCAGAUGGAGUUGGCUGAGCCUGUUCUUGAGGGCGGGGGCCGACGGCCCACGAAAGCACGAAUCCCUCCUUCAAGAGCUCAAAAAUAUCGGUGGCGGUCGAAUUCCCGACGACAUCCCCGACGACAGGAACCGAGGCCAGAAAUCCGCACGAGGCCCCAAUCAAAUUCACAGUGAAUGCAUAAUUUUGAACUACUACAUAGACGAAUGUGCUGUUGCUGCUUAGGCAAGGGACGCGCCGGUGCCUGCCGUUUCGGAUCGGCCUCGUGCAAUUCACGAAGAGAGCCCAGUUUUCCCCGACAUUCAAAUACAAAUCCGAAAAACCCGGUGGCGGAGAUGGGAUUCGAAGAUGGCAAUAUCUGUCGUCACCUACAAACACGGGAUCAACCACACUGAUAGUCUGGUUGGUAUACGAGAUGUUGGUCACGUAGUACUUUGCCGACCCCAGCUCCAGCAUAGGUUUGCCGCCGUCGCAGAGAAUCUCGUAGCUUGGGGAUCCGCCUGUCGGCGUUUCGCUCGCCAAACGGAAAGGAGAGCUGAUGUUGUCGAGACUCCCACACGACGACGACGACGACGGAGAACAACCGACAUGAUUCACACAAGUGAGGAGGAGGAGGAGGAGGAGACAUAGUAUCAUAAAACAAGAGUUGAGCCUCAUAGUUGUUGGUAGCAAAAGAAGUUCUCUUGUAGAGUUAAUUUAAUGUCUUUUGAUCUCUUGAUUUUUAGAUGAUGUAGAGAAGUGCAAUAACAGCAAACAAUAAUUUAGUCGCAUCUAUCAAGUUGAAACGUGUAUUGAAACGAAACAAUAUUAAAAACUCCACCAACGCCAUGAUGAGCACUAGUGGGGAAGGAGAAUUAUAUAUUGACCUCUCACUUGUCUUUAAUAAGUGAUCACGACCACGCGCAUCAGUCAAAUUACUCUGCUUUGAUUUGGAAUUUGAAAUUAACAUAGUUAGAAAUAUAAAGUAAUUAAAUUUUGAACUUGGAAUUUUUGAUAUCAAUUAUUAAAUUUUUCUGUAGCUGAUAUUAAGUCUGAAGAAACAAAGAUUGCAAGAAAAGUGCUAGAUUUGUUGGAAAUUCGGUACUCGCCCCGGUACCGGACUUUGAGAAUUCGCAAUCCGCUCCGAUACCAACUGCUGUGGAUCCGAUAUCAAUUGUUGGAAUUCUGCAACGAAAACAUCAAAUCGAAUUUUUACUACUAUAAAUCUGUCUUCUCAGCAAAAACUGAUAUAAUCACAAAAGAUAGAAAAAAUCAAAACAGAAAAUAUACGAAUAAAAUAAGAUUCAUUAAAUAAGAGAAGAUUAUACAUGACUUCUCUUCUGUAUAGAGUAGCUACAAUUCGAACCCUCUUUCUAAAUCUCUUCUAUCUUUCUCUCGUUUUCUAUAAACUCACAAAAAAGACAUUCUUCACGUGCACCCGUACACAAGGUGCACUCAAUAACUCAUGGCUGGAACUUUCUCGCUCCAACGAAGCCGUACGGUUCAAGCUUCAGGCGUAUGCACCAUAAAGCUCCAACUUAAUUAAUUCGACCGUACCUCUCAAGGCUAAUUAACUCCUUAAUGCUAUAUAUAUAUAUAGAGUUGAGCUAGAAUACUCUUAAUAGUAAACGGGCGUUUUCACUUCGAGAUUGUUUUCGAUGAUAGAGCUUCCAUAUGACGAUCGGCUCCGUUGACACAUGAUCUAUACACUUGAAGUGUUUAGAAAUCAAAUUUCAAUUUUUUCGACAUCAUUUGCCUAAUGAUCAAAGGGUUUCAAAAUUUUGUAAUUUUAAUGUGGAUAAGAGACGUUUUCUCGUUUAACGGUGUAAAGAUAUCCAAAUCAAUUGAAUUUUUGUUAAAAUUCUUUAAACUAUUUAAACAAGAUCUAUACUCUUGAUCUUGAUUACAAGACUCCUAUCAUCAUUUUAAAGAAUAUUCAUUUUCAACCAUUCAUUUUUUGUUCACUAGAUGUAAAGAACAAUAUCGAAGUGCGUGAAAUUGAUUUCUAGGUAGUUUUAAUGGUUUAGAUCAUAUUUAACGGAGCCGAUCGUCAAUUUGGAAGCUCUAUCAUCGAAAACCAACUCGAUAGUAAAACGCCCCGUUUACUAUCGAGAGUAUUCUAGCUCACUUAUAUUAUAAUAUAUAUUAUAUAUAUAUAUAUAUAUAUAUAUAGAGUGAGGCUAUUAUGUAUCGGAAGCACGGAGCCUUCCAUGCUUCCAGCUCGUUUUCGAUGUUUGCGACUUUCAAUCGUCGAUCGGCUCCAUUAAACUUGAUCUAGAGUAUUGGAGUACCGUAAAAAAUAAAUUUUAUUAUUUUUCGAUACCAUUUGCUUAGUGAUCGAAUGGCUCAAAAUCAACAAAUUUCAAUGGCCGUAUGUGAGCGUUUGCAAGUUUAACGGUGUAGAAAUAUCCAAAUCACGUGAAAUUUUGAUAGAAAAUUCUUUAUACUAUAUAAAACAAGAUCAAUAUCUUUGAUUUAAAAUUUUAAUGUCAUAUUAUUACAUUUUGUAAGAUUUUUAUUUUCAGCCGUUGAUUUUGAGCCCCUUCGUUCACUAGGCAAAUGAUAUCGUAAAAUCAUAAAAUUUAUUUUCUAGAUACUUCAAAUACUCUAGAUCAAAUUUAACGGAGCCGAUCGACGAUUCGAAAGUCACAACAUCGAAAACGAGCUGGAAGCACGGAAGGCUCCGUGCUUCCGAUAGCAUAGUAGCCUCACUCUAUAUAUAUAUCAUAUUUAACGAAGUGGAUCGUCGAUUUGGAAGCUCUAUCAUUGAAAACAACUUAUGAGUACGAGGGCUCCAAUACUCAUAAUAGUAUAGUAGCCAUGGCAUAUAUAUAUAUAUAUAUAUAUAUAUAUAUAUAUAAAAGCACAACACCCCUUAUGCUCCUAACUUUCUAACCAACCAUCAAGUUUGAUGGGUGGUUAGAAUGAGAGGAAAAAGAGAUAUUGGAGAGAAAUUUGGUGUCUCAAUUUUUCUUCUCCUUGAAUUUCUCUCCAAUAUCUCUUCCCCCUAUCAUUCUAACCACCCAUCAAGUUUGAUGGGUGGUUAAAAAGUUAGGAACACAAGGACUGCUGUACUCCUAAUAGCACAGUAGCCCUGCUCAUAUAGAGUCCGACUACUAUACUAUCGAUAGUACCAAGUACUUGGUACUAUUGAGUUUUCUACCGUUAGAUCUACCCUCUGAUCAUUUCCACCCGUUAGAUUAUACUAUUAAACCAACCACUCACUCAACCCUACGGGACCACUAUCAAUUUAACCGGAGACCACUAUCAUCCUAACCGCACAUCUUUUCAUCCAACGACCGAAAACUCAAUAGUACCAAGAUACCAAGGGCUUGGUACUAUUGAUAGUAUAGUAGCAUAUAUAUAUAUAUAUAUAUAUAAAAUUGAGUUAGAAUACUUUUACAAGUAUCACCCCCAUAGUGCUAUUAGGUUUUUAGCCAUUGGAUCUACUUCUUGAUUACUAAUAGCCCUUGGAUCAAACACUAUUCCACCUACCACCACCUACCACCAUCUACCACCAUCAUCUCAACCUCACAUCUCUCCAUCCAAUGGCGAAAAACUCAAAAGCACCACCCCUAUGGUGCUUUUGAGAGUAUUCUAGUUCAACUAUAUAUAUAUAUAUAUAUAUAUAUAUAUAUAUAUAUAUAUAUAUAUAUAUANNNNNNNNNNNNNNNNNNNNNNNNNNNNNNNNNNNNNNNNNNNNNNNNNNNNNNNNNNNNNNNNNNNNNNNNNNNNNNNNNNNNNNNNNNNNNNNNNNNNNNNNNNNNNNNNNNNNNNNNNNNNNNNNNNNNNNNNNNNNNNNNNNNNNNNNNNNNNNNNNNNNNNNNNNNNNNNNNNNNNNNNNNNNNNNNNNNNNNNNNNNNNNNNNNNNNNNNNNNNNNNNNNNNNNNNNNNNNNNNNNNNNNNNNNNNNNNNNNNNNNNNNNNNNNNNNNNNNNNNNNNNNNNNNNNNNNNNNNNNNNNNNNNNNNNNNNNNNNNNNNNNNNNNNNNNNNNNNNNNNNNNNNNNNNNNNNNNNNNNNNNNNNNNNNNNNNNNNNNNNNNNNNNNNNNNNNNNNNNNNNNNNNNNNNNNNNNNNNNNNNNNNNNNNNNNNNNNNNNNNNNNNNNNNNNNNNNNNNNNNNNNNNNNNNNNNNNNNNNNNNNNNNNNNNNNNNNNNNNNNNNNNNNNNNNNNNNNNNNNNNNNNNNNNNNNNNNNNNNNNNNNNNNNNNNNNNNNNNNNNNNNNNNNNNNNNNNNNNNNNNNNNNNNNNNNNNNNNNNNNNNNNNNNNNNNNNNNNNNNNNNNNNNNNNNNNNNNNNNNNNNNNNNNNNNNNNNNNNNNNNNNNNNNNNNNNNNNNNNNNNNNNNNNNNNNNNNNNNNNNNNNNNNNNNNNNNNNNNNNNNNNNNNNNNNNNNNNNNNNNNNNNNNNNNNNNNNNNNNNNNNNNNNNNNNNNNNNNNNNNNNNNNNNNNNNNNNNNNNNNNNNNNNNNNNNNNNNNNNNNNNNNNNNNNNNNNNNNNNNNNNNNNNNNNNNNNNNNNNNNNNNNNNNNNNNNNNNNNNNNNNNNNNNNNNNNNNNNNNNNNNNNNNNNNNNNNNNNNNNNNNNNNNNNNNNNNNNNNNNNNNNNNNNNNNNNNNNNNNNNNNNNNNNNNNNNNNNNNNNNNNNNNNNNNNNNNNNNNNNNNNNNNNNNNNNNNNNNNNNNNNNNGAAAUACACCCACUAUAUAUAUAUAUAUUGUACCCCAAUUCUAGUACUAUUAGAAUUUCUAUUUCAAUUAAAUAUUUAAAUCUUAGUUGAUUUAAAUAUUUAUCCUAAUCUAUUUAGAUUCAUACUCUAAUUAAUAUUUAAAAUUUAAUUUAUCUUCAACAGAUUGAAAUAUUAAUUCUUAUCUAACUAGAAUUAAUCUACAAAUCUAACCAAAUUCUAACAAGAUUUUAGUUUAGAUUUGAUUCUAAUUUAGUUAGGAUUAGAUGAGAUUUAAAUUAGAUUAGAAGGCAAGUAUAAGGAGGUGUUUAAUUCAACUAGAGUGAUUAGAAUUAGAACUAUUAUAAUGCAUUGUAUGGCCACAUUAUAAUUAAGCAACCCACGUGAGAGAACUAUUUUAGUCAAUCCAAGCUGUUUUGUGCUGUAGGCCAUUGAGCGCGUCGACCAUAUUUAUUUUGAUUUUGGGUUCUCAAGACACAUAUUUUGUACUCGGCCUUCGAUAUUAAAUAUUAAUAAAAUUUUGCUCACCAACCGUUUCUAAAGUAAGUAGCAAAAAAUUUAGUGGUUGGUAUUCGAGAUUCAAGUUCGAAUUCUAAUUGAUUCACAUUUCCAGCUAAAUUUAUUUCUAAAUAAAAUAAACGAAGCGGCUAGCGUGCUACCUAUCUCUUAAAAAAAAAAAAUUGCUCUGUCUUUACCAACGAACGUAGACCAGUGGUCGAAUCAUAUAUAUUUCUACGUGUUUUUUUUUUUUUUCUUGCAUUACUUUUUAAUCUUUUUUAUGGUUUUGCUUUAUCUGAAAAGUACAACUGCAGAAGUCAGUUUUGCUUUAUCUGAAAAGUAUAACUGCAGAAAUCAGGUCAUGGAAGCUGAAAGAGAAAAAUAUAAAAUGCAAAGGAUACUGCACCAUUAUUAUUUCAUAACUAGUGGGCAUCUUCAGUCUUCUCUUUCUUAUGGUCCCAGCAAUCAUGUUUGUGACCAUUUUACUUUUAGGCAUACAUUAGUUAAGUGUAAUGAUUCGGUCCAUUAGUAAUAAUAAUAGGUUGAACUCAAAUUAUUGUCCCAAAAUGUUUAAAUUCAGUGUUUACUAUUAAUGUCUAUGAUCUCUUAUAUGCCUAAUUAUAAUUUUAUUUUUAUUCGAUGUUAGAUUAUUGAAGUGCAUGUUACAUUAAGAAAAACCAAUGUAGGAGCACAUUAUGGGCUACGUUAAUAGAUUAAAAAAUUUGAAAAAAUUCAGAAGGAUAACUAUGCCAAAAUUCUUAUAGUACAUUAAUAAGAGUUUUUUUUUUUUUGGGGGGGGGGGGGGGGGGGGGGUUUUGUAAGGUGCGUGAUUGAGCCAGAAGAAAAAGACAAUAAUAUUUUUUUUUUUUAGAAAUAGGUAGCACGCUACCCGUUUCGUUUAUUUUAUUUAGAAAUAAACUUAGCUGGAAAUGUAAAUCAACUAGAAUUCGAACUUGAGACCUCUGGUACCAACCACCAAGUCCUUUGCCACUUGCUCUAGGAACAGUCGGUAAUAAUAUUGUUCAACGAGUUUGUUAGAAAUAACCUAUUCUUGUUUAUUNUGAUAAUAAGGAUGAUACGAUUGAGUUAAUAGGUUUGCAUUAAAAAGAAUAAGAAGUUUUAUAGAACUAAGAGUAGGUUUAAUCACAUUAAAUAUGAAAAAAAAAAAUUAUAUUUGAAAACUCACGUUUGGAUUGGUUAAGUUUAGAAUAGUAGGAAUAGUAGUACCUAAAUAUUAGUAAAAUAAUAUUUUAAUAAGUUAAUAAAUUAAUUAAUUAGGAAAAUAACAGGAUUGAGAAGCUUAGGAUAUUUACCGAGAAGCAUAUGAUAUUGCAAGCUCCAAAAGAGAAGGGCCCCAAGGUUUUGUGCCCCUUCUAGGACCAGGUCCUAAUGGACCGCGUAAAAAAUUGCAUUAUUUAUUUUAAUAAAUUUAUAAUUGCGAGAAUUACAUAAAAUAUACUAAUUAAAUUUGAAAAGAUAAAUAAUGGAUUCAAAUUUUAAAGUCAAAGUAACGUUGAGUAACUCAAAUCAAACAAAUUAAUUAAAAAGUUGAAUAGUAAAAUCAAAGUUUAAAAAGAUCGGAUAGCCGACUCAAAAUGGCCCAUAUCUCAGAUAAGUUCUGUAUGUUUUUGCCUAAAGUUUAUUUCUAAUUAAAGAAUUGAAAGGAGAGUAGACUUUGUUUUUAGACUUUUCUCAACAACUUUCCACAUCCAAAACUUGAUUUAGCGGUUAUACUUUCUUUGAAAUCUUUGUUUCCACAUGCUUAAGGCGAGCGUGUUUGGUUGUAUAUACAGUCGCAAAAAAUAGUUUUUUGUGAAAAAAAAAUCAGUGGAAAAUUUUUUUACUUUUUGUAGUGUUUGAUUUGUAGACGAAAAAAAUAAUUUUUUAAUCACUAUUUGCUCAGUUGAAAAAAAAAAUCACAUUGCAUUUGAUUUGGUAAAAGAAAAAAAAAAUAAAAAAAUUUUUAUGCGGCUUAAGUUUUCAUUUUUUGUUGACCGCAUUUGCUUAUCUCCCAGACCAGGGUUAAGGAUGAGAGAUGGGCCAUAUAUGGAAAAUAUAAGCAUUUCAGUUUUCUUAAAUUCAUAAAAAUAAAAAAUAAAAAAGUUUUUACGACUAAAUAAACACUCAGAAAUUUUUUUGAGAAUACCUUUUCGGUCAACUAAACACACCCUUCGUACGGGAGAGUACUUUUUGUUAGAAUUAAUGUAAUUAAAUAGUCAUCACUAUUAUUAUGUUGUCCAUUUGAAAGUGAUCGAUUAGCCCUACCAUGUGAUAGUUUCCUGCAAAUUAAUUAAUCAGAGCACACAAGUUUGACUGAUGCCAAUUAAAAUGGUGCUCAUCGAUCACACCUCAGGUCAAAGUCAGAGGUCCCACUAGUGUUCAUCAUAGAAUUAAUAUAUUAGUGGUGCUUUUAUUGCCUCUUUUUUGUUUUUAGUACACGUUUCAACUUUAUAGUUAUCGAUGAGACUAAUUCUACGUGGUGGUGCUGUUAUUGUUUUUCUCCACAUCUUUUAUUCCACAAACUUCGCUUUUUCAUUAAUAAUUAAUAGAUCCUUGCCACCUAAAAGUCGAGAAAGAUGGAAAAAUGCAUUAUAAGAACAUCAAAUCUACAAGGGCAAAUAUGAGGAGGUCUAAUCGACCUGUAAUCACUCGUGAGGGAAACAAGAAGCAGCACUCGAUCAUGGUGGAAAGGCUCUCUCUUCUUCGACUGUUAUGCCUCCUCCUCCUCCUCCUCCUCCUCCUCACUUGUGUUGGCGUCGCAGAAGGCCGCAAGAAUCACGUCAGUUGUUCUUCGUCGUGCGGGCAUUUGCAUGAUAUCCACUAUCCUUUCCGUUUGAAGAGCGAUCUGCCGCAGUGUGGAUCCCCAGACUACGAGAUUCUCUGCGACGGCGGCAAACCUAUGCUGGAGCUGGGGACGGCAAAGUACUACGUAACCAACAUCUCAUACACGAACCAGACUAUCAGUGUGGUUGAUCCCGUGUUUGUAGAUGACAAGUAUUGCCUUCUUCCUAUCCAAUCUCCACCUGCUAAUUUAUCGCAUUUGUAUUUCAACGUCGGAGACAACGGGGCUCUCUUUGCGAACUGCACGAGGCCAAUCGACGACGACAUGUACCGGAGCGUGCCUUGCUUGAGCAGUAACAACACAUUUGUCUACGUAGUAGUUGAUACCGGGGAAUUCUCUGUGGAAUCUAUUGAGCCCUCAUGCGGAUUUCUGGCCUGGAUUCCUAUGCCCGUCGAUCAUGUCAUGAACCCGACCGCCACCGAUGUCUUUGAGCUCUUGAAAGAAGGAUUCACACUUUUGUGGGAUGUAGGCCCUGGAUCAAAAUUUGCCAUAAUAUUAACGGAUGUACGUGAAUGCUUAGAAAGAGCAAAAAGGUAUGAAACACUACCAUAUAUUCACUACCAAGCCUACAAGCAAUUUCAAAUUAAGUUAUGUGUAAAAGGAAAUUUCUUUGUUAGAAGAUAGUUUUUCAAUACCCCAUGCUAUGAUAGCGCUAAACUCAUUUGCAACAUUAGCCAAAGAUUUAGUGUAAAGCUAGAAAAUUAUAUGAAAUAAUUAUUGUUCUCCAAAGGAUAUUAAGUUAUAAGAGAAUGGUGUUCCUAAUACUUAAUUAUACUAGCGCCAUUAUAGUUUACUUUGUAGUAAUUAUUUUUUCAAAUAUACAACCAUUUUAUUAUAUUUUAUCAAUCUCUACAUUAUAUUUUAGAUUUAUUUUUUAUUUCUAUCUUGUACUAUUUUAUUUUCUCUUAAAUAUCAGAGAAACUACUUUUUUCUCACCAAUCUUAAUUUACACUACCAUUUAAAAAUCAACAUUACGUACCAUUAAUAAAUCUAUUAUUUUAGGUAAAAUCUAGACUUCAUUAAGAAGCCUUGAUUAAAUAGUAGAAAAAUAUAGAAAAUGAAUCUCCAUGAUAAACUCAUUGAAAAUUUUUAUUAAAUCAUUUCUGACUAUUGGUUUGUGGUUUUAUAUAUGUGUUUUGCUAUUUUUUGUGUUUUUUUAUAGGUAGCACGCUACCCGCUUCGUUUUUUUCAUUUAGAAAUAAACUUGGCUAGAAAUGUGAAUUAACUAGAAUUCAAAUUUGGAUCUCGGGUACCAACUACCAAGUCCUUUGCUACUUGCGCUAGUGACGGUCGGUCAUACGCUUUAAGUUUCAAAGUCAUGAUAUUCUUUGACUUGUCCUUUGGUUGACAGCUUGUUUUAUGUAUAGCAACAACUACUUAACCAGACAUAGGUUUUUUUCUUUUAUUAGAGUUCAAAAUUCUACGAGAAUGAAAAGCAAAAUACGAUUAAAUUAUCCUAAAAUAUACAUAAUUAGUUUUCAUUCCGCAUGAACCAGCAUACAUCAUAUUUAUAUAUUUUGCAGCAAGUUCGCGAAUUUGACCCACAGCGAAGGGCUUCUCUUCCUUCCAUACUUGUUGGUCAAAAGCGAGGCCAAUUUCUUAGACUGUAUGAACGAUAGUUUAAGCAGCAAUCAUUAUUUUCGCUAUGCGGUCGCUGUGGUUGUCGUAAUAGAGAUUGUGCAGCUUUUACUAGGUAAACCUACCAAAUGAUUUAGCGACAAGUGACAAACUGAUUUUUUUGUUUUUUUACCUCCUCUCUAAUCAACAAACUAAUGUGAAUUUUUUUUCAGCAUUAUGGAUGUUAGGGAGGUUCGUUUUUGCACCAAUUUCACUUCUCAAUUUACUGGCUUAUAAGUUAUGGAUCAGUCAUGUGUCUAUUGACAUUGUAGAAAAGUUUCUCCGAGACCAGCAAAUGCUCUCAACUAUGAGAUAUUCCUACACUGAUAUUAUUGCAAUCACGGGCCACUUUCGAGAGAAGCUAGGACAAGGAGGAUUUGGGUCGGUCUUUAGAGGUACACUCUUAAGUGGCCAACAUGUUGCCAUCAAGAUGCUCGAAAAUUCUCAAUUCAAUGGAGAAGACUUCAUCAAUGAGGUCUCAACAAUUGGCAGGAUUCACCAUGUAAAUAUAGUACGGCUUAUUGGUUUUUGCUCAGAAGGAUCAAAGAGGGCACUUGUUUACGAGUACAUGCCUAAGGGAUCAUUGGACAAGUAUAUCUUCUCGGCAAGAGGAACUAGUAAUAGGCCCUUUUCCUGGGAUAAGCUCAAUGAAAUAGCACUUGGGGUGGCUCGGGGUAUCGAUUACUUGCAUCGAGGAUGUGACAUGCAGAUUCUACAUUUCGACAUCAAACCACAUAAUAUUCUCCUAAACCAACAUUUCAACCCCAAGGUUUCAGAUUUCGGACUCGCAAGGUUGUACCCAAAGGAUUAUAAUCUUCUUUCUAUUAGUGCAGCAAGAGGGACCAUUGGAUAUAUUGCUCCGGAAUUGGUAUCGAGGAACUUUGGGAUUGUAUCUGACAAAUCUGAUGUCUAUAGUUUUGGAAUGCUAUUAUUGGAGAUGGCGGGAGGCAGAAGGAAUGUGGAUCGAACGAUGGAAAAUACAAGCCAAGUUUACUAUCCUUCUUGGAUCUACGAUCAACUUUCACAGAACAAAGGGAUCAAUGAAAUAAAUAACAAUAUUGAGAUUCAUGAAAUAGAAAGAAAGUUAUGUAAAGUAGGGUUAUGGUGCAUUCAGAUGAAAUCGUCAAAUCGCCCUUCUAUGGACAAAGUUGUAGAGAUGUUGGAAGGGGAUACAGAUAACUUGCAAAUGCCAUCAAGGCCUUUCUUUGCAUCCUCAGAGCCGACCUCCGCAAGGCAGCCUUCCAUGCAAUCCACUUCAACAGAAUUAUCGAUCAUUUUUGAGCAAGAGGACUAUCCGAAUUCGGACAAAUAAGGGAUGUAAAAUUUGUUAGUUCAGUUACUCAAAGCUAAGUUGCUGUUGUGUGGAGCAACUCAAUUAUAUUCAAUGAUUUUUAGAGCAUUUCAUGGCAAGUAACUUAGUUGAGGGGUCUUGAUGCAUGUGUAUGCCAAUUUCUGAUAGAAUAGAUAUUCUUUUUUAUAUAAAUAAUGCUGUAGAAGAAAAAAGAGAAACAAGUGCAAUCAAUAUGUGUGGACCAAUGGAAUUAACUAUAUGUCAUCUGUUUAAGUUGUCCUUUAGUUGCCUGUAUGAAUAGGGUUUCUAUUAAACAAGUGUAGUGAGCUGCGCGAUACGGCGGGUAGAUAAUAUUCAAUAUUUAACUUUAAUUUUUCUACUAUAUUUUUUCUUCUUUCAGUUAGAUAGAGGUCUUAAAAAAAAAAUUACACUUAAAAAAGUUACACUUAGCCUCACACGUGGAACACGAUUAUGGACGUUAAUGGGAUUUUAUCAUAUAAAUUAUACUUUGCAAUAUAUAAGAUGCAAAAUAUAUUGAAGUAUGGCAACGACAUUGAAUGAAUCGUCGAUAUGUUUUUAUCCAUUAAAUAAACAUUCAUUUAAUCAUUAAUCGUGCUUUUCAAUACUCUAAAAAAAAUAUCCACAUAUCCAUUUAUAAAUAUUAAUAUAUUAACAUUAUUUUCUAUAAGACAACAAAAGCACUCCAAAAUUAUAAAU